GGAAGAAGAAAUCCAAAGGAACCACUAUGUCUAUCCGUAUCAAAUAAGAUUUGGGAUAUCGUUUCUAGUUUAGCUUGGUGUUUUCUCAUUACUCUAUUUUUACUUUUUUUAGCAAACUUCUUUGUUCCUCUGGUACUGUUUCCGUUUUAGCUUGGUGUGUUUUUUCUCUAUCUCUAUUUUUUUUUACGUUUUAUUAAACUUCUUUGUUUCUCUGUAAUUGAACAACUAUGUUUCUUACGCUGAAAAUUACAAGCACAGUCAAAGAUGUGUCGUCUUUUCCCCUCUUGUGCAUCUAAACGCCAACUGUUUAGACGUGAGAUGACCAUUGAACAGAUGAUCCAGAUCAACGCUAUAAACAACACAUGGCUUUAGAAAAGGAUAUACAUAUUAUAUAUGGAUAUUUCGAUUGUUCAUAUCAAUGAGACGCAUAAAUUCAUAGAAACUAUAGACUUUGCAAAUAUAAUUAUCAAGAUUCCAUUUUGUGUAUAUACAAAGUUCAAAAGGUUUAAAGCUUAUGAUUUUCGAAUGUGACAAUACAAAAUAAAAAAGUUUGCAUUUUUUUUUUUUUUUUUUUUUUUUUUGAUAAUUCUGGUAUCUGGACAGUUACAUUCUUAACUAUCCCCGUAAGGGGUCUAGCGCCCCAACGGAAGAGAUGUUAAAUCCGCUGUGGCCGGGGAUGGAAGUGUUUGCAUUGAUUUAUCUUGUGAUUGGUAAUAUUCUCAUUGAUAAUGAAUGAUGAAUAGAAGAGGAAGAGAAAUGGCUAGUAAAGGGGUCUUGUUUUCUCCCUGUCCACACUCUCUUGUUUCUAAUUCAACCUUUGAUUGUUUGAUUAAAUAUGUAUAAUCUAAAUUAACAAUAACCAAAUAUAUAUAUACUCAACUAAAAUUUGGGUUAACGAUCAUUGUCCAUUUUAUAAGAAAAUUCCUCUUGGAUCUUUCGUUUUAUAUUUUUGUUGACUGACUUUUUUACCGAAUCCAAGUCUUGCUUCUCUUUGUUUUGAAGUCCACGAUCUCAAAAAGGAAACAGCCAACUGAUUGGUCACUUUCACAAUCCAUCUGGUACGUUAUCCUUUGAUUUUUCAACAUCUUUACUAUUAAACCAGGAUCUUAUUGUCCUUUUUACCUUACUCUAUCCUUUCUUUACUAACAUUGCAUGUUUCAUUAACGGUAAUCAAGUAAUAUUAAUAACACAUAUAUAUAUUGGACCAUUUUUUCAGGAUCCAGCCCACUGUCCACAUCAGAUCUCUUUUGGGUCAUUUGGGUCGAUUAAGAAAUCAGAUCCAAUUCUCACAUUUUUUUUUCCUUUCGGACAUUGAGUCCAAGUUCAAAUAAUUUUUUUUCAACUAUAAUUUUCUUAAUAUAAUUUAAGCAUUCAUAAAAAAAAUUGAUUUUUUCGUUGAAAAGUAUAAAUCUUUAUUAAAAGUAUAUAAUUAUUUGUAUUAAAAAUAUUAACCACAUAAUAAAAUUAACUUAUCAGAGUUAUACCAACUUAAUUCAUUAAAAAUAAAGUUUAAUUUUUUAAACAUAAAUAGUCAUUUAAAAUGAAACACGAUAAGUAAAGAUAAAAAGUUUAAGUCUUUUAUAAAAUAAAAUACAAAUAUAUGAAAUAUGACAUUUACUAAAUAUUUUGACCAUUGAAAAAAAAAGAAAAUAAACCCGCGCUUUGAAAGCGCGGGUCAAAAUCUAUUAUUAUUUUAUCUUAUUAAAACUGAAGUACAAAAUUGUAGUGUUUGGAGACUUGAAUAUGACUAUUCAAAAAUUUUGGAGUGUUUGGAAACAUGGAUUGUAGUCUUUUAAAAAAAAAAUUACUUUUGUCUGGAAACAAUGAUAGGAGUAUUAAGCAAAAAAGUAAUGGGUUUAUGUUAUUAAGAAAAAUUGAAAGUUCAUCAUAUUAUAAGAAACUAUAUAUCUGGACCAGUUUUAAAAUAUACGAAAAUUGGUCAAUCUAAUUGCAUAAAACUUUUUUUUCUAAACUAUCCAUAUAACAAAAUUUAAACUUUAUAUACAUAUUUCAAAUCAAAAUAACAAUUCAAAGUUGAUUUAUAUCAAAAACUGAUUGAAAAAUAUACGUAUAUUCAAAAAUGGAUUUUUACUAAACUGUUUUUCAAUAACCAUUAUAAAAAAAUGCUGUCAAAAUAUAUAAGAAAAAUAUAAUACAAAGCUCAAUUUGAAAUACCAACUCAAAUUAUGGUUUUUAUAUUUCAUAUUAAGUUUGUAAAAUAUAAUAUAUGUAAUUAUUUAUAUGAUGGUACGUAUAAAAUACUAUUAAUUAUAUGAUUACUUAUAUGAUGGUACGUAUAAAAUACGAUUAAUUAUAUGAUGACAAUAUACGAUAUAUAAUAAUGACUAAGGAUGGACUUUCGGGUAUCCAUACGGGUUUGGUUCUGAUCGGUUUGCGUUUCGGGUUUUCGGGGUCAAAGAUUUCAGCCCUAUUAGGAUGUUUCUAAAUUUUGGUUUGAGUUUGAUUCAGAUCUUUGAGGGUUUGGUUCGAGUUUGGAUAACUCAUUUAAAUUAUUUUUAAAGUUUUAAAUCAUUAUAUAUUUAAAUUUCUCAAAAUCGAUAAAUAAAAUAAUAUAUUAUCUAUAAAUUUGAAUAAUAUCAUUUUACCAAACCCUAAUAAUUACAUGAAAAACAAAUAUCAACAUAUUUUUCAAAAUAUACACCCGUGCAGGCGUGUAGAUCAAAAUCUAUAAUCAUUUAUUUUAACAAUAAGCCAAAUAAAUAUGUAGAUUGGAGAGGGAAUAAAACAAAGCCAAAGAAACACAUAGUUUACCAGAGACACUCUAUGUGUCGAAUUUAUUAUAAAUAAAGUUUUACUAAGAUAAAUACAUUCAAUAAUUACAAACAAAUAAUAUAUUUCAUAAAAGUGAAAAAUAAUAGCCGCGCUUUUGAAGCGCGGAUCAAAAUCUAGUUAUACUUGGAUAUGGGCAUCAAGUUUGAUGAUGAGAUUCAUGGUCUGUGGCUUCUCGGUACUUUACCGAGAGCCACUACAUGAUCAUGAUGUGUGUGACCUACGAGCUUGGACUCAAACCCACGAGCCAAUCAUGUGAUGAAUCGAUUUCCUUCUUUGAUAGUAGACUGUUAGAGGAAUCGAAGAAGAUGAGAUGAAACGAGAAAGAUGAAAAAUGAUUCUGUUAUUCAGUUACAGAGUUAGUUAAUCUGUUUAUAUAUUAUAGAGUAACCGGUUUAAUUACAUGGUUUAUACUAAAACAAUUAUACAAUCCCGGUUAACUCUAAUACCUCUCCUCAAAAUGGCAUGUAGAUUGAGCUAAAUGACAUCUUGUUCAGUAAGCUAUGGAAGAUUGCAGGAUAUAAGGGCUUGGUAAAGACAUCCGCUCUACGUUUGCUUAGCAGAAACAGAGACCUGAAGCAGCAGCUCUACGUUUGCCAAGCUUGGUGUGAAGGUUUAUGUCCUUAAUCAUCAAUUAUCUCUUGGUAUGCUUAACCAAAGAGUGAGGAAGUUGGUUUAGCCGGUUUAGGUAAUAACCAAGUCACAUGUAUGUCACGUGUGUAUUCUUUGUAAACGACUAAGAUAAAGUCGUCGUAUCUUCUUCUUCCUCAUUAACAGAAGAAACGAUCUGGGUGAUUAGAGCUGUAACAGAUGGUGAGUGAGAGCAGCAUUGUAGAGAGAGAUCAAGAGCUCGAGUUGGAGCUGUUCUAGUGGAUUGCUGGCUGAGCCCAGCCCCGGUGAGUAUAGCUCCUUCUCCACAUUGGAGGAGAGAGGUGAACACCGCGCAAACAAGAUUCUUGUGUCUCUUUUCUUUAUCGUUUCUAAUCUCUUCUUUCACACAAAAGAAUCCGAUCAACAAUGAGUAGUUAAGCGACUGAGAGUCUAAGGAGUGGAUUGAGCUUAGGGAUCUUCACACUUGAAUCUUUCAAGCUCCAUCUGCAUAUCCAUCAACAUGUUCAUCCGUUGCAACUCAAGCUCCUUUGCAGCUUCCAUCCUCUGCUUCUCCAACUCAACCAUCAUCCUCUGCUUCGCACCUUCCAUCCUCUCGUACACCUCCCCCAACUUCAAAAUCGCCCUCGCCAGCUCCCUAUACACGACGACCCUUCACACAGAUCUACAUCUCCUAAAUGACUAAAAGCUUUAGAACAAGCAAAUGUCUAUUUGGCUAAAUAUUGACUCUUUUUGAUUACUUCCGUUGUACAAAUUUCAUGUUUUGUCCUCAGUAUUUAGUUAUUUCACGAGCUAUUUUUAGUACUAACUUCACAUUCGAUUGAGUUUGUAAAGGUCUCAUUUAUUUUUCCUUUCUGUCUUCAACUUACUAAGCCAUAAUCACAGUGUUCUUGUAACGACCCGGUUCAUCAAAAUCGGUUUGGUUUGGUUUAAUUACAAUUUUAAUUAUAACUUAAACCAUCCUCCUUAAUUUUUGGUCAAAUCGUGCAAUUUAUAUAUCAUUGUACGCAUCUCCCUUCCUCUCAUUUGACCUAGCCGUAAUCACCAUCGCAGCCAUUCUUCAUCGCUAUCUUCUUCUUCAUAUUAACCAUCUCACGUCAUCUUCACGUUCUUCUCUCAUCACGUUGUUUUCGUGAGGAUGAAUUGAUAUGGAGUAUUGCCGUAUCACCUCCGAUCGUCACCACCGUUGCGCUUGUGAACUAAUCACCACCGUCCACCACCACCACCUCUCGUUGGUCAGCACCAGAAUCAUCAUGUUGACCCAAGGCAGAGCUGGAGAUUCCUUACCGUGUCGGAGCCACCGUUCAUAACAAACAAUCGCUCGUUUGAUCCAAGCUUGAUGGCGACUUGUUGUGUGUGCCAUCACCACCUCCACAUGUGUUACCACCGGAGUCGGCACAGCCUUGCCGUCAGAGAUCCAUCGCCAUUUCAUGUAGUCGUUUCGUACUAGGCUUGUGAUAUACGGAAAACGCGAUCAAGCCGAGAAGGAGGGGAACCGUGCGAAACUGGAGCCACAUUCUCUUCACCGACGACCACCGAUCUGGGCCGCCAUGAGCCGUUAGCCACCUGAGAGCUGAGCCGUGUCACUGGAGAUAUGGACUUCGAACUGUAGCUAUGUCCAAGAAGGUUAAGUGUAUCAUUAGUUGUUUCUUGUGAUACAAGGAACAUAUUUUAACAUGCACUUUUACCAUGGCAUGCGCAGGAAGCGAUCAUGGACCUUAUGGGGACUUGUUUGCCAAGCCAUUCCCUCUAAAGCCUAGAUGUUUGAUGAGGCAUAUCAGUUCCCGAGUAUGACCUGAUCAAUCUCCGAUCUUGGCUAAGGUGAGGGUCUAUUCCGUAAAUCCCGUACGAGUGUAGAAUUCUCUCUAUCGUAGUUUAUAUUUUGAAUCAUGAUCCGUCUGUUUGAAUUGAGUCUGUUUGAGUCUUGAUUGUUAGUCAGUUCAUUCAUAUAUAUAUCCGUAUGAGGAGAUGCGGGGUGUAUGGACUAGCUAUAUGCUAUCAUCGCAUUGUUUGUGUUGUGAUGCUUUAAGCAUCUUGUUUGUUCAUGUUAGAGCUAAACUUCCAUAGUGGAAGUUCUAUUUACUCAAGUCAGUGGUUUGCGUGUUUAGCAUCCCAUACCUCACGGAGUAACUCCCUGUUGCUCACCCCCAUCUUCUCAUUGCAGGUGAGCUUGCCGAGUAGUUGGAUAUCUGGACGGUUUGGUGUCUUGGAGAUCACAUAUUUUAUUCCGGUUUUACAUUCGAUUUAUUAGACGUAUUUUUAUAAAUCAAUUUGAAGAUGUAAUUCUUUUGUAUUUAUUUUAUUAAAUGCUUUGGUAUUUUAUUCGGUUUUGAAUAACUCGGUUUGAUUCGGUACUUUUCGGUAAGUAGCACGCCGGUCUCGAAAGAGGAGGAGACGGGUGUUACAGUUCUGCUAAUGAUUUCCUUAACCACAUCGUUUAUCAACAUGCCUUUAACUAAACAAGUUGGAAAUUAUAACCCUCUGAGCUAUCUAGAGGGUUACAUUUGACUUUUAAUGUUCUGAGCCAAUUUGAAUCUCCGAGCCCUAGAUAUCUUCAUUUCCGUCAAGGCUACGCAAGAUUGCUCUCCAGAGCCUCCUCGUGCCACCAAUGUAGUAAUCGAAGUUGUGUGAGAGCAAAAGCCCUCUCGAGAGCUGAGGUAUUGCUCUAUUCAGGAUGAUCGGCUCCUAUAUAUGUAUUUUAAGAUAAGUUUUGAUAAAAUUAUACAAAGCUCUUUUGAAUUUGGAUUAGGGCUAAUGUUUCAGUAGGCUUUGCUCCUGUUUCAACUCUAAUAUUAACAAUUCACUUGCUAUGUUUCAGAUGAGUUUGUUGUUUUCUUGAAGCUGUUUCUGCGCUUUGUAUACUUGUGUGCGAUCUUGUUUAAUAAGUUUGUAGAGUUGGACAUGAAUGUAAUGAUGCUCUUGUAGGCUAAAUCAUCAAGCGUUGAAGCAUCUAUGUAGUUUAUGGCUGUGACAACUCUGCUGAGGUUGACGUGGGGAUUGUAUUUACCGAAGUUCAAAAGACUUCCCACUCCUUUAAGUUCCUGUCUUUACUUUUCGACCCAUGACUGGCUUAAGUUUUCUUCUUGUAAAGAAGGUUUUCUCGGACUUUCUCUUGGUCUUCUCUCAAGCAAGUACACAAGCUGCCUACAGGGUUGCGUGGCCUUAACAUUAUAGAACCGUCUCUCUCUCUCAGUCUGCUUCGAAAUCAAUGAGGAGGGAAACUGGGACAUAGUAUGCUUUCUGCAUUGAAAGUAUACUAUUAAAUAUGACCAGAGAAAUUUCCACAUAUCAUGAACUUGAUAUCGAUUAGGAAAGUUUUAUCGCAAGUAUAAACAUAAGCAUAGUAAGUCUUUCGUAAGUAGUUGUUUGGUUUGGAAUUUUUUGUUUAAAAUUUUUCGUAAUUAAUUUAGGGUACCAAUAUGUGUGGAAAUUGAUAGUGGAUUUCGACGUGAUGUAUAAUGGAUUUUUCUGUGUAAUAAAUAGAUGGGUAUGGAAGCACGUUACUCAUCACCAAUUUCCUUGUUCUUUUUGCUCUUUCUUUAUUUCAUAUUCAAGAAAGAUAAAUUAGCUUAAAGAAGGAAUGAGAGGCUUUUGGAACUUAACGAGUACCAUUUCUCUUACUCUUUCUAUACUUUACUUAUUCGUUUACAAUGAUGAGGACGUGUCUGCGGUUCCUACUAGACACUUGUGUCGUCCUGAUCAAAGGGAUGCACUUCUCCAGUUCAAGAACGAGUUUGAGGUUCAAAACUCUUCCAUUUCUUAUUAUAGAUGUAUUUAUAGUGGUAUUAAACCUCAUGAGAAGACCGAGUCAUGGAUGAAUAACAGCGACUGCUGUAACUUGUUGGGUUCCUCCUAGAUGGAGGUAACCCAUUGGGUUUGGUUUUGACAACUAAACUUGGUGUUGGACAAUGGUAUUAGCCCAUGAAGUUAGUAUUGGGUCUUGGGAGUUAAUGACCCAUAAUGUAAGUCUCCUAACCUAAUUUGGAGAGUGGUUGCAGACACAACACGAACAGACAAGAUCAGACUCACAAUAAUAAAGUUUAGAGAGAGAGAGAAAGAGAAGAGAGAAAAGGAGAGAAGAAAACAGUUUUCGUCUCAGUUUGUCAAGACAUAUUUGGAGGGUCAAACGGAACUUGAUCGGGCUGAUAUUUUGUGGGAAGCUUCUUCAGUCAGUGGGUUAAAGGUUCACCGAAGGGAUUUGGAUUUCAACGGUUGGAUCUUCUGUUGUCUGGGUUUUAGUGAAGCUGGUCGUCACAGCUCUUCAGCAAGGCUGUUUUGGCUGUUUGGUAAAUCCAACGGUAAAAUAUUCUCUGAUUGAGCUGAAAUUUGGCAGAUGUAUUGUUGACUUGUUUAUCUUGGAUUUGUACGGUGAGAUUAGUCUCUGGUUUCCGGAAUCCUUAUGAGCUGAGGUCGUUUGGAUGCUGCCGGUUUUGAAGCUUUGUGUUGCUCUCUUGUUGUUGUUGUUUGUGUUGGAGAUAACUCUUUGAAGCUAGUGUCUCUGUUCUGUUCUGAUUGUUGAACAGGGAGGACGUGGUUGUACUCACAAACAUUUAUAUAGUGGAUUGUUGAGUGGACUACGGUCCCGUGGUUUUUUCUUCUCACAUCGAGGAGGUUUUCCACGUAAAAAGUGAUUGUCUCAUUUACGUUUCUGCUUAUACUAUAUUCUGCCAUCGUCAAAGUAAUUUCUUCACAGGUUCACACAAGGUCAGGGGAACACGACUUUGAGUAUUUCCGCUGCGCCGUGAGACUUUCCCCAACAGAGUGGUAUCAGAGCUUCUGGUUUUAGAGCUUUGGUUUUGAUAACUUUGGGUUAUUAUUUGCUUGUGUGAAAGAUGGAAAAUAUGAGCAGGAUGAUAAGCUUGAAUGGUGCUAACUAUCAUCUAUGGAAGGGCAAGAUGGAGGAUUUGCUCUUUGUUAAAGAAUUCCAUGUUCCAGUCUUCGAGGAGCAGAAACCUGAGAAGAAGACGGAUGAAGAGUGGAAGCUGCAGCAUCGCCAAGUGUGUGGGUUGAUAAGGCAGUGGGUAGAUGAUAAUGUGUUGCAUCAUAUUGAGACUGAGACGGAUGCUCGUUCUUUGUGGAAGAAGCUGGAGCAGUUAUAUGCUAGAAAGACCGGAAACAACAAGAUGUACAUGAUCAAGAAGUUGAUUGAGCUGAGGUAUCAGGAGGGGACUCCGAUGACAGAUCACUUGAAUGCGUUUCAGGGAUUGCUCAACAAGCUGUCUGAUAUGGGCAUCAGGUUUGAUGAUGAGAUUCACGGUCUGUGGCUUCUCGGUACUUUACCGGACUCUUGGGAGGUUUUCAGGAUGUCUCUUUGUAACUCCGCGUCGGAAGGUGUUAUUUCGAUGGAUUCAGUGAAGAACAGUGUUCUUAAUGAGGAAGCAAGAAGGCAGUCGAAUGCUAGCAGUUCGCGUUCAGAUGUCUUUGUUACUGAGUCAAGGGGGAGAAGUACAAGUAGAGAUCCCAAGAGAGACAAGAACAGGAGCAGGAGCAAGUCUAAUAGAUUUGCUAAUAUGGAGUGCUACUUCUGUCAUAAGAAAGGGCACAUGAAGAAGGAUUGCUGGAAGUUGAAAAACAAGCAGCAAGGAAAUCAAGAAGAAAAGGUGGAUCGGGUGACUCUCACCGAAGAUCAGUUUCUCAUUCUUCUUGAGGGUGAUGCCAUUAAUGUCGCAUGCCAGGACACCAGUUGGGUGAUUGACAGUGGAGCUACUACUCAUGCUACAUCACAGCGGGAUUUGUUUUCUACCUAUACUACGGGUAAUUAUGGUUCUGUGAAGAUGGGGAAUGAUGCGAUGGCUCAGGUUGCUGGCAUUGGUGAUAUAUGCUUGGAGACUAGUCUUGGGACUAGGUUGGUGCUUAAGGAUGUUAAGCAUGUUCCUGAUAUUAGGAUGAAUCUGAUAUCGACGGGAAGACUUGAUGAUGAGGGCUAUUUCAGUUUGCACGGUGGUGGUAAAUGGAAGCUCUCUCGCGGUUCUUUGAUUGUGGCUCGAGGUGAGAAGUCUUCAUCUUUCUAUUGGAUGCAGGCUAAGGUCUCCAAAGAUGUUGUUAAUGCGGUGGAGAAUGAUAAUGCCAUGGAGUUAUGGCAUAAGAGACUCGGUCACAUGAGUGAGAAGGGAAUGGCUGUGUUGUCUAAGAAUGAGGUGAUCUCAGGAAUCUCUGGUUUGCACAGUGUUCGCAUUGCUUUGCGGGAAAACAACACAGGGUAUCUUUCAAGUCUUCCGCACCUUCUAGGAAACCCGAGGUACUGGAUUUGGUACACUCAGAUGUGUGUGGUCCAAUGAAGACAAGAUCUCUUGGUGGCGCAUCAUAUUUUGUGACUUUUAUUGAUGAUCAUUCAAGGAAGUCGUGGGUAUUUCCUAUGAGGACGAAGGAUCAGGUGCUGGGAUAUUUCAAGCACUUUGUGGCAUUGGUUGAGAGACAAACGGGGAAGAAGCUGAAGUGUAUCCGCAGUGAUAAUGGUGGAGAGUAUCUUGGACCAUUUGAUGCUUAUUGCAAAGAGCAUGGAAUAAGGCAUCAGUUCACGCCACCUCAUACUCCACAGUUGAAUGGGUUGGCUGAAAGGAUGAAUCGGACGAUUGUCGAGAGGAUGAGAUGUUUGAUCUCACAGUCAGGCUUAUCGAUGACUUUCUGGGCAGAAGCUUUGAACACGGUGGUUCAUGUGCUGAAUUUGUCACCAAGUGCUCCAUUGGAUGGUGAUGUUCCAGAGAGGGUUUGGACUGGUAAGGAUGUUUCUUACAGUCACUUGAGGGUCUUUGGGUGUAAGGCAUUUGUUCAUAUUCCCAAGGUUGAUAGAUCGAAGCUUGAGAUGAAGUCGCGGCAGUGUGUGUUCAUCGGUUAUGGUCAUGAUGAGUUCGGGUACAGAUUUUAUGAUCCCGUUGAGAGGAAGCUCGUAAGGAGCAGAGAUGUUGUGUUUAUGGAAGAUCAAACGAUUAAGGACAUUGACAAGUCCAAAAAGCCAACUCAGAUUUUUGAGGGUUUGAUCGAUACAGAGGCUACUCCUUCUACAUCGGUUCACGGUGAGGUUGAGGUUGAGGUUCAGGAUAAUGCACCCAGUGCAGAUGCUCCCGCACAUGAAGAUGGUAGUGGUGAUCAUGGUGACGAUCAUGGUGAGACACCAGCUGCUGAGAACCAACCUACUAUUGUUAGAAGAUCCGAGAGAGGUCUUAAACCGUCGACAAGGUAUGAUCCUAGUGAGUAUGUAUUACUUACUGAUGGGGGAGAGCCUGAAAGCUAUGAUGAAGCUUUGGAGGAUGAACACAAGGAUAAGUGGUUUGGAGCCAUGGAUGAGGAGAUGGAUUCUUUUGAGGAGAACCAUACUUUUGAGUUGGUGGAAUUGCCUAAGGGCAAGAAGGCUCUGCUUAAUAAGUGGGUGUACAGAAUUAAGCAUGAGGAUGAAAAUUUGCCACCUCGACACAAGGCUAGAUUGGUUGUGAAAGGCUACAGCCAAAAGAAGGGAAUUGAUUAUGAUGAAAUCUUUUCUCCUGUUGUGAAGAUGUCAUCCAUUCGGGUUGUACUUGGAUUGGCAGCGAGCCUUGAUCUAGAGGUUGAGCAAAUGGACGUGAAGACUGCUUUCCUUCAUGGUAAUUUGGAGGAAGAGAUCUACAUGGAACAACCGGAAGGCUAUGUGCAAAAGGGCAAAGAAAAUUUGGUUUGCCGCUUGAAGAAAAGCCUUUAUGGAUUGAAGCAAGCACCAAGGCAGUGGUACAUGAAGUUCAAGUCUGUUAUGGGGGAGCAUGGUUAUGCAGAGACUGAUUCAGACCAUUGUGUAUUUGUGAAGGUGUUCGGUGAGGAUGAUUUUAUCAUCUUGUUGCUGUAUGUCGAUGAUAUGUUGAUUGUGGGCAGGAACAUGGACAGAAUUAAGGAGCUGAAAGAGCAGCUAGGUAUGUCCUUUGCCAUGAAAGAUAUGGGUCCAGCGAAACAGAUUCUCGGUAUGAGAAUUAUUCGAGAUAGAGGUGAGAAGCUGAUUCACUUAUCUCAGGAGAAGUACAUUGAAAAAGUACUUAAGCGGUUUCACAUGGACAAGUCUAAAGUGUUGAGUACUCCUCUUGCUCCACACUUAAGACUGAGCAGUCAACAAAGUCCGAAGACAUAUGCGGAGAAGGAAGAUAUGGCGAAGGUUCCAUAUGCUUCUGCAGUGGGUAGUUUGAUGUAUGCCAUGGUCUGUACAAGACCAGAUUUAGCCUACGCCGUUGGAGUUGUCAGCAGGUUUCUCUCCAAUCCGGGAAGAGAACAUUGGAAUGCUGUGAAGUGGAUUUUGAGAUAUCUCAGAGGGACUUCUGAUCUGAAGAUUACAUUUGGGGGUAAGAAGCCUUUGCUGGUCAGUUUCACUGAUUCUGACAUGUCUGGAGAUGUUGAUUCUAUCAAGUCUACUUCGGGUUACUUGAUAACAUUUUCGGGUGGAGCUGUGGCAUGGCAGUCAAGGCUGCAAAAGUGUGUUGCACUAUCUACCACUGAGGCAGAGUUCAUUGCCGCAACUGAAGCUUGUAAAGAAUUGUUGUGGAUGAAGAACUUCUGUGAAGAGAUCGGUUUCAAGCAAGAGAAGUAUGUGUUGCUUUGUGAUAGUCAAAGCGCUAUUUGUCUCGGGAAGAAUUCUACAUUUCAUUCGAAGUCAAAACACAUUCAGAGGAGGUAUGAUGUGGUUGCUUCUAAGGAAGUGGAACUUGAGAAAGUUCAUACGGAUGAUAAUGGAGCUGAUAUGAUGACGAAGUCAUUACCGAGGGGGAAGCUUGAAGUAUGCCGAGGGAUAGCCGGAAUGGCUGUUUCCUCCACCUAGUCGGAGGGGGAGUUUGUUGGGUUCCUCCUAGAUGGAGGUAACCCAUUGGGUUUGGUUUUGACAACCAAACUUGGUGUUGGGCAAUGGUAUUAGCCCAUGAGGUUAGUAUUGGGUCUUGGGAGUUAAUGACCCAUAAUGUAAGUCUCCUAACCUAAUUUGGAGAGUGGUUACAGACACAACACGAGCAGACAAGAACAGACUCACAAUAAUAGAGUUUAGAGAGAGAGAAAGAGAAGAGAGAAAAAGAGAGAAGAAAACAGUUUUCGUCUCAGUUUGUCAAGACAUAUUUGGAGGAUCAAACGGAACUUGAUCGGACUGAUAUUUUGUGGGAAGCUUCUUCAGUCAAUGGGUUAAAGGUUCACAGAAGGGAUUUGAAUUUCAACGGUUGGAUCUUCUGUUGUCUGGGUUUUAGUGAAACUGGUCGUCACAGCUCUUCAGCAAGGCUGUCUUGGCUGUUUGGUAAAUCCAACGGUAAAAUCUUCUCUGAUUGAGCUGAAAUUUGGCAGAUGUAUUGUUGACUUGUUUAUCUUGGAUUUGUACGGUGAGAUUAGUCUCUGGUUUCCGGAAUCCUUGUGAGCUGAGGUCGUUUGGAUGCUGCCGGUUUUGAAGCUUUGUGUUACUCUCUUGUUGUUGUUGUUUGUGUUGGAGAUAGCUCUUUGAAGCUAGUGUCUCUGUUCUGUUCUGGUUGUUGAACAGGGAGAACGUGGUUGUACUCACAAACAUUUAUAUAGUGGAUUGUUGAGUGGACUACGGUCCCGUGGUUUUUCCUUCUCACAUCGAGGAGGUUUUCCACGUAAAAAGUAGUGAUUGUCUCAUUUACAUUUCUGCUUAUACUAUAUUCUGCCAUCGUCGAAGUAUUUUCUUCACAGGUUCACACAAGGUCAGGGGAACACGAUCUUGAGUAUUUCCGCUGCGCCUUGAGACUUUCCCCAACAUAACUGGGAUGGUAUCACCUGGAACGGCAAGUCUAGUGAAGUGAUCGGGCUAGACCUUAGUUGCAGCUACCUAGGUGGCCAGUUUCAUUCCAAUAGCAGUCUUCAAAACCUUCAUUCUCUAACCACUCUUGACCUUACAGGAAAUCGUUUUAGUGGACAGAUCAUGUCUUCAAUUGGAAACUUUUCUCAUCUCACCUCUCUCAACCUUUCACAAAAUAAUUUCAGCGGGUUCAUUCCUUCUUCGAUAGUAGACCUUUCUUAUCUCAUCUUUCUUGAUUUUUCUAUUAAUAGUUUUUCGGGUCAGAUUCCAUCUUCGAUUGGAAAUCUUUCUCAUCUCACCUAUCUUGACCUUUCUUCUACUCAAAUUUUGGGUCAGAUUCUAUCUUCUAUUGGAAAUCUUUAUAAGAUCACUUAUCUUGACCUUUCUAACAACAAUAUUGUUGGUGAAAUCCCAUCUUCUUUUGGCUAUCUAAACCAGCUGACCAGCUUAUAUGUUGGUCUCAAUAGGCUCAAUGGAAGCUUUCCCAUUGCACUACUGAAUCUGACAGAGUUGUCAUCUUUAUCACUUAGCUACAACCAGUUCACAGGCAUAAUUCCUCAUAACAUCACUUCACUCUCCAGCCUUCUUCCCUCUUCACCCUUCCUUCUAUGGAUGUUGUUACUUUCUCUGAUAACCAACUCAACGGAACUCUUGAGUUUGGGAUUAUAUCUUCACCACCUAAGCUACAAGUGUUAGCCGUUGGCAGUAAUAACUUGAGAGGGCCAAUCCCAGAAACAAUAUCCAAAUUUACCAACCUUGAAGAACUUGACCUUUCCCAUUACAAUACACAAGGUCCAAUUGACUUUAGUAUCUUCUCACAUCUCAAGUUGCUCGAUUAUCUUGACCUAUCCCAUGUGAACACGACCACUACCAUUGACUUGAAUGAUUUCUUGUCAAAUUUUAGGAGGCUCGAUGGGUUGUUUCUCUCAGGCAACCAUGUUUCUGCCACAAACAAGAUUCCAGUUUCAGGUCCCCCAUUACUGCGUUAUUUGCACUUGUCAGGCUGCGGUAUGACCGAGUUUCCGGAGUUUGUAAGAAACCAACAAUAAAAUCAAAGGUCAAGUGCCUGGCUGGUUAUGGACGCUACCAAAUCUUACUUACCUGAAUCUUUCCAACAACACUUUCACCAGCUUUAAAAACUCAACGAAACAUGGGCUAUCUAUGAUAAACUUGUUAGCCUCCAACAACAAUUUCACGGGAAAUAUUCCAUCUUUCAUAUGUGGUUGGCGCAGUCUUGCCACUCUUGAUUUAUCAAACAACUACUUCAGUGGUUUAAUCCCUCUUUGGCUGGGAACUCUCAAGGAGGAAUUCCGGAGACUAUAUUUGAAAGCUUAAGAACGCUUGACGUUGGUCAUAACCAUCUGACCGGAAAACUUCCAAGAUCUUUGAUCCAUUUCUCUAGUCUUGAAGUUCUGAACAUGGAAAGCAACAUUAUCAAUGAUAUGUAUCCAUUUUGGUUGAGUUCUCUACCAGAGUUAAAAAUUCUUGUGUUACGUUCCAAUGUUUUCCAUGGACCGAUACAUCAAACUUCAUUUCCUAAGUUGCAAAUCAUCGACAUAUCUCACAAUCACUUCAAUGGAGCUUUGCCAUCAGACUUCUUUGUUAAGUGGAGUGCUAUGUCAUCACUUGGGACAGUUUAUGAUCAGCAGAACAAAAUGUACAUGGGGGAUUCCUAUUACCAUGAUUUAGUAGUUUUGAUGAAUAAAGGUUUAGAGAUGAAGCUACAGCAUAUCCUAAAGAUCUACACAGCACUCGACUUUUCAGGGAACAAACUUGAAGGAGAGAUCCCAAGGUCCAUCGGUCUACUAAAAGAGCUUCAUGUGCUCAACUUGUCGAACAAUGCUUUCACCGGCGUCAUCCCUUCAUCUAUGGGAAACCUGACAGCUCUUGAGUCACUAGACGUUUCCCAAAACCAGUUUUCAGGAGAAAUUUGCAAGAGCUAGGGAGCCUCUCAUUCCUUUCCUACAUGAACUUCUCUCAUAACCAGCUUACAGGUCUAGUACCAGGCGGCACUCAGUUUCGAAGGCUGAAUUGUACUUCCUUUGAUGGUAACAUGGGACUUUUUGGCCCUUCUCUUGAUGAAAUUUGCAAAGACAUUCACACUCCAACACCACAUGAAACGUCGGAAUCAGAGGAAGAAGAAGAGGAAGAGGUGUUGAGUUGGAUAGCAGCUGUAAUAGGAGUCAUACCUGGUAUUGCCUUUGGAUGGGUGAUUGGAUACAUACUUGUUUCCUACAAACUAGAGUGGUUCAUGAACCCUUUUCUCCGAAACAAACGCAGACGCAGCAGCAACACAACUCAUUAAAGAGGUAAUAUAUUCGAGAGUUUUAAGUCAACUUGUUAGCAAACAUUUGAAGAAACAAAAAUAUUAUAGUCAAAUCUCCUGAAUAAACCUCCUUGUUUUCUUUGUAUAGGUCUUUUAUAACCUACCUGAGGAAUCUGAAAGAUGAAAUCGGAGGCAAUCACUAUGUUUAUCUGUAUCAAUGAGGAUUUGGAGUAUCAUCUCCGGUUUAGCUUGGUGUUUUCUCAUUACUCUGUUUUUACUUUUUAUUGUUAAGCUAGACGGGCUUCCAACCUAAAAGCAAUUGGUGAUAAGUGGAGUGGUCCAUCUAUCUUAUAUAUUACUUAGGAUCCCUUCCAACUACCGAUGUGGGACACUUUGUGUCUAAUACGCCCCCUCGAGAUGAUGGCUCUUUGAGCGUCAAUCUCGGAAUGCUCGGGAAAGGAUCGAUAGGCCAACUUGGGCCAGAUCGAUGGAUCGGAUUGGACUUCGUGGAUCGGGCUCUGAUACCAUGUUAAGCUAGAUGGGCUUCCAACCUAAAACCAAUUGUGAUAAGUGAAGUGGCCCAUCUAUCUUAUAUACUACUAAGAAUCUCUUCCAACAUCCGAUGUGGGACUUUGUCCCUAAUACGCCCACUCGAGAUCAUGGCUCUUUGAACAUCAAUCACAGAAUGCUUGAGCAAGGAUCGAUGGACCGACUUUGGACUGGAUCGAUAAUAGAUCGGGUUGGACUGCGUGGAUCGGGCUCUGAUACCAUGUUAAGCUAGAUGGACUUCCAACCUAAAACAAUUGGUAUUAGACACAAAGUGUCCCACAUCGGUAGUUGGAAAUGAUCCUAAGUAAUAUAUAAGAUAGAUGGACCACUCCACUUAUCACCAAUUGGUUUUAGGUUGGAAUCCCGUCUAGCUUAACAUGGUAUCAGAGCCCGAUCCACGAAUUCCAACCCGAUCCAAACAAUCCAAUUCGAUCCUUGUCAAAACAUUCCGAGAUUGACGCUCAAAGAGCCAUCAUCUCGAGGAGGCGUAUUAGGGACAGAAGUCCCACAUCGGGUAUUGGAAGUGAUCAUUAGUAAUAUAUAAGAUAGAUGGGGCACUCCACUUAUCACCAAUUGGUUUUAGGUUGGAAGCCCGUCUAGCUUAACAUGGUAUUAGAGCCCGAUCCACGAAGUCCAACCCAAUCCAUCGAUCUGGCCCAAAGUUGGCCUAUCGAUCCUUGCCCGAGCAUUCCGAGAUUGAGCCAUCAUCUCGAGGGGGCAUAUUAGACACAAAGUAUCCCACAUCGGUAGUUGGAAGGGAUCUAAGUAAUAUAUAAGAUAGAUGAGCCACUCUACUUAUCACUGUUGUAAAUAGAGGGUUUAGAGACUGAAUAUUUCUCUGUGUGUUAUUAUUGAUCAAUAGUGGUUCCUUAUAUAAGGAUUACAAAGAGUAGAUAAAAGGAAAGUAUCCAAAACCUAAUCCAACAGGAAAUAGGAAAACUAAAGAUAACAAGGAAAAAGGAAAACAUCAUAAUCCUAAGACGGUCUAAACCGACCGUCUCUCUCUCCUCGGACGACCGACUCUCUCUCCUCUUGGUCACGGCCACGGCUGGGCCUGGUCGUGGCUGAUGGGCUUUCUCCUCUUGUCUUGGUUAAUGGCAAUCCACUCCAUGAUUUAUAACACUCCCCCUUGGAUGCCAUAACCAUACAGGAUUUGUAGUACGCUUCAUGUUGCCUCAUUAAAACCUUAUCAGGAAAACCCAGUGGGACAAAACCAUGAUGAAGGAAAAAGAGUACAACACGAACUACUCCCCUUGAUGUGAACCUCAGUGUCGGUUCUACAUUCUACGCAUCUUGGUGCGUGAUAUUUCCUAUAUGUAUAGGAUGGGAGUAAUCGACCAGUUUCAUUACUGAACCGUAAUUAGACCACUUCGACUUCUUAGGUCGUUUCUCAUGUCCUUUGACAUCGAGUGUCCCGGUAAAGCUAUGUGCUAAGCAAUGUGAAUCACAUUGUCCUCGGAGAUCACUAUUGGGUCUUUGCAAAUUGUGUUUGCAUGUGUCCAUGGUCUAGACGUGUUUGUCUACUGUCAAACUCUUUUCUUUGACCAUUAUAAUCACCAUCGACCAUGUAUCAAUCUGGUCGAUCUAUGAUCGGGUCAUAGACCUCGUCUAUACGUGUCCACUACUUGUCUCAUGAGUGUUCAAGAUCAAUGAUCAUUACUGUGAGUUUAUAAUCUCUAAUUAUGGCUCUGUGGCCGAACACUCUCAUGGAUGUGGACAUCGAUUUCUUUGCCUUAGGUAAUGCCGUAUUCAUUAUUCUUUGCAUUCCUAUCUUAAUGAUGAUGAUGGCGUCUCAUGACCUUAGUUGCUGUGGAUCACAUCACACGCUAAGUAUACAUUAUUAGGUCAUGGACUUCGGCUUUCACGAGCUUAUGGACUACAAUACUUUAUAUCCGACAGGUAAGGAUAGAUUAAACAUCUCCUCUUACCCUUACGACAAAACUUUGUGGAGUUUAUACAGCAGCAGACCGUUCUGCUAUGCCGGAUCCUUAAGGGAUCUGAUUGUCGGAUUGCAACCUGAUGGUUGAUCUUUUCUACUAGCCCGUGAUCUAGAAGAAAGGACGGACACCUUAAGCUGAAGGGCCGGACGCAUUUUAUGGCCGAUGGGCUUAGAGCCGGAUGCCAUUUAGCAGAAGGGGCCGGAUGCCAUUUAGCAGAAGGGGCCGGACGCUUUUAGCUGAAAGCCGGAUGCCUUUUAACUUAAGGGUUGGACGUCUUUAGUCGAAGGACCGGACGCCUACAGAUACAUUAUGUAUCAGUCUACUAACCUCCUUUAGGUUUAGUACAAACACAAGGGAUUUCAAAUGUAUAUGGACUGUUAUUGGAUUGUCUUUUAUACAACUCCAAGAUCAUGCGUGAUCGCUUUCUUUUACAUACUAUAUGCAGCUGAUUUUCAGUCGAUGAAUCAGCUUAGGAACAAAGCUGUUCUUUCAAUUUUAUCCAGUGAUCCAUAUGCUGCUUACUACAUCGUUGUAUCUAAUUUCUUUCUUAUGACCAGACCAUUUUCAAUUUCGAAAAUCUGUAGCAGCAUCAACCACAUAGGAGUUUAUCUCCUUAUAAUAUGUUCCUUUGAUCUCUGUGAGUACAAGCUAUAAUCGAAUGCUGUGAAUAGGAAAACAUGAACACCUUUACAUCAUGUACAUCUCUCACGGUUUCUUUACUUCUCACAGGAUCCAUCUAUUUCACUGGUUUAUAGGAUGGCGUUUCUGUAUAUAUGUAUAUGGCCAAUACGCCCAUCACUUUCUUUAGAUACUUUGAACCUCCACGUUUUACCUUUUCUAAUCUCUAUGAUCUUUUAUGAUUGUAUGAGUACUCUUUCGUGGGUUCAUGAUCCUCGUUCAUCUCUUUAUGUUCAAGUGCUAUAACUUUAUGUAUCUUUAUACAAAUGUGUGUGUGUGUGUCGACACUUUCAUGUGGUUCCAUUAUGUUCCAGACAUGAUCUAUAGAUUUGAGAUCUUAUUAUCCAUGACCUUUGUUACCUAGUAGCUUGGCGUCCCAAUACUACAUGGUUUGGUACCUUAGAUGUGUAGCUGCACAGCCUUUUCUCAAUGUCUGUUUGGUUUCUAGUAUGAUCUCGGAUCUAUCAUUCCAUGCACCAUUCUUUUCUAUCCGAGAUCCCUUUAUCUUAUGGAACACUUGGCCUAUCUUGUAUAGACUCUAUAGCAACUUGAUUAUGUCUCUUCUAGGACAUUCAUUUGGUGCUAAGCUGGUUAGUCAUUUCUCGGGUCAGUGUCUGGCAUUUCGAUUAGCAUCUUAAUUAGCUAUCUUUAUAAUCUUUCUUUGGACGUCUUAAAUCAUAAUCUCUAGUCCGAGGAUCUUUGCCAAGACAAUGAUGGUUAAAAUCAUUCUUAUCAUUCUUUUAUCCAGCUUAUAAUCUUUCUCCUUUAAUGUUUGGAUAGAUGGAUGCAAUCCGUGUACUUGGCCACAAUCCGAUCACCCAUGUUUGGCUCAAGUUUUCUUUAUAAAUCGUGGGAGAAAGUAAUACUCCUAUCCAACAUAUAUUCCCAAUCCUCUUCUGAGGUUCCAUCUUAGACGGCACAUAUAUGUAUGUGGUGGUUUAUUCAAAAUCUCUUAAGAUGGUAUAUGUCUGGUUUUAUGACCCGUAUUCAAUCUGAGAUGGGAAUAUCUAUGCUCACUUAUAUGGCCUGAUGCAUUUUGUCAUUUAUAUACAUGUAAAUUCAUAAUGUCUCCAAGCUUAUAGACUUUAUAGUCUUAUCCUUAUAGGUAAUGGCUUACAUGGCCGAUAUCUUAUAGGUAAUAGCUUACUUGGCCGAAUCCUUAUAGGUAAUGGAACGUGUGCGGCCAAGCCUGCACUAUGCGGCCAAGUCACGACCAAGUCACGGCCGAGCCGUUUAUUCUCAUGGCCUCUUUGGUUUGGCCGUUUGUAUCAUGGCCUCUACGGCCGAGGAAUGGUCAUUUAUGGCCGAGUAAUGGCCGAGCCAUACACGAACUUGUAGUAUUGAUCAUGGGUUUAUCCUCUCUCCCCCUCAUGACCAUACUAUAAGUUUGUGGUGCUUGGGACAAUUAAGCCUAAUGAGUUUCCCUUUGUGUACAUGUUUCACAACAUGAGAUCUUUUACGGGAUAACUCUGUGCCUUUUCAAUCUUUGCAUCAAGUUUAGACUUUAGGAUGGCUAAUCCUAUCAUGCCAUAUAGUGUAAAAUUUCGUGGUGUUAUCUCAAUAUGGUUACCACAUCUCUUGCCUCUUUAUCAUACUGAUCUGUAGCAUAGUUUUGAUCAGUAGAGAUCAUAGGUAUAGUCUCGACCACUUUCUUUCAAGGUCUUAGGCGUUUUUCUUCUUAAAAUCUAAAGGAACUUGUUUCCUUCCUUACCCAUUGUUUCUACUUGGAAACCAUACAUUAUAACUUCAAUGGGUCACAUGUUCUUUUGGGUGUGUAUAAUGCCUUUUAAGGCAAUGCCUUAGCCAUAGUUUCUUUACUAUGCUUACUAUACCCAUUCAUGAUUUCUUACUUGGUUUUAUGCCCUUUAGGCAACUCUUUAAAAUCAUUUAUAUGUUCAAGUAAGAUCAGGCAAGACAAUGAAUUCAAAACCAAUUCCAUUGUAUAUAUAAAAUCGUGAACCAUCAAGUAGGUUAAAAGCAAAUCACAAAACAAGGACUUUAAAAUAAAAUGUCGAGAUCCCUCUUAGUUAAAUAGAUAAGCCGGCCUGUCCAUCUAUUGCAUUGGACACGGCUGCCUUGGAUUCAUCUUGAUCCAUUUCCUCAGGAUAUUUCAUCUCACUGCUUUUCUUUAGUACCUUGUCAUUCUCAAUCACCGUUAGGCAAGAGAUCAGGUCAUUGUAAGUGGUAGAACCUCUUUCUAUGUAGAUAUGUUUUGACAACAAAUCUUCUGGAUGGAAUGUGGAGUAUGUCUUGAAUAGACAAUCAUUAUCUGUUACCUCUUCUCCACAUAAUCUCAGUUGGUACACGACCCUGGACAAGGCAAAGUGAAACUCGGCCACUGUCUCAAAGUCUUGGAAUCUGAGACUCAUCCAUUCAUGUUUGACCUUUGGUAAUAAUACCAUAGUGUAUCUGGACUUUAAUUCUGUCCAAAGGUCACGAGGAUUCUCAAUAUGUAGAUACUGAUUUCUCAGUUCCUCAGUGAGAUGAUGGCGCAUUAUUGUAAUGGCUCUUAACUUUUCACUUUUAGUUGCAUAAUCACCCUGAAUGAUACUCCUUCCGAGUCCUCUUGAUUUCAGGGUAACUGAAGUGUUCAUUGCCCAUUCUAGAUAAUUAUCUCCAGAGAGAUUUAGAAUGGCAUAAUCCAUGGGUUCAAAUCUCGGCAUCUGAAAUCAUAUUAUCAAUCAAUUCAUUGAUUUAGAAUUCUUGCAACCAAUUUAAAUAAUCAGUGCAUAUGAUUUCAUAAGUCUAUCUAUGAUACUUAGGCCAUACGGCUUUUUCAUUUGUGAUGCUUAUACCUCACGGCCAUACAACGAUCUUAAGGAUCGGAUCAUGAUGCAAUCCGGUUUAUAAAAUCAUCCGGAUACUAGGCCACACGGUCACUUUGGUAUGCACUAAGCCACACGGCUUUUAAUCAAUCAAGGGCACAAAGCCGCAAGUGUGGGCAAUGUAUUAGGCCACAUGGCCAUAUACAAAAGGAGAUUAUUAAUCUAAGUGUAUUCAAUCCUAUUGCUUAGUUGCAUAUCUAUUAAGAUUUACCAAUUUCAAGGUUGGUAAUAUUAGAUUUUAGAAUCAAGCACUCUAGCAACCUAACUCUCAUUCAAUAUGUAAAUUCUUUAAAUCAAUCUUUCAAGCUUUAAGUAAUGAGAGAUUUAAGGUUUCAAGGCCUUUAGGAAUUUCAAACGAGAUUAAGGGUUUCAAGGCCUUAAGGAUUUCGAAUUUUGAGAUUAGAUCUAUCAAUACUAAAAUCUCAGAUCAAUCAAUCAAACAAUCAAACAAUUUAGAAACCUCAAUGAUCAAUAGAUCAGAUGAAGUCAAAACCGAUUUAAGCUUUUAGGGUUUCUAGGGUAUUUCGAAAACUUUGAUCUUUGAUCAAGGGGAUUUGAUUUGAGAUUCAAAAACCUUUAAGGUUCUGAUUUUAAUUGAUCAAUGGAUCAAUCUCGAAUUAUGGUUUAGGGGAUCGGACUUAUUCGAGCUCCGAUUUACUCUUUUAGGGUUUUAUCUAUUUAUCCUAAUGCUUUCAUCUUAGAGAUUAGUUUUAGAGUUUCAAUCUUUACAAACAAUCAGGUUCGAUUCAUGUUCUCAAAUUAAGUCUGUACCUUUGUUUUGCAGGUCUGAACCGGACCACCAAAGAUCAGAGACGAGCUGAGACGAACGGACGCGGAACGGCUCCUAUUGGGUCGCGUUGCCGAGAGCUAUCGCGAGCUUGUUUCUUCUCGCGGACGGUUUCGUCUGGUCGGGGAUUUGGUCUGAGCUGGACGCAAGCUGAGCUGAGGCUGAGGACGUUGAUCACGGACAGGGAACGUCUGAAGCUGAGCUUGAUCAGAGUUGAGCUUGAUCGGAGUUUGCAAGCCAGAACGCAAGCAAGAACAAUUUAGGGUUCUUCGGGAUUAUAUCUUUGCACGAACUCCUCUUAGCUCAUGAAAUAAAAACAAGGAGUAUUAGAUUACAUGAACACCAUAAUCUGAACAAGAUAUCAUCAAACAACUAAGGUAUGAUAAACUUAUCUUUCACAGGUUUUGAAUUUGGCUGGAAAAUCAUGUUGGUUCGGAUUAGGGUUCCAAAGACCAAGACGCCGCCAUGUAUUGUAUCUGAGAUCGUGGGCGCGUCUGAGAUUAUAUCGACGAACGGUUUGCGCUGAUGGAUUCGUUUCGUAAAGAGCUUCAAUUUGAUAUGUGGCUCGUCGUCUGGUUCCUCGGGGUUUGAGAGAUAGAUCGAUUUUAAGUUGCGUCAAAAUUAGGGUUUAUGUGUGACGGAUUUUAGGUUAGGUUUUGUCUCAGGGUUUUGGAGUCUAUCGUGCUGAUAACGUGUUGUAAAUAGAGGGUUUAGAGACUGAAUAUUUCUCUGUGUGUUAUUAUUGAUGAAUAGAGGUUCUUUAUAUAAGGAUUACAAAGAGUAGAUAAAAAGAAAAUAUCCAAAACCUAAUCCAACAGGAAAUAGGAAAACUAAAGAUAACAAAGAAAAAGGAAAACGUCCUAAUCCUAAGACGGUCUAAACCGACCGUCUCUCUCUCCUCGGACGACCGACUCUCUCUCCUCUUGGUCACGGCCAUGGCUGGGCUUGGUCGUGGCUGAUGGGUUUUCUCCUCUUGUUUUGGUUAAUGGCAAUCCACUCCAUGAUUUAUAACAAUCGCUAAUUAUUUUUAGGUUGGAAGCCCUUGCAAACUUCUUUGUUUCUCUGGCAUUGUUUCCGGUUUAAGUUGGUGUGUAUUUUCUCUACUUCUCUGUUUCUCUGUAAUUGAACAACUAUGUUUAUUACGCUGAAAAUUACAAGCACAGUCAAAGAUGUGUGUCUUUUCCGCUCUUCUGUAUCUAAACAUCAACUGUAUGGACGUGAGAUGAGCAAUAAACAGAUGAUCCAGAUCAACGCUAUAAGCAACACAGGACUUUCAUCACGGAAUUGGAUGAAGGAAAAGCUACCUGCGAUGAGAUGCUUGUCCCGGAGCCAGCAAGGCGUCUGGAGCUUCAACCAAGAUCAUACCGUCCCUGUUCAAGAUAUCCUAGUGAAAGUGAAUGAAUCCAUCGAAACCUUGUUGAAUCUGGUUAGGUGUGUCUUUGGUUUAAGGGCUGAAACACCAACGGUGAUCACCGUCAAGCUGCCUCCAUGGAUGCAUGGCCCAGAAGGAGCCACAAUCGCCCCACUGAACAUUGUAUCAAACACCGAUGUGGAGAUAAUGAUGGGUGCGCAUGAGUGGAACACAGAACCAAAACUCUCGGUCAUUAUUGGAGCGGAGGAGGUUGCGUGGUACCAGUUCGUAUGUCGAACAACGUUCACCAUAGGGGACAGAACGUUCUUGACAGAUGGAGUCUCCGAAGAGCAACACCUAGCAACCAUCAACGGUAAGCAAAAUCAAAAUUAAUAAAAAAGAUCUAUAGUUGAACCAGAAGAAGAAAAAUAGAUAAUUAAUUCUUUCCUUCCAAUUUUGUGGCAGAGAUAAUUGGAGAUGAGGAGAUAAAGUGUCCUAGGCGAUUUCUAGAGGAGCUUUUUAACCAGGACAAAAUGGCUGUUAUUUUUCGUUUUGCGAUGGAGGUUGAGAAAGCAAGAAAUAGUCUUGAUUUGAAUUUAAGCGUAUUUGAUGGAAACGGUGAUCAUAUAGUCCCAGACAUAGGAAAUCUUAACGAGGUCGGUCCAGAGUGGGGAGCAGGAGAGCAAUAUGGUGGUAUUGAUGGAUUUGGGGAUAUGGACGAUUCAGGUAAUGGACCAUAGUAUUCUUUAAUACACAAGCAUUGUUUCCUUUCGGUUACCGGAACUAAGACGUGUUAGAUUUCAUUUUAGAUGUGCCAGCAUAUCAAAAUGUCCCGGGGGGCCAUCUUCACGCGUUGAUAUCGGGCCGGUGUAUUGGCAAGACUUGAUGUCCAGCAGUUAUGCACUGCAGCUUGAUCGAAUUUAUGGGGUGGAAGGCUCGGAGUACGUGGGAUACCAACCUAGUGAUAUCGCUAUUGGGGGACCUGAGGCUAAGCAAAGGACACAAGCUUUACCGGUUUUUCAUGGGUCUCCGGUUCUAUCAUCAUCUGCUGUUACAAAUCUCCCAUCGGUGGGGUCUGAAGGGAACGUCAGUGGUGCGACAGUGGUUCAUAGAGGUACGUUGGUCAUUGUAAAUAGUAUUUUGCUAUACAUCACAUAUAGACGUCCUAAUGUGCAUAAUGUUAAUAAGGUGUAAUGGUUCUUUCACGGUUGCUGUUUCAUAGGAGGAGCAUUGACAAUCGUUCUUCAGGACAUUACGGGGGAUGAGGAGAAUAACGCUAAAGGAGGCGAGGAAGGCAAUAACGACGGCCCGGGUGGUGACCAGUAAACAUGAAUCCAAAUGCGUGUGGUAGUAAAGGGGUUGCAGUUUUUUGUUAUGUUUAAUAUCUACGGUCUUGAUGUUUCUGCAUGUUGUUUCUACAAGCUGGAAAAGGCGUAUUUCAUAAGGUUGUCCUGUAAAAUACCUGUGGCCUUGGGGUUUGUUUUUGGUUUGUUGGUCCCGGUUAAGUGUGUUCCUCUAUAUGUAGUGAAUCCUAUCGAGUAAUUUAAAAUACUUGGGUAUGUUUCGUGUAAUGUAAAAUAUUUGGGUAUCUAUCGACUAUUGCAAAAUAUUUCGUUCUCGCCAAUCUAUAAGUAGGAUCUUGUGUAAUAAAAACCCGGGUUUAGUACUUAAUAACCAUAAAUUUAUCCUAAAAUCCGGCAAUGUUAAUUGAACUACUCAACGAUAAAGAUGAAACAGUUUGACAUAAGUGGUGUGGUCAAUGGUACUUAGACGAAAUAUAUUUUGGAUAUGUUUGAUGUACAACUAUCACUAUGUAUUAAGUCAAAUAUGUAUUCGGUUAUUAACACACCUACUAUGUCGUGAAACUUUUAGUUCGAACCUGAUAAAUGAUGACAUGAGAGUUAGUAGAACGAAACAAAUGGUCUCAAUAAAACAUGUACGAAACAAAGGAGAUUGGAACAGAGUUUGGGCGAUAAAAAUGAAACAAGUCUAGCGUAGGACAACGGAGUUUUAACCCUAAACCCUAAAGAAUCUGGUGAAACUCAUUGAGCAUGACAGCGGCCCUCUGGGAUUCUUCGGUAAGAACUAGCGGGGUGACACACCUGAAUGUGUCUGGACCAAACAAGGCAUGAGUUUGCAUGAGCAAUGCUGCUGUAAACCCUGAAUCACCAGGGGGCAGCGUUAACUGGAACGCCUUUUAUUCUUUCAACCGACAGAUUUUGACCAUCAACUCUGUCAAUGCGACCACAAUACUUGAGGAGAAGGAGGAACAUCUCGGCAACAGGGUACAGAUCUCUUGACAACAGAGCAUCAGUGCGGACAACGGGGUUGCAAUCUAAAACGUAUAUCUUACAUGAUGGGCAGUCAACACAAAUGCCAAUCCAAUGCUUGUUCGCGAUGAGGAAUGGGAAAUAGAAACUGGUGGUGUUGCUAUCUUCAGAUCCAGUUUUCUUCAAACAAUCUGCCAGCCCCUUACUGAACGCAUAAUCUUUUUUGAUUUUCGCUUUCUUAAACUUGGGAUAGUUCCUAGUAAACAUUGUCACAAAUCGGGUAUCAAAGAACUCAGCGGUCUUGUCGCUCUUGGCCUGUACGUGUUUAUUGAAGGUUGAUCUGACUAGAUGCAUAAGUAUAUCCAUCACCUAACAUACUAAAAAUAUUAGGUUUCCCUUCCGAGAAGCAAGCAUUUUGGAAGCAUAUUUGAUUUUUAUUAACAGUACCUUAGCGGGUAGGAGCCUGUUCUUAUCAGCAAUGCCUGAUGUCCUUCGUGUUGAUAGAAAAACCGUCGACGUUUAUUAAACAGUCACCAAUAAAUAAUCAGCAGGGGAGUCAGUGUACUAAUGCACAACAAAAACAGAAAAAUUAGGUUACGUGUUAAAAUAACCGGGAGUUAGACAACCCACCGAGGCGGGGUGAAGAUGUGUAGAUAAACCAGUUUGGGGAAAUGUUAAUGCAGUUUACGUAAAUGAACUCCGGCCUCUUAUAUUAAUAACCGGUUACACAAAAAGUGUAUAGGGAGUUACCAUGGUCUAGUUAUGAGUGUUGUGAGCUUCGUGUACUUCUCACGGAGGACCGCAUUCACAUAGCGGUUGUCUGCACACAUCUGGGCUUCCCAAGCUCUGUUUAGGAUUGCAUAACUACAAUGGUAGUCAUUGACCAGUGCUGGUGGAACUGUCCUUAAGCGUUUGCUUUUGCGGCAAAGAGGACCGCCCUCUCCAUUUUCAUCGUUGUCUACAUCAGCAUUUACUAAAACAUCGGCAACAGCAUCAGUUGGUCUUCCCAGCUCAUCAUGAGUUAAUCCGAGCGAGAAAGAAUGAGCCUGCAUAAGUAUAAUUAAAGGGCUGUGAUUAACAAUAAAGCGAUAUGACCAAAAAUUCCUAUUUCAAAGCAAUGAUUUACCAGUGGGUCGUUCUCAUGCUUGGUAAUGCUGGUAGCAGACAAGGAUGUCUGUUGCUGAGUCUCACCUUCCUGAUGACCACUAGAGUGGGUGAGAGAUUUGUGCUUGUUAGAUCUCGCGUCGGAAAGCUGUUAUGAAAAAUUUUAAUAAAUAGAAACUCAGCAUAAGAUGAAACCAGAUCUGCAGACUAUAAUUUGGCUACAACACAGAGAAACCGGAUCUAUGUACUAUAUAUAUAUGCUACAACCCAAUAAAACAUGUAGUAUAAAUAGGUGAGAACUAAAACAAGAAACUAGAGGCUUACCGGGCAGCGUUGGGCAGACCGAGGAGGUGUGGAAUACUGACUAAGGCUCGCUCUCCAUCACACUAUUAAUAAUCUGGUCAUUGGCGUCUUCACCUGAUGGCUUUGCAUGUCGGGAGGUACCUGACCUGCUUCUAUUGUCAGCCGAUGGUGUAUGUUCUUGUGGCCGUUGCGAAGGGGUAAUAUUCCGUGUUUUUAACGGUUUUAAACUCGUUUUGGAGCAAUUAAAUGGUCGGUUUUAAUUAAUGUUUUGGUCUAUUUGAUGCGUUUUGGUGUUCUUAAGUGUAAUAUGCAGGUUACUAGAUAGCUUGAAAGAAAAGAACGCAUUCGGGAUUUAUUCAGAAGCAAGAUGGACCGAACAAUGGACCGAAUGAGAAGUAUUGAUCGCACAGNNNNNNNNNNNNNNNNNNNNNNNNNNNNNNNNNNNNNNNNNNNNNNNNNNNNNNNNNNNNNNNNNNNNNNNNNNNNNNNNGAAGAAGUUCAUGAGAGAUGUGAACCACUAUUACUGGGAUGAUCCCUUCCUCUACAAGAGAUGCUCAGAUGGUUUAUUCAGGAGAUGUGUUCUGGAGAAUGAGAUGCAAGGGAUUCUUUUCCACUGCCACAGUUCAGAAUACGCAGGCCAUUUUGCAACAUUCAAGACGGUUUCUAAGGUCCUGCAGGCUGGUUACUGGUGGCCUACACUUUUCAGAGACGCCCAUGAGUUUGUCUCAAAGUGUGAUGCAUGUCAGCGGAAGGGUAACAUCAGUAAGAGAAAUGAGAUGCCCCAAAAUUUCAUCCUUGAAGUUGAAGUUUUUGAUGUAUGGGGAAUUGAUUUUAUGGGCCCUUUCCCAUCUUCUUAUGGAAAUGAGUACAUCUUGGUUACGGUUGAUUAUGUCUCCAAGUGGGUGGAAGCAGUAGCCAGCAAGACAAAUGACUCUAGUGUUGUCAAGAAAAUGUUCAAGACAGUCAUUUUUCCAAGAUUCGGGAUCCCGAGAGUGGUUAUAAGUGAUGGAGGCUCUCACUUCAUCAACAAGACGUUCAAUAAACUGCUGAAGAGAGUAAAGCAUAAGGUAGCUACACUUUAUCAUCCUCAGACAAGUGGGCAGGUUGAAAUAUCGAACCGAGAAAUCAAGGGGAUUUUGGAGAAGGCUGUAGGCAAAACAAGGAAAGACUGGGCUGUGAAGCUUGAUGACGCCUUAUGGGCGUAUAGAACCGCCUACAAGACUCCCUUGGGCACCACUCCUUUUAAUCUGGUCUAUGGAAAGUCUUGUCACCUACCUGUGGAAUUGGAGUACAGUGGUUUUUGGGCAACGAAGUUGAUGAACUUCGACAUUAAAACCGCAGCAGAAAGGAGGAUGGUUCAGUUGAACGAGCUGGACGAGAUUCGGUUGAACGCCUAUGAGAACACCAAAAUCUACAAGGAAAGAACUAAGGCAUGGCAUGACAGAAAGAUAAUCCCGAGAGACUUCGCUGCUGGAGACAAAGUCCUUCUGUUCAACUCUAGACUCAAGCUAUUUCCUGGAAAGCUUAAGUCUCGUUGGUCCGGACAUUUCACCAUCACAGAGGUUAGACCUUAUGGAGCUGUCGUCUGGGAAGACAAUGGGAGGAAAUUCACCGUCAAUGGGCAGAGGCUAAAACCUUACUUCACAGAUGCAAAACCCGAAGAAGGAACCAACAUUCCUUUAUCGGAACCCGAUCUCGCCUAAGGACAACAAAAUAGUCAGGCUCGCGACUUUAAACAAGCGCUGACUGGGAGGCAACCCACAUGGUUUGAUUUUCUUUNNNNNNNNNNNNNNNNNNNNNNNNNNNNNNNNNNNNNNNNNNNNNNNNNNNNNNNNNNNNNNNNNNNNNNNNNNNNNNNNNNNNNNNNNNNNNNNNNNNNNNNNNNNNNNNNNNNNNNNNNNNNNNNNNNNNNNNNNNNNNNNNNNNNNNNNNNNNNNNNNNNNNNNNNNNNNNNNNNNNNAAAAAAACUCUCUACGUAUUUUUCUCAGACCCUGUGAUGAUUAUUAGACUAUUUCCUUGUGUGUUGUGUAUUACAUUAUAUAUUGACCAUUUUUCAGGACUGUUGGCGCAGACAAACCGAGGAACUACUUGACCAAGCAACCUCUCCUUAAAUCUUUUAUCAAGUCUCGGUGAAUUGUAAUCGACUCAAAUAUUUUUGACCAUUAAUGAAUUUAAUUUCUUUUGACCAGGAAUCAACAUCAGGAAACGGUACACCAUAUACACAUUCAGGAUUUUCUUUACCACAUUUUACCACUCUUUAAUAAUCCUGAAUGGCCAGACUCAUCAAUAGUUUGGUACCUCACCUACACCUUACCCUUUUAUUUCAUCUCCAUGCAUUCUUACACACUGAUCAUAUGUGCAUACAUGUGCAAAAACAAUGGAGAGAUUAGGGUAGACAUGGUUCAUCCGACUGCUUAGGUAGGAUCGGAACAUUUAGGUGGUUAGACACGGACCUGUGUGUCUAGAGGUGUAAAUAGAAAAAUUGGGUGUUGUAAGUGUGUGAUUGCAUCGCAGUGUAUAUAUUCGAUUUCGGUUUGUAUAAGUUUUCGUUCUGAAAUAUAAAAAAAAAAAAAAAAAAAAGUUCAUGUUUAUAUCUCAUUCAGUAGAUUUGAUUUAGACAUUUUAUUUUUAUUUUGUGUACCAGAGAUGAUGCGUUGUUUAAAUUUGGGGUUAGAGUUUGAGAUUUGUUGGGUUUUGAUCAUUUGAGACUUGAGCAGUUCGGAGCUUUUCACUCCUUUUUACCCACUCCCCUCAAUAAUAGACAGAGGAACUCGACUUUUGAGACUCAGAAAAGACCAGGGGCGACCAAGGAGGAGAUUUACAAGUUCUAGAGAGAGAUUUGAGUGUUUUGUACUUGUUUUGGUGUGAUUUGUGAAGAUUUGUAAAGGAGUUCAUCUCAAAACCAUUUGGAGAAGAUCUUCUGAACCUUUACUCUGUUUUAAUACAAUCUUAUCAUGUUUUCUUCAUCAAAAUCGUUUUGUUCUUGCUUAGUUAUGUGUGAGUAGUCAUCUAGUUGGGUUUAGGGGUUCUCAUAGGGGAUUUCUUGAUGUUUUGAUCCAUAAAACGUGUGUAGACUAAGGGAUUACGUUUUGGUUCUUCAUCUAAUGGAUUUCUUACUGCUUGAACUGAAUUGAUCACUUAGUUCAUGAUUUCAGAUUGUUUGAUGCACCGAAAGUGAUUGUUUGAACUUCCGAAAAUACUUUAGAUGAGCAAAGUGUCCUUAACCCUCGGAAGUUGAUGUUAUUGCGCUUUGUGAACAUAUUGAACCUGUUCUUAAUGCUUGUUUAGAAAUUGAAACUCAGCGGAAGUUAGUGUGGAGAUUUCUAUAACAUAGAGAAUUAGCGCUACGGAAGUAGGUUAAUUCUAAUAUCGUGUUUGAGUUCUAGACGGUUCUUAAUAUAUCCCUGUGUCUUCCAUUAAUUGUAUCUUGAUUAAAAAGAAAUCCCUGAGAAUUCCCAAUGCCCAACGUUUGUUUUAAAAUAGUUUUCAAAUCGUUUAAAUCAUCUUUUUACAUGCUUGUUUAUGUUUUGUGACACCUAAGAAAAUUAAAUAAGAACCAUCAAAAAUAUAUCUUGAUUCGCUGUAGCUAUUAACUUGUCUGCAACUCUACGUGUGAUCAUCGGUCCCUGUGGAUUCGAUCCCGCAUUACUACUGCGUACUUUAUUGUGCACUUGCAGUUAGAUAAUCGGGUUAAAACUCGACACAUCAAGGGGGACAGUGUCCUUCGUGUUCUCCAAAAACUCGGGUCUGGGAUGUCUGAAGGUUGUCGUUGUUCUGUUCAGCAACCUCUAGAGGUGACUUGACAAUGGACGCCAUAAUUUCCUGUUUGAAAGCUACAAGCAUUGCAUCGAGUGGUCCAAGCACAGUAGCUUGUUGUUGGGCCUCUGCGCUCCGGAUUAUUGAUGCAAUUGAGGCAUCUAUUUUUGAAAUCUCGGGUUUCAUGACAGCAAGAACAAUUGGCUUGAUAGUAGAUUCAUCUAUGACUCCAGCGGUGGUUUCCUUCGAAGUGGUUUGCUUCGAUGUGGGUUGCUUGCGUUUGGCCGCAACUUUCGCUGACUCCCUCAUUCUCUCAACUUCCUGUUUUGUUAGGCCCCCUUUAAACAUGUACUUUGAAAAACAAUGAUUCGCAUGAAUCAGCUUGUCGACUUUAGUAUCUUCGACAUGGUCUUUUACAACAAGAAUGGAUUCAUCAACCGGGUGAAGAGGGUCUUGGGGGAAUGAUACUCAUAUGGGCUAGCCAAUAAAACCGUGAACUUUUGUUGACUUUUUUAGUUUAUUAAGAAACUUACGAUUGACUGACCAUAUUAACACACCGUUAACCGAGUUAACAGAUAAAUAAGCGGAUGUUAAUUUUGGGUGUUAAAGCAUACGACGUCGUUUCAUAUCUUUGUCUGAUUAAAGACAAACGACGUCGUUUAUAUAGGUUUGUUAUUAAAAAUAUGUGUUUCCAACGGGUCGAACUCGUGUACUCGGGUUUAAUGGUAGGGGUUUUUGCCACUGAGCUAGUGGACUUUGCAAUAGAUUUACGAACACAGUUUCUUUUAUUCUCUUCGAAGCCGAGUUAAAAGACAAAUGAAUGAAACGACGCGUUUUAUAUAGCUUUUUUAUUAAAAAGAUGGGCUUCCAUCGGCUCGAACUCGUGCACUCGGGUUUAAUGGUAGGGGUUUUUGCCACUGAGCUAGUGGACUUUGCAAUAGAUUUACGAACACAGUUUCUUUUAUUCUCUUUGAAUCCGAGUUAAAUGAAUCAAAAAUCAUAAAUCCAGCUCGAUUCUCUUCGAUCUCGUCCUUAAGAAUCUCGAUUCUCACCUUUCCUUCUUCGAGUAUCGCAUGAUGAGUUCGGAUCCUUCAACGCUUUUACGGAUCCUCGAUCUCUCCGGCGAUGACAAACUCACAGAAGCAUCGCGUUCUCCACCCUUCUUCGACUCUUGAAUAGCUUCGUCACUCCCGUAAUCGAAAUUCCUCAUCGCUCCGAAAAUCAUUACCUCCCUUCCAUUCCUUGUGAACUUCGUCUUUACCAUCUCCUCACAUCACAAGAUAAAUCCCCAAAUUGAUUUGAGAAAUUAGGGUUACGUUCAAACACGGGUUUCGUUUUCUUUGAUUUCAAUCAAACACAUCUUUUGAUCAAUAAAAAUAAACAUGUGUGGUAAUCUUCCGAAAAGUCCACUAGCUCAGUGGCAAAACCCCCUAAGGACCACGACUGCACGGGUUCGACUCCAGCCAACAACAAUUUUAAUUAAGCAAAACGACGUCGUCUUGACAUUUUGUCUUUAACAAAACAAUUGGAUGAAACGACGUCGUUUCACUAAACGACAGUAAUUAACAGUGAGUUAACACUGUCUUAACUGUCGGUUAACGGUGUGUUAAUCUGGUAAGUCAACCGUAAGUUUGUGAAUUAACAAAAAAUGUCAACAAAAGAUCUGAAUUUUAUUGGUCAGGCUCGAGUACAUGUUUCUUUUGGCAAUUUCUGCAAAGUUCAGUGUUUUUUGGCCGAUUUCUCAAAGUAAAAUCCCUUUAGUUUCUCACACUACACGCAUGAUCUCCCAAACCAUUAUUUUUUUCUCGACACGAAUUAACUCUCGAUCAGAAACUGUAAAAUUUUAAAUUAUUUGCAACAACUCCAUUAAAUUGUUUUUUUUUUUGAAUGAAAGUAAAAUUAUAAUCAAACAAAAACUGUGUUACAUCUUGUGCUUCUGUUUUACUUAUGAACUCAUAAGGCAAUAAAAAUAAAAGAUUCUAACCACCUAUUACGAUGGUGUUAGAUCUUCUCUCGUGCCAAACCAAGUACGCAGACUUCUCUCCAAAUAGGCUUGGCCUCUUGCUUUGACUGCAAGCAGAUGCAAUCUGAUCGUUUUAUCAACGAGUUUGCUCAGAGUAAUGGCAUCCUUUGGUUCUUCACCAUGUCUCCUCGAGUUUCUUUCCCUCCAGAUACUGUGAACUGCUGCCUGCAGGGAGUAUCUGAUAAGGAACAAUUCUGUGGCAGGAAAGGUCGAGCCAGAUAUUAUAGUGAUAAUGGUAUUCCAGUCUGUGGUAAAGCCAUCUUUGAGAAGCCCUUGUACCAAUGAUUUCCAAACCUUAGAUGAGUAGGUACAUUGGAAAAAGAGAUGAUGGCAAGUCUCUUGCACUUCAUGACAUAGAGUACACUCUGCGUUUAUGGUAGCAUUCCAAGCUUGCAUUUUAUCUCCUGUUUGCAACCUGUUCUUUAUUGCAAUCCAGAUCAUAAAUGAGUAUUUCGGGGUGGACUCGGGGAACCAUAUGCCUCUGCUCCAAGGACAGAUAGAUUGCCUCGUCCUCAGCUGAUGCCAUGUCUUUUUAGUGGAGAAUCGGUUUCCAAAUUUUCCUUCUUCGCUUCUCCAUAACGGGACAUCAUCCAUGUCCCUUAACCCUCCAAUGCGCAAUUUAUUUAUGUCUUCCUCUAUAUCAUUUAGAAUGCGCUCUCUAUGUCUUCGCCUCCUGUUAUUUGAGAGGACAUCUGCCAUCGUAGCAUUUUCCACAAUACCAAGCGCUAUUUUACCUCUAUCACCUACGGCUUCCUUUAGGCAACCAAUCUGCGACCAGACAUUAUACCAAAAGGAUGUAUGGUUCCCAUUUCUGACAUCUAUACGCAGAAAUUGCCUUGCUAUGUCUCUCAUUCGUAGAAUCUUCUUCCAUAUCCAAGACCCCAAAUUUGUCUUAACUGAGAUCGACCAGAAAGACCCUUUCCUUAUCAAAUAACAAUGUAUCCACUUGACCCACAAGGAGGAUCUAGCAGAUGAUAUUCUCCAGAUUAGCUUCAGGCAGUGAACUUUGUUUAUCUCCUUUAAAGACCUGAUUCCCAAGCCUCCUUCAUUCUUUGGUAAGCAAAUGUCUUGCCAGCUCACUUUUGCUUUUGUAGGUUUUAAAACAGGGCCUGACCAGAGAAAGGCUGCGCAUAGACUUUCUAUUUCCUUCAAACAACUACCUGGGAGUCGAAAAGCCGCUAGCCAGAAGUUUGCUAGACUCAUGAUUACCGAGUUGAUCAGCUGUAGCCGCCCUGCAUGGGAAAGGAAACGACCAGUCCACGAGCUCAUGCGCUUUCUUAUCUUUUCCACCAAUGGCAUGUAGUCACUUACUGUCAUUCUCUUUGUGAGGAGGGGAAGACCUAAGUAGCGGACUGGUAGCUGUCCUGAGGCGAAGGGGAAGCUUUCGAGGGUCUCUGCUUCUUGUUCCACUGUUGGACCUGCCAUGUAGAGAACUGUUUUCUCCAAGUUGAUUUUCAGACCCGAUAUCACUUCAAAGUCUGCAAAGAUCCUAAGAAUACCUGCAAUAGACCUUCGUGUGCCAUCAGUGAAGACAAGCAGAUCAUCAGCAAAGCAUAAAUGUGUCAAGAGGAUGUUCCGACAUCUCGGAUGGUACCCUAUUUCUUUUCUUUCUACUGCCUUGUCAAGCAUAUUUGAUAAUACAUUCAUGCAUAUGACAAAGAGGUAUGGCGAUAGUGCACAACCCUGCCUCAGCCCCCUCUUGCUUUGAAAGAAACCCGCUAGUUCCCCAUUUACUUGUACUGAAAACGAAGGCGUGCACACACAUAGCUCAAUCCAAUGGAUAAAUUGCUCCGGCAUGUUCAAGGCUCGAAGGGUAUUCAAGAGAAAUGGCCACUGAACAGAAUCGAAAGCUUUUGCUAUAUCAAUCUUCAUGGCACAUCUUAAUGAGAUGUCCUCCUUGUGGUAGUCUUUUACAAUUUCAGUGGCGAGAAGUAGAUUUUCCACAAGCAAUCUGUCCUUCACAAAUGCGGACUGAUUGUAAGAUACACAGCGAGGGAGGGUGCCUUUCAGCCUGUUUGCGAUGAUCUUUGAGAUGACCUUAUACAAGACAUUACAGCAGGCUAUGGGUCUGUAGUCUUUCAUCUCCAUCGCCUCAUCUUUCUUUGGUAUCAACGCAAGGAUUGUGGUGUUGAGGCCCUUUGGAAGAAACCCCUUGCUGAAAAAAGAAUGCACCGCUGUGGUAAAAUCCUUUGAGAUGAUACUCCAUGAAACCUUGAAGAAUUCAACAGUAAACCCAUCAGGUCCCGGAGAUUUUCCACUAGGCAUUCGAAAUAGGACUUGUUUGAUUUCUGCAUCCGUUACCGGUUUAAUGAGAGUAUUAUGUUCUUCGUCGGAGCAGCGGAAGUUGAUGAUUUGCUGCAUCUCCUCUACUGUUUUCUGUUUCAACCCAUCCGGUAUAUGAGAUAGGGAUUUAGAGAAAAACCUCUCAGCCUCAUUUUUUAUUUCUUCUUGAGAUCGUACCACCUGCCCCGAUGCACAUCUAAUUUCUCUGAUUGCAUUCCUUGUCUCCCGAAUCUUAACGGCGUUGUGGAAGGCUUUAUUGUUUUUGUCUCCUACUUGCAACCAGUGUAACUUCGAUCUUUGCUUUAGAAUUUUUUCCUCAAUUCCAGAAACCUUCUGCCACCUCUCAGCUGCUAAUAGUUCUGCUUGUAUAUGAUCGUGGGAGGGAUCACUUAAGGUAGCUUCUUGCUUCUCACAUAAAUCUUGAUAUGCUUCCCUGACCUUCUUGGUCAAGUCACCCAGCUUCUCCUUGCUCAAACUUCUUAUCAGUGGUUUCAGGCCUUUGAGAACCUUUGAAAACCGAAACAGAGCUGAUGUGGACUGAAACAAUGGUAUCUUAUCUCUCCAAUAUUCUUCUAGCCUUCUAAGAAACUCUGGCAUUUCUGCCACUGCAUUCGUAAACUUAAAUGGUCUGCGUUUCCCAACAGCUUCAGGCUUCAAGUGGAACCUUCCUCUCAGGUGGUCUGAGCAACCUCCAGAUUCAAAGACAUUAUAGGCUUGAGUUCUCCUGUGAAGCCACACUUCAUUAACUAGGAUUCGAUCCAGUUUCUUACAUAUGAUCCCUUCAUCCCUCCUAUUGCACCAAGUGAACUUAGGGCCUUGAUACCCCAUAUCAGUGAAAUGACAAUACUGAACCACACUUUCAAACUCUCUCAUUCCUGUGGUUGUGAUCCCAGAGUCCUGAUAAUUUGAGUGCUCUCCUCCCCCCAGUAUUUCAUUAAAAUCUCCCAUGACUAUCCACUCCUUAUUUCUGAAUAAGGGUGAGCUUUGAUGUGACUUUAUAUCGUCCCAUAGCUCUCUUCUCUGCUCUACUGUGUUCUCCGCAUAGACGAAAGAACAAAAGAACUCUUCCUCCUCACCCUCCAGCAGAACUGAGACCGUGAUCAUUUGUUCUGACUUGAAAACAGGUGUGAGCCUGACGCGAGGGCUCCAAAGAACCCAUAUCCUUCCCUUCCUACUAAACUCGUAAUUGCUUAUACAAGACCAUCCUCUGCAGACUGAAUCAACAAUUGCAGCUGAUUUCCUUUCCUUCACUCUUGUUUCCAGCAAGCACCCAAACUGAAAAUCUUUACUUCUUAUCCAAUUAUGGACCACUGUGUGUUUUGAUGGCUUGUUGAAGCCUCUUACAUUCCAAAAAAACCCAGUCAUUGGGAAGAUUUGUUGGAGCUUCUUCUUCCUGAAUUACCAGGCAUGUUGAUCGCAAGGAUGACCUUAUGAUUCGUCUUGGAGUUUCGUGGGAUAUAGGGUCUUUUGUAAGUACUCUCUCCCUUUUCCGACUUUUCCUCAUCCCCUUUUGUCCCUUUCGUUUCAAACUUUUGUUUUCCUCCUUGUACUGUCUGUCCCCCUGCUACUUCAACUUGAGCUGGGUCUGAUGUCACAUCUUCCUCCAAAAGCUCUCCUCCUUCACGUUCUUCUGCCAUGUCCUUCCUUUCAUUUUUCUCACUCACCCCGAUUUCCUUCUGCUUUACAUUCCCCUCCAAUAUCACAGUUUCCUCCGGUAUUUUUGUAGUUUCAGAUUUCUCAUCCUGCUUCAAACUCUCAGAUUCCUCCAUAUUAUCUUUAACACUUUGCUUCUCUGGUUCUUCCACCUUCUCAGUUUCCUCUAGAUCAUUUAGCACUUCAGAUUUCUCAUCCUGCUUCAAACUCUCGGAUUCCUCCAUAUUAUCUUUAACACUUUGCUUCUCUGGUUCUUCCACCUUCUCAGUUUCCUCUAGAUCAUUUAACACUUCAAAUCUGGAAGCUAAUUUGACAUGACCGUACUUCAGCUCUUGCCUUUUGCUACUACUUUUACCAUUUGAGACAUUAUACCACUCUUCUACCACCUGUCCCUCUUCAAUUUCAUCAUCCUGCUCAAUGUUUUGCAAUUCUAAUUUAUCAUUCUCUACUACGAACACAUCGACCUCAUUGCCUCCACUCUCUCCUUGCUUUUUACUUGAUGUCUCCGUAGCUACUUUGGCUAGUUCCUUUGCCAUAUCCUGAACUGACAAUUCGUUACUCUCCUUUUUGCUCCUGACACAUGAUUUCUCGGCAUGUCCCCAUUUUGCACACGUGAGACACCGUAGAGGAAGCCAUGGAUAGAUGAACUCAACAUUGAAAGCCUUGCCAUUUUUUGUGAAUGUCAUCUGCUGCGGUAGCUCCUUUGUUAAGUCGGCAUUAAUAAACACCUUUGCUAGCUUGAAGUUUGUGCAAGACGCCGUCUCAGGGUGUAGUCUCACAGGGUAGCCAGCUGCACUUGUGAUAAAACUAAGCCCCUGCCAAGAGAACAUAUGCAUUGGAACAUUUUUGAGGUGGACCCAUAGUGGUAUAGACUUCACUUCUGGCUUCUCCUUUAGUUCAUCUGGAGUCCAUUUGGUAACUACCAAAGGUAUGUUCCCAAUGUUCCACAUGCCUCUUCGGAGAACCCUUGCUCUCACAUUAGCGUUUGUAAUGCGAAACUUCAUUGUAGUACCAUCAACCUCUUGUACAUCAAUCACUUGCUUCUUGUCCCCGUACGACCAAAUCUUGUUUACCACCGCAUGAAUACGAGCAAUAUGGGGAGCUGUGUCCAGGAAUUUUCCAAUCAAGUAAUCUUUCCAUAGUGGAUUUGCGUUGUUGAUAACCUCAUCUGGUAUCUCCACCGUUUGCUGUCCCUCAGACUCAGUGAUAGCUAGAUCGUAUUUUCUCAAGAUCUUCUUCUCUUGAGCCGCUGUAACCCAUGACAUCCCUUUUGAUGUCGUCGACCCCGAUUGACUCUUCGCAGCCAUACCCGGACCCUCUUUCUGUGUUUGUAACACCUGAACCGCCUCCUGACCCUCACCGCAGCAUCCCCCCUCGACGUUUGUUUAUUUUCCAGCCAUCGACCCAGCUCCCGAUCCGGGUCCCAGAUCCUCCUUUUGCACUUCUGCCACUCGCCCUACCCCCUGAGCACCUUCAACACUCGCCAGCACCCUUGAGCCGUCCGGCGGCUUCGUCAUGACGUAACCGCAGGUCGGAGUCCUUCGAAAUCGCCUAUCUCGCGAUCGCGUUGGAUGGAACCGACCGAAGAUCUGGAGUGUGGAGGAGGAAGUUGCCGGACGAUCUUGAAAAAAUCGCAGUUUGUUUCGCAAUCACUGUUCACUCAAUCGUUACUGUUCACUCAAUCCAACUCCUUUUGUCUAUAUUCACCAUUUUCAACUCCAUUAAAUUGGGGUUGAGUGUUUGCACUUACUUUCUUGUGUGUUUAUGGAAACGUUAAAAAGGUGUUGGGGACUUUCAUCACGGAAUGGGAUGAAGGUAAAGCUACCUGCAAAGGAGAUGCUUGCCACUAAGGAGUCUGCUCUGAUGUAUGCUGAGCGUUUGGUUGAGCUUGCUACUUCUCUAGGUUUUGAUGGUUGGCUGAUGAGUUUUGUAACAUAUCUGCAUCCAAAACAUACUACUAGUUAAGUGGAGAGAAGGUCAUUUCGUUUAUGUAAGCUGUUACAUGCAGAUUAAUAUAGAGAACGAAAUAGAUGAAGAACAGAUUCCUAAUUUGAAGGAAUUCGUAAGCCAUCUAACAAAAGUCUUGCAUUCAUCUACUCUUGGGGCUUUGGUUAUAUGGUGAGUUGUUAACAAGUUCUUUCUUUUGGUAUAACCACUUUGAUCUGAUCACCCUUUUUAAUUGCAGGUACGACAGUGUCACUGUUUCUGGCGAUCUCAAAUGGCAAGAUCAUUUGAAUGAGAAGAAUAAACCUUUCUUUGACUUGUGUGAUGGAAUCUUCAUGAACUAUACAUGGAAGGUACCGUUUUGGUUUUCGGUUUGUGUUUCUUCUAUUUGCCUUUGCAUGUUAUUUGAGUAAGUGAUGAUAUUUCAGGAGAGCUACCCCAACCUAUCAGCUGAAGUUGCUGGGGACAGAAAAUACGAUGUCUACAUGGGGAUUGAUGUCUUCGGUCGCGGAUCCUUUGGUGGUGGGCAAUGGACUGUAUGUUUUCAGAAACUCUUGCGAACACCAAUUAUUUUGUCAUUGUUUUUCUUCACUGUCUCAUCAAUAUCUAUAUAUAUGCUAGGUUGAUACUUCUCUUGAUUUGCUGAAGAGAAACAAUGUAUCAGCUGCCAUUUUCGCUCCCGGAUGGGUAUAUGAGACUGCACAACCUCCUAAUUUUCAUACAGCUCAGAAUAAGUACUACUCUUCUUUUGCCUGUUUGUUUGUAAAAUAAAUUGCCAUUUAUUUGUCAUCUUAUUAUCGUUCAUUCGUUCUCUUCAGAUGGUGGUCACUUGUUGAGAAGUCAUGGGGAAUAGUCCAAACAUAUCCACAAAUCUUGCCUUUUUACUCGGAUUUCAAUCAGGUAAACUGAGAUUGAUCUAGUCUUUCUUCCUAUCAGUUAUCUGAUGCUCCAUGGUACAACAUAUCUUGCCAAAGUCUCCAGGUUCAACCAUCUUAUAGUCAUUCAUUGUACAUAUAAUAUUAUCUUCUCAUCUGAUUGUUGUGUUAUUCACGUCAGCCACUCCUAGAGUUCAAGGAAGACAAGUUCUAAACUUGGACUCCUGCUUCGUUUCUCAUCCCCAUCACACGAAACUAAAUCAAUACUUGUGGCCCCACAAGAACCAAUCCCCAUAUUAGUAGAUCACAUGUUCUUGAAGUGCCUUGUCAUGGAUGGACACACACUGAUUGAAAUCUUUGCCUUUUGCUACGGACCAUAGAACUCGACAAAGACAUCAGAGUACGUUGCAUUGCUCGGUCACAUCUCAAUCAAAGAUCAUGUUCAGCUCCUCCAGCAAAACUUCGUUUCCUUACAUCAUGGGUCAUCGAGGCUCAUAACAUACAGCUUGUACCGUGUAAUUCCGGUUCUAAGAUCCUCAGGGUUAAGCUAGAAUGGAGACAGAAACAGCGUGAAGACUCUGUUCUCCCAGUGUACAAUGUGUAUGCAGAGAGUGUGAAGUCAACUGAUGUACUAAGAUCGAGGAAGGUUUUGGAGAAACCAAGAAGCGAGAGAGUGUUCCUCGGAAUCUCUCACGUACCAGCCUACUACGUUUCGGAACUGGUGCUAGAUUCGGACGUGAAAGGAGUCAGCUUCGUGGUUCAAUCCUGUGGUGAAGAUGGUUCAUGGAUGAAGGUAGAUGAUUCCCCUAACCUUCUUGUGGACUUGGAAGGUCUCUCGUAGGUUGCUUGAAACUAUGUAUGAAACGAUUAAUAAUGUAUAUUACAAAAUUACAUUAAUCUAGAAAGUGGGGAAAAACAUAAUAAAAAAAUCUGAACCAAGUCUCUUCCGUAUGGAAGUUUUGGUUUCUCAUCACUAGUAGUCUCUUUUCUGUAUAUUUUAUCGAAUGAAAGUGAGAUGAUUAUCACCAAAACUUGUUAUUUAUGGACGUGAGAAAGAACAAAUGCGGAAACUGAUUGGUUCAUCAACAUUUUUUUUUUUUGUUUACUACUGCCAUAUAUUGAAGAAACAAAAUAGCGAUGGAGUAAAAUCUUGGCUUCUUCCCGACGAUCUCGCCCUGAGAAAUAUUAUUUGAAGAAUAUACUCACUAUUAUAUGGCUCGAUCGUGAGUACAUUUAAUUCACGACGAAGAGUUGAUUCUUCUGUCACGAAGAAUGUUCUCAUUAUUAUAUGACUUCGAGCAGAUUGAUAUUUUUGUUCAUUUUGAUUGAUUCUUUUAUUCUUUUUGUCAUUUUGCAUAUAUUUCUCAUUUUGGAAGUCAUGAGGAAUAAACCAAAAAUAAAAAUAAGACCAUUCGCCGUUGAGUUUUCUUGAAAAGGUUGAUGUUUGUUUUCUUCUUACUAAAUGUAAGAGAUUCAUUCUUAUUUUGAAAUUCUAUCAAAAUUAAACUAGUUUAGCAGUUAAAUUAGUUCUUUUUUCAAAGCAAGGAAUGUCAUAAAAUCUUGAACUUUUAAAUAAUAAGUAAAAAAGAUAAAACAUUUAAUAUCAAAUCGAAAGACUACAAUAUAUGCAAAUAUGCAUGGGUCUCGUAGUCGUAAACGUUAGUACUUUUGGGUCAAUAUGCAUGGGUCGUUAGUAUACGUUAGAUUAAAUCCAAAUGUAAACCUAAGCAAAAUAAAACUUCAUAAAUUACGUUUUCUUUGGUUUAGACAAUUCUUUUUUUUUUUUUGAAAAUUCAUGUAAUUAGUGUAGGGGACCAAUAUGUGUAGAAAAUUGACUAUCCGACACAAAGAUUUUGCUUUCGACGUGACGAAUAAUGUAUUUUUCUCUAUGGAUUUUUUUUUGUGGGGAGUAAAUACAGAGUCUAUUAUUGUGUAUAUAAAGAAAUGACCAUGGAAGCAUAUUACUCAUCACCAAUUUCCCUUUUCUUUUUGCUCUUUCAGUUUUUGAUAUUCAAGAAAGUUAAAUAAGCUUAAAGAAGAAUGAAAGGCUAUUGGAACUUAACGAGUACCAUUUCUCUUACUCUUUCUAUACUUUUUUUAUUCGGCUACAGUUAUGAGGACGUGUCUGCGGUUCCAACUACGCACUUGUGUCGUCCAGAUCAAAGGGAUGCACUUCUUCAGUUCAAGAACGAGUUUGAGGUUCUAAACUCUUCCUUUGCUUAUGAUUGUUAUUUAGAUGAUUAUAUAGUAAAGCGUCAUCCAAAAACGGAAUCAUGGCGGAAUAACAGCGACUGUUGUACUUGGGAGGGUAUCACGUGCAACGUCAAGUCCGGUGAAGUGAUCGAGCUAGACCUUAGUUGCAGCUACCUAGGUGGCAGGUUUCAUUCCAAUAGCAGUCUUCAAAACCUUCAUUCUCUCACCACCCUAGACCUUUCAAGUAAUCGUUUUAGUGGUCAAAUCAUGUCUUCUAUCAGAAACCUUUCUCAUAUCACCUCUCUCGACCUUUCAGAAAAUGUUUUCAGCGAGUUCAUUCUUUCUUCGAUUGUAGACCUUUCGUAUCUCACCUAUCUCGAUCUUUCAUGGAACUUUCUUUCUGGUCAGAUUCCAUCUUCGAUUGGAAAUCUUUCUCAUCUCACUUCUCUUGACCUUUCUGGGAACAAUAUUGUUGGUGAAAUCCCAUCUUCUUUUGGCAAUCUAAACCAUCUGACCAGCUUAGAUGUUGCUGUAAAUAGGCUCAAUGGAAGCUUUCCCAUUGCACUACUAAAUUUGACGAAGUUGUCAUCUUUAGAACUCUAUUACAAUCAGUUCACAGGAACAAUUCCUCAUAACAUCACUUCACUAUCCAAAUUGACGACCUUUUAUGCAAGUAACAAUGCUUUCACUGGAACCCUGCCUUCUUCUCUCUUCACCAUUCCUUCUAUUGAUUACGUUAAUUUGUCUGAUAACCAACUCAACGGUAAUCUUGAGCUUGGGAAUAUAUCUUCACCACCUAAGCUACGAGUGUUAGUCGUUGGCAAUAACAAGUUGAGAGGGCUGAUUCCGGGCACGAUAUCUAAAUUUACCAACCUUGUCAGACUUGACCUUUCCCGUUACACAACACAAGGUCAAGUUGACUUUAGUAUCUUCUCACAUCUCAAGUGGCUCAAACUUCUUGAUCUAUCCGAUUUGAACGCGACCACUACGAUUGACAUGAAUGAUUUCUUGUCAUAUUUUAAGAGGCUCGGUGUGUUGGAUCUCUCAGGCAACCAUGUUUCAGCCACAAACAAGAGUCCAAUUUCAGAUCCCUCUUCUUUGUAUCAGUUGUACUUGUCAGGCUGCGGUAUCACCGAGCUCCCGGAGUUUGUAAGAUUGCAAAAUAUGGAGAAGCUAGACAUUUCUAACAAUAAAAUCAAAGGACAAGUGCCUGGCUGGUUAUGGAAGAUACCAAAGCUGAUUUACCUGAAUCUUUCCAACAACACCUUCACUGGCUUCGAAAACUCAACGAAACAUGGGCUAUCUUUAAUGGCCUUGUUAGCCUCCAACAACAAUUUCACGGGAAAGAUUCCCUCUUUAAUAUGUGAUUUGCGCUUUGUAUUCAUUCUUGAUUUAUCAAACAACAACUUCAAUGGUUCAAUCCCUCGUUGUCUGGGAAAUCUCAACUAUACUCUUACAGAUCUAAACCUUGGUCAAAAUCAUCUUCAUGGAGGUCUUCCGGAGAAUAUAUUUGGAAACUUAAGAGCGCUUGACGUCGGUCAUAACCAACUUACGGGAAAGCUUCCAAGAUCUUUGAUCCGGUUCUCUAGUCUUGAAGUUCUGAACGUGGAAAGCAACUUCUUCAAUGAUACGUUUCCAUUUUGGUUGAGUUUUCUACCAGAGUUAAAAAUUCUUGUGUUACGCUCCAAUGCCUUCUAUGGAACGAUACAUCAUACUUCGUUCCCUAAAUUGCAAAUCAUCGACAUAUCGCACAAUCACUUCAAUGGAGCUUUGCCUUCACACUACUUUGUGAAGUGGAGUGCUAUGUCAUCACUUGGGUCAAUUUAUUAUCAGCCUGAUGAAAUGUACAUGGGAGAUUCAUAUUACCAUGAUUCAGUGGUGUUGAUGAAUAAAGGUAUAGAGAUGGAGCUUGUACGUAUCCUAAAGAUCUACACAGCACUCGACUUUUCAGGGAACAAAUUUGAAGGAGAGAUCCCAAGGUCCAUUGGUCUAUUAAAAGAGCUUCUUGUGCUCAACUUGUCGAACAAUGCUUUCACUGGCCACAUCCCUUCAUCUAUGGGAAACUUGACAGCUCUUGAGUCAUUGGACGUUUCCCAAAACCAGCUUUCAGGAGAAAUUCCGCAAGAGCUAGGGGAACUCUCAUUCCUUUCGUACAUGAACUUCUCUCAUAACAAGCUUACAGGUCUAGUACCAGGAGGCACUCAGUUUCGAAGGCUGAACUGCACUUCUUUUGAGGAUAAUCCGGAACUUUCUGGCCCUUCUCUUGACGAAAUUUGCAGAGAUAUUCACACGCCAACACCGCAUGAACCGUCGGAAGAAGAAGAAGAAGAAGAGGAAGAGGUGUUGAGUUGGAAAGCAGCUGUAAUAGGAUUCAUACCUGGUAUUGCCUUUGGAUGGGUGAUUGGAUAUAUACUUUUUUCCUACAAACCACAGUGGUUCUUCAUGAACCCUUUUGCCCGAAACAAGCGCAGAAUCAGCAGCACCACUACUCAUUAAAGUUCUUUGUUGGCAGUUUUUUUUUACGUUUUAUUAAACUUCUUUGUUUCUCUGUAAUUGAACAACUAUGUUUCUUAAGCUGAAAGUUACAAGCACAGUCAAAGAUGUGUCGUUUUUUCCCCUCUUGUGAAUCUAAACAUCAACUGUUUAGACGUGAGACGAGCAAUGAACAGAUGAUCCACAUCAACGUUAUAAUCAACACAGGGCUUUAGAAAAGGAUCAAUACUAUUAAAAAGGAAAAAGUUUUAAAAAAUCUACUUAAAAAAAAUUGUUGCAUCCUUUCAUUUUUAGUCCAACCUAUAAUAUAUAACCAAAUAUUAUAAUAACAUUUAUUAUAACAACCAAAUAAGAUUCUAGCGAAUAUCUUUCUCUAAUAGUUUUGGUAAUAUAUUAAUUCUCUAAUUGUUAGAUAUUUGUUCAUUAUUUAGAAAAUCUGUGUGACAUAUCUGGUCUAUUAAAAAUAUGUAUCACUAGAUAUUACGGAUUACGGUUACCAAAUAACAUUUGAAAAGAGUUUUUGUAUAUAUGUCGAUAUGUUACAUUGCAUUCAAAUAUAUAGGUUACUUUCGUGGUUUUCAAAUGAAUCAGUCCAAAUCUUAUAGUUUUCUAGAUUCCCUAAUAAUAUAAUUGUACAAUAUUAUACUAUAUUUUCUUAUAUCACACAUUAGUAUAUUAAAUAUAUAUUUACUUAUCCCAUGCGGUAAUAUAGUUAAAGGGAUAAUGAUGUAUUCCUAUAUACUAGGGACUUAGGUUUAUCUACACGUUCAUAGAUUCUAUAUUCUCGUUGUAUAAGUACCAAGAUUGGUUGAUGAAUAAACACAGACUUUACAUUAUAUUUUAUGGUAUCAGAGCUAAGAUUUCAUAACUUAUUUUUUUUUUUCAAUACUAUUGAUCUUCUUCUAUCUUCUACUACUACGGUUCAUCAACCAUAAUGGCUGAGCACGACACGCCAGCUGUUUCUACAACUACGCAGGCGACUUCCAGAGAUUCGUCACCAUACUAUCUACACCCAUCAGACAAUCCUGGAGCCCUUAUUACUUCUGUUCUACUUAAACAAGACAACUAUACUGAAUGGGCUACAGAACUCCGAAAUUCUCUCCAAGCGAAACAGAAAACAUGUUUUAUUGAUGCUACCAUUCCAAAACCUACAGACGGACCAGACUUAUCGCGAUGGCUUGCAGCAAAUUCUAUGAUUGUCGGAUGGAUUCGCACUUCAAUCGAUUCAAAACUCAGAUCAACAGUUACUCAUGUGCCUGAAGCACACAAGCUUUGGGAAUCUCUGCGUUUUCGUUUUUCUGUCAAAAACGGGACCCGUCUACAUCAGCUACAAGAUGAAAUAACAAAUUGCAAGCAAGAUGGACAGACGGUCCUUGACUACUAUGGUCGGUUAACUAAACUCUGGGAAGAGUUGCAGAAUAUGAAGACAACUCGACCUUGUACGUGUGCUGCUGCGACUGAUAUUGAAAAAGAAAGAGAAGACGCGAAAGUUCAUAAAUUCUUGUUUGGUCUAGACGACUCGCGAUUCUCUGCCAUCCGUUCUCGCAUCACCGACGAAGAUCCAUUACCGGAUCUCAAUAUUGUUUACUCAAGGGUGAUUCGUGAGGAGCAAAACAUGGCAACUACCCGAUCUAAAGAGCAACGAACCGAAGCUUUAGGGUUCUCAGUUCAAACCGAGAAUUCCAAAGAGUUGGUUUCUGCCAAAACUGAUACUACUCCACGACCAAGAGAUCCUUCUCGAACUUGUACCCAUUGUGGUCGUACAGGUCACGAUAUAACAGAGUGCUUCUUGGUCCAUGGCUUUCCUGACUGGUACACUGAACAACAACAACAACGCAAUGGUUCAUCAUCAUAUCGAGGUGGACGUGGUGGUCGUUCUAACAACAAUCGUGGGCGUGGCCGCGGAAGAGCUAAUGCUGCACAAAGCAAUUCUCACCAACAAUCGGAUCAGAUUGCAUCUCUGAUCGCACUUCUCCAAAACCAACAAAGCAAUUUAUCAUCGGAACGCUUGUCGGGUAAAACAAUGCUUACUGACGUUAUUAUUGAUACAGGGGCAUCACACCAUAUGACGGGUGAUAUAUCAUUAUUACAUGAUGUCUAUGAUAUCCCAUCAUCAUCGGUUACAUUUCCUAAUGGACGUGAUUCUCUUGCUACGAAGCAAGGAUCUCUGCGUCUCAGCAAGGAUUAUGUGCUUCACGAUGUUCUCUGUGUCCCCGAUUUCUAUUGCACACUCAUAUCAGUUUCGAAACUUUUAAAACAAACUGGAUGCAUAGCAAUAUUUACUGAUACAUUGUGUGUUUUACAGGACCGUUUUUCGAGGACUCUGAUUGGAGCAGGUGAAGAACGUGAGGGGGUGUACUAUUUUACGGGGGUUAAGGUUGCACGAAUUCAUGGAGCUUCUAAGACAAAAUCUUCUUCUUCAACUCUGUGGCAUCGUCGACUUGGCCAUCCAUCCUACAAAGCUUUGUCUUCUUUACCGGUGUUUCAGAAUUUUAAAAUAGAUUUUAGUGAGUCUAAAUGUGAUAUUUGUUUCAAAGCAAAACAGACUCGCCAAGUGUUUCCCGAUAGUCUUAAUAAAGCUGUUUUUCCUUUUGCAUUAAUCCACUGCGAUGUUUGGGGACCUUAUAGAACACCAGCCUCUUGUGGGGCUGUAUACUUUCUUACCAUAGUGGAUGAUUACUCGCGAGCUGUAUGGACUUAUUUGAUGCUUGAAAAAUCAGAAGUCUCUUCUCUUAUACGCAACUUUUGUGCGAUGAGUGAACGCCAGUUUGGACAUAAAGUACAGACCAUACGGACAGAUAAUGGAACGGAAUUCAUGACACUCGGACCUUACUUUCGCGAGACCGGUAUCAUUCAUCAGACAUCUUGUACCUAUACACCCCAACAAAACGGUAGAGUGGAAAGGAAACACAGACACAUAUUGAAUGUGGCUCGUGCCUGCAUGUUCCAGUCACGAUUACCUAUUGAAUUUUGGGGAGAGAGCAUCUUGGCUGCGGCUCACGUCAUUAACCGAACACCUACUAACAUUCUUAAUGGUAAAACGCCUUAUGAAGUUCUUCAUGGUCGACCACCUAUCUAUGAGCAGUUAAGAGUGUUUGGUUGCCUCUGUUACGCUCACCUAAGACCUCGUGACAGAGACAAAUUUGCUACAAGAAGUCGAAAAUGCAUAUUCGUAGGUUACCCCUUUGGCAAGAAAGCUUGGCGCUUGUAUGAUGUCGAAACUAAUGAGUUUAUUGUUAGCCGGGAUGUGGUGUUUUUCGAGGAUCAGUUUCCAGGUAUUGAAGACUUACCUUCGGUUACAGUACCAGUUUCACAAACUGCUCUUCCUAUUGACGACUGGUUGAUAAAUUUUGAAACUCCAGUUCUCUCUACUACACCUGAACCUUCUCCUACUAUACCCACGACUUCCUCUCCUACUCACAAUACUACUACUACACCUGAUGUUUCUUCUCCGCCUUUACCAUCUACACCUACUGCCCCGUCUACAAGCAAUUCCCCACCAGAUACUGUUGUCCAACCAACUCCUAACCCUACUUCUGCAUCUCCACUACCGUCUCCAUCUUCACCAAUACGUGAUCAUGACAUAUCGGGAUCUUCUCCUGGCCUACUUGAUCUUCUUGGACGUGGUCAUCGAACAAAGAAACCAUCGGUCUUAUUGAAGAAUUUUCUCACGAACUCUGCAACUACAAACACCCCUCACGUUCUCAACAAGCAAUAUCAGAGUUCUCCAUCAACGGUCUCAGGUAAGACACUGUAUCCCAUUGCUGAUUACUCAUCUACCUCUGCUUUUACUGCUAACCACCAGGCGUUUCUAGCAAAAAUUACUACAGAUUUUGUUCCAAAGAAUUAUAAAGAAGCCGUCAAUGAUCCAAGGUUCAACGGUGCAAUGAAAACAGAGGUAACAGCUUUAGAAGCUAACCAUACUUGGGACAUUACAGCUCUCCCUCCUGGCAAGAAGGCAAUCGGGUGUGGCUGGAUUUAUACAAACAAGUAUAAAGCAGAUGGUACUCUUGAACGACCAAAAGCUCGCCUGGUUGCUCGUGGUAAUAGACAAAAAGAGGGACUUGAUUACAAAGAUACAUUCGCCCCUGUGGCAAAGAUGAAUACGGUUCGGUUUCUUCUGAAAGUUGCGGCUGCUAAGCGAUGGGAGAUCCACCAAAUGGAUGUCCACAACGCGUUUCUACAUGGAGAUCUCGAAGAAGAAAUAUAUAUGGAACUUCCUCCUGGUUUUAAAUCUGAUGAUCCAUCCAAAGUUUGUCGUCUUCGGAAGUCUUUGUAUGGUCUUAAACAAUCUCCUCGCUGCUGGUUUGCGAAACUUAGUCAAGCUCUCAAGUCGUUUGGCUUUGUUCAAAGCUACGAGGAUUACUCUCUGUUCUCAUUCAUGGAAGCUAACAUAUGUCUCCAUAUUCUGGUUUAUGUGGAUGAUUUUAUAAUUGCUGGCAAUGACGCUGCUACUAUUCAAAGAUUCAAGGAUUACUUACAUCGAUGCUUCAAAAUGAAAGACUUAGGCAAACUUAAAUAUUUUUUGGGUUUGGAAAUUGCUAGAGGACCUGAAGGGAUAUUUGUCUCUCAGAGGAAGUAUGCACUCGAUAUCAUAACCGAGUGUGGCUUACUUGGAGCGAAACCAGCGCCAGUCCCAACUGAACUCAACCACAAACUUGCACUCGCCAAGGGCAUGAGACUUCAGGAUCCGGGCAAGUAUCGUCGUCUUGUUGGACGAUUGAUAUAUCUUACUUUCACACGUCCGGAGCUAAGCUACAUUGUUCACAUUCUAUCACAAUUUAUGCAUAAACCGCUUGAAGAUCACUGGGCAGCUGCGUUACGAGUCAUCCGCUAUCUUAAAGGCUGUCCAGACCAAGGUAUCAUGCUGUCUUCCGACGCAAACCUUACUCUUACCGCAUACUCUGACUCGGAUUGGUCUGCGUGUCCUAUAACACGUCGUUCUCUAAGUGCCUACGUUGUUCUUCUUGGUGAUUCUCUUGUUUCGUGGAAAACAAAGAAGCAACGGACAGUGUCUAGAUCAUCAGCUGAAGCUGAGUAUAGAUCAAUGGCAGAUACUACAUGUGAGUUAAAAUGGCUCAAACGACUUCUUCUCCAGUUCGGCUUCUUUCAUCCUCAACCCAUGAGACUUUUCUGUGACAGUCAAUCUGCGCUCCAUAUUGCUAAGAAUCCUGUGUUCCAUGAACGUACCAAACAUGUCGAAAAUGAUUGUCACUUUGUUCGAGAUGCUGUGCGUGACAAGCUUAUUACUACUGAACACAUUACAACGAGGAAUCAGCCUGCGGACUUACUUACCAAAGCCUUGCCCACUCCGACAUUUCAUCAUUUGUUGUCCAAGUUGGGAAUUCGAGAUAUGUCAUUACCAACUUGAAGGGGGGUAAAGGGAUAAUGAUGUAUUCCUAUAUACUAGGGACUUAGGUUUAUCUACACGUUCAUAGAUUCUAUAUUCUCGUUGUAUAAGUACCAAGAUUGGUUGAUGAAUAAACACAGACUUUACAUUAUAUUUUAAUAGUACUCAUUUUCAAACUGUACUAUUAAUCAAUUUUCACUGUUUGGCUUCUUAAAAUAUUGGCUAGGUAAUUUAAAAUAUAUGAAUAGUAGCCAAUCAAAAACUUUAAGUUCUAAACUAAUAUUUGAUUGUUUAAACUUUUACUAAACUAUCCUAGAUUUUUUCCAAUUCUAAUAAUAAUAAUAAUAAUAAUAAUAAUAAUAAUAAUAAUAGAAAAGAGAGUAGGCUUAGGCAUUCGAUUUUUAGGUCAGGUACGGAUCAGUUUCUUUCGCGCAUAGGUCUUUCGGAUCCUAGACAUUUAGACCUAAGUAGGUAUUUGAAUUUUUUUUUUGUUUUGGGUUGGUGUCAGUUCUUCUUGUGUUUGGAUCAAUAAUUAAGAUACAUGUAAACUACAUAUAAUUUUUGGAUACCUAAUGAGUUCAGAUCGGUUCAGAUAUUUAGGAUCUAAAAAAGAUUCGAAGUACCAAAAACUUUAAAAAUACAUGAAACACAAAAAUAUUCAAAAGUAUUUAAAUACUCAAAAUGAUGUGAAUAUAUUAUUCAUUAAUAUAAUUGUUUUUGUACUGUUUUUAUCUUGUGCAGUUUUGAAAGUGCAAUAUGUAUUAUACUAAUUUAUGUCAUUAAUUUAAAUGACUAACAAAUGAUUGAAAAAAAAAAAUUUCAUAUGAACAUGUUUAUUUUCAAUCUGUUCAUCAUCAAAUGUAAUGGCAUGUAUAAAUGUUAAUUGUAUAACGUGAUGUAUCAUAGAUGAAAGAUUGCAAAAAAAAAAAAAUUAACAUCGAAAACUCAUUGCAAAUAAUCUAAGAGUUUUGGAGUAAUACAACCAAACAAUUAAACUCUAAAUCACCAAUAUACAACAUAAUAAACCUCAAUAAAACAGAGAUAAUGUAGAAAAAUACAGAUUUAAAAUGACAAUGACAAUGACAAAGAUGAUACAUUACCAUUUUUGGUUCAAUUAUUAAAUGAAACAUACUUUUUAUGAAUCAGACUUAGUAUAGGUUAUUGAGUCAAAUAUUUAAAUCAUACAAAUAAUUCAAUAUCACAUAUAUGUAUGGCCAAAACCUAUAUAUAGGUUAACAUAGAUGUAUGUCAAAAAUCUAAAAUACAAGUAUACCAUCAAUGAAAUAUCUAAGUUAGUGUUAAAUUAAGUGUCAUUUUUCGUUAAUAUAACUUAAACUUAAUAAGAAAAAUACCACUAACAAUUUUUUUUUGACAACAAUACCACUAACAAUUUAAAACAAUAAAUUAAAUUAUUGCAUGUGAACUAUAAAAUUUUAUAUCACUAAUCAUGUAAAACAAAUAUGUAUAUGUUAUGAACCAGAUUGUGGAUGGUUCAUAACCAAGAGAUUAUGAUUUGUAAUCUUUCCAUUUAUUUAUGACGGUGUAAUCUUCUAUAUAAGAAACCUCUAUGUUAUGAAUAAAGAUAGAUUUUUCCAUUACUUUUAUAACACGUUAUCAGCACGAAACUCUAAAUCUCUAAGCUAAUACCCAAAUAGGAAAACCCUAAAACCCUAACCCUAGCCGGUGAUCCGACGAACCCUAAACCCCGAUCGCGUCUCUUGUUCCCGCAUCUGUUCCAGCUCGCGUCCCCGAUCAACUUCAGCCCAAGGCAUUCAUGAUCCUAGCUCAGACGUUCGCGGCCCGAGAGCAGCUCCAGCACGCGACAUCUUCCUCGUUCGCUACAACAUCAGACAGCUCGCGUCCCGUUCGUGCCCAGCUCGUGGCUCAACUCCUUUGGUGGUCCGAUUCAACAAUCAUCUAAGGUUAAAAGGUAUUUCAAAACCUAAGAACCCAUAAUCGAACAUGGAUUGAUUGAUAAAAAAUGAAACCCUAAAACCCUAAUCUUUAUGAAUCAAAACCAUAGGGUAAUAGAUCAAAAAUCCUAAUUGAGUAAUUUGAGGUUUAAAUCCGUGUGAGUUAGGAUUGAUAGUUUUUAUAACCUGAUUGAAUGAUUUGAGGUUUAAUAUUGCAUGUUAGAAUCUGUUAUAAUAUAAACCCUAAUUCGAAUUGAUAAACCCUAAAAUAGAAUCUGUGUAUUGCAUAAUCCGAAUUGAAUGUUUUGAGGUUUCAUAUUAUACUAGGUUGAUAGUUUCAUGAUAUAAUCAAUUGUUCUGAGGUUUAAUAUUAUUUGCUAGAAGCUGAUUGAUUGAUAAAACCCUAAUUUCGAUUGAAACCCUAAACCCUAAUUUGCGUAUUCCUAAAAUCAGAUUGCUUGAUUCCAUCUUGCUAAUAUCAGCCUUGAAACGGAUAAAUAUCAGCCUUGAAACGGAUUAAUAAAAUUGAUAGAAUCAGCCUUGAAACUGAUUGUUUUGGUUUUUCAUGCUUCAAACCCUAUUUUUGGAUCGAAACCCUAAAUUGUGUAAUGCUUAAAUCCGUUUGAUUACUUUUGAUUAUUGAUCCAAUUGCUACUCUUGAUAAAACCUAAUUGAAUCUGAUUGUUAGUCUAGCUAAAUCUCAUACCUGAAACUGAUUGAUUAAUUGUUAAAUCUUGAUUGAAUGUUUUAAUAUUACCCUUGCACAUAUAGAAUCCGAUUGCUAAGAUUGAGUGCAUCAUAUCUACUUGGCCGUGUGGCCAGUUUGCAUCAUAUCUACUUGGCUGAUUGAUUACGCGUUUAAGCACACACCAAUUAACCUAAUGUGCCAACAAUACCACAAUCGAAUGGUAUGUCAUUGUAGCAUUUUAGGAUCGAAUCCACAGAGAACUAGAGACUUAUAACACCAAGAAUACACAAACCUUCCUAAUCUAAGCAAACAAGAAGAUAGAUGAUUUGUAACAAACUAAUAUCCUAGAAAUAUAAACAAGGUGAUCUCAGAUCCAAUCAAGAAAUAAGUGCAAGAAUUCAAUCAAAUACUAAGGAUGGAUCCAUGGUAAGGAUAAUUGAUAUAAAAUGAUCAAGGUUCAAUCUAAAGGUGGCAACAUUCAAUCAAUCUAUCAACCUUAGGCUUAGACACAAUCCUAAACAAACUCUAUCUCUAGAUGGAUGUUCAUUCACUAAGAUAACUCAAGCAUCAAAUCUCUUUGGUUGAAUAUUAUCUAAGCAAUCAUUAAAAUCAAGUCUAUUAGCCAUUUUAACACCUUUAACAACAAAUCUCUUUGGUAAAGAAUGUUAAAAGCUUAGGAGAGUUGGUUCAGACAUUUCAUCAANNNNNNNNNNNNUGUUUCUUGCCCACUCUUUUGAUAAUAAGAAAGCAAAUAUUAUACAGAAAAGUAGGAAAAAUCGUGCAAAGGAAAGGUGGGUGGAAGAAAGUGGGAAGUUGGUUAAUCCCAUCAACUUUCCAGUGGUCCCCGGCAAGGGUUGAUACACCUGUAGUAAAUCGAUUAUAACUUAUCCAAUACAGCUCCAAAUGACUUGAAACCACUUCCAUUGGAAAGCUAACUCAAUUUCCAGUGUCUCCACAAAUUUUGAGCUUCAGAAAAGAUCUUUAAGGCUUUCAUCCGUGUUCAUCUUUCACUCUCCGGAUUCGGGAGCGACCUCGCUGUGUCGCUGCGAGAGGUCGCUCCGGAUUCGUUGUCUCCGGGUGAUCAAUACGCGAGCGACUCUUCCCUGUCGCUCUAGUAAGGUCGCUCUGAUAGGGAGAUCAUAGCGACGUCAAGGUGUCGCUCCGGACUGGUCGCUCCGGGCGAUCAAUACGCGAGCGACUCUUCCCUGUCGCUCUAGUAAGGUCGCUCUGAUAGGGAGAUCAGAGCGACGUCAAGGUGUCGCUCCGGACUGGUCGCUCCCAUGCCUUGCUCGCCGAAUGACCACUCUAAACACUACUUUUUGACUCCAAUUGCACUCAAAAUCCCACCAAUGGUCCUCUAAUUCAUCCAUGGUGCUCUCCAACACCUGAUAUGUACAAAUGCAAUGAUAUGCAACCUAAAUGUGCCUAAAUGAUGCUCUAAAUGACCAAACCAUGCAAGAAUAAGAAGUUAAAAACAUGUAAAUUCACAAGAUAUCACUGUGUGGCCAGUUUGCAUCGUAUAUCAUCAUGACCAACAUGUUUAUGUUAUACGCAUGAUCUGAUUAUUAUCACCUUUGCAUGAUCUGAUUGUUUUAAAUUAAGGUUCCAUAAUUCCACUCAUGUACAUAUAGAAUCAGUAUGCUAGGUUUGCAUUAUAACCAUAUGACCACAUAUUGAUCAAAAAAAAAACAUAUGGCCACAUGAAAACAUAUAGAAAUUGCUUGUUUUGUCGAUACCCUUGCUUGAUAAAUCUGUGUGACUUAUUAUGCAUCAUAUAUCACUUUGGCCGUGUGGCCUUAUUGCAUUAUAUCACAUUUGGCCGUGUGGCUUGUUUGCUUAUUAGAAAUGUAUUGACUUGAUAGCAUGUCUUGUUUAUGGCCGUGUUUUAAAUAUUUUAUGAGAUCUAAAAUUGAUUGAUAUAUUAUUUGAGAUGUCGAAAAUCAACUUGGAUUUUGCUGCCCUAAAUCUCUCAUGAGAUAAUUAUUUGAAAUAGGCACUGGAUACUGAGUUUAUCUUAAAGUCAAAGGACUUGGUGAAUGAAUCACAAAAGGCGAUAAUGCCAAAUGAGAAAGAUUGAUACAUGGCAAUAUUAAUUAUUAGCCAUCAUCUUAAAAAGAGCCUCAAAGAUCAGUAUCUGACUAUAGAGAAUCAUCUAGACCUUUGGACAGAGUUAAAAAAAAUCGAGAAAUGAUCACCAAAGAACGGUGUUAUUACCAACGACCCUAUUUGAUUGGAGGAAUCCCAGAUUCCAGGACUAUAAGUCCGUGGAUGAGUCUAUUGCUAGCUGGGCAAAAUAAUGGAUUACUGAUGAGAAAAAGUGACUUGAGACCUCCUGGAUUAACCCUAUUACCUGAUUCCAAUAAGGCCGCAGAAAAAAAAAAAAAGGUAACCACGUCCAGAAUGAUAGACCACACGGUCAUAGCCGUGGAGGGUGGAAAGGACGUGGCCAUGGCCACUAUAACACAUUUGGCCGUGGUAAUCACUAUGGCAGAGGCCGUGGGUAUCAACCCAAUUUGAGCCAUGGUCAAGGCAGUGGCCGUGGUAUAUCCUUUAAACCACAAAGCUCGACCAAGUCAGUGUGCCAUAGAUGGAAUGGGAAACCAUUGGGCUAAGAUAUGAAGGACUCCCAAACAUUUUUGUGACCUCUAUCAAAGAGGGUCUGAAAGGGAAGAAUCCUGAAACACACUUGGUCUAUAAAGAUGGUGAAAAUAAUCUCGAACAUGAUCAAGAUGAUCUUAUGGAAUAUGAGACUUAUGAUUAUCUAAAAGAAUCAAGUUGAUAAUCUGAUUUCGACAUCAAACUUGUGUGAUUGCUUUGCUUGUAUGCUUUCUCUGAUUUUUAUCUCCUUGAAUUUAUUUCUAUUACAUUGUCUGCUUAGAUUAAAUGAAUGAAUGAUUUUUCUAUAUGAGUACACUGAAAAACGCCAAUAUAAGUACUAAAGCAGGUAUCGCCAGUCUGAAAGAAGACUAUGGCUAGGCUAAUAUAUUAUUGCCUAAGGGUAUGCAUCUAGAAAUCAGUGAUGCCUUAUAUUCACCCAGCUCUAAGAGCAAGAGCAGCCUAUUGAGUUUUAAAGAUAUAAGAAUGAAUGGUUUCCAUAUUGAAACAAUGGGCGAAGGAAACAAAGAGUUCCUUCAGAUAUAUGUAUAAAAUCGCCCAAGGCCAUAAUAAGUCCUAAAGACUAUACAUGCAUUCUCUACCGACCUAGACUAUGCAUAAAUCAGUAUGAUUGAGGCUAAAAGCCUGCGAAAAUAUACACUUUAUGGCACGACCGGAUUGGCCAUCCUGGUCCAAACAUGAUGCGAAAAUUGAUAUUCAAAAGGCACACAUUAAAAGAUAAGAAGAGUUAUCCCAAAGAAUCUCACGUGUGUAGCAUGUACACAAGGAAAACUCAUUAGGCCAUCACCAGUAAAACGGCUACGAGCCCCUUUUUCAUAAUAAAUACUAUAUGUAUAGAUACUACUGGUGAAUACAUGUCCCAAGCGUUUAAAUGAUUAUGGUAUGUCCAUAGGGGUAAGUGUGGACAAUUCUGUGAUACAUGUCCAUACCAAGAAAGGAUAUACCAUAACUUAUGAGGUCAAAACUCCCAUUCACAGCUUGGGCCACACGAAAUUUACAUGCACCUAAGCUAAUACGCAUCAUGCUAUUUAGUGAGCAUAGAUAUCCCGUAUCACAAUUAUUAACGGGUCAAAAGCCAGACAUACCCCAUCAUAAGACAUUUGGAUGUGCUGUCUAUGUACUAAUUGCUCCACCACAGAGAACUAAGAUGAGACCUCAAAAGGAGGAUGGGGAUAUAUGUUGGAUAUGAUUCUCCCACAAUAAUAAAAUACUUUGAGCCAACUAUGAGUGAUUAAAUUUGAGGCCAGGUACACGGAUUAUUUUAAGACUAGGAGGAGAGAAAAAUAAUAAAGCUGGUAAAAGAAUGGUAAAAGAAAUAGAAUGGAAUCAACCAUCAAUGUCUUGGCAAGAUCCUCGGACUAAAGAAUGUGAAAUAGACGUCUAAAGAUUAUACAUUUACAAAGCUAGCUAAUCAAAUGCCAGACACAUUUGCUGACCCGGAAAAGAAUGACUAAGUCAUAUAUAAACCAGCUUGUAAAGCACCAACGAAUUUGAUGUCGAAGAAGAGACACAGUCAAGUUGAUACAGAUUCUAGACAACGUAUGAACGUGGUGGACCAAUAGGUUCCAAAAGAUAAGAAUCCUCGGAAACAAAAGAAAUGUGCAGAGAAUGAUAAUCAAAAUCCAAAUCCGAGGUUACUAAGGAAACCAUCCCAGACAUGGAGAUAAGGCCGGCCGGCUCUAAGGUAGAGGUACCAAACAAUGUAGCUUGGGACGCCAAGCUGCAAAAUAUAAAGGUCCUGAUAAUAAUGAAUCUCAAUCGAUUAUAUCAAGUAUGGAACAUAAUGGAACCAAUAAGGAAUGUCGACAUAAGAUGAUUUAUUUGCAUACAAGGUAGCACUUGAAUUUAUGAAUAUAAGCGAAGAUCAUGAACCCACGUCAAUAUAAGAGUGCGCACUCGUAGAACAGAUUGGAUUUAAUGGAAACAUGGGGUUAAAUAGUUUAAAGAAUAAAGGUAUAUUUGGCCAUAUGAUUAAGACGCCAUAUGAUGUUAAAACCAGUGGAUAUAAAUGGGUCUUGUGAGAAAUAGAAAUAGUGAGAUAUAAAGCUGAUGUUGCACAAGGAUUCUCACAAAGACCAGUAAUAGAUUAGGAGGAGACAUACUCUUAUGUGGUGGAUGCAACUACUUUUAGAUUUCUCAUAAGUCUGGCUAUAUAAGAGAGAAAAUUAGACUUGCAGCAAGUUGAUGUAGUGACUGCAUAUUUAUAUGGUCCACUGGAUAAUGAAAGUACUAGAGGGUAUUGAGCUGAAAGUACAACAAGUUCUCGAGAACAAUAUUGAUAAUCAUCAAAGUAUAUGAUCUGAAUAUCCUAGGAACCUCUGGAUACAAUUUCCCAAACAGUUGAAUAUCUCAAGAAAGAGUUUGAGAUGAAAGAUCUUGGAAAACAAAGUUUUGUUUGGGAUUACAGCUUGAGUACAUUAACAAUGAAAUCCUUGUGCAUCAAAUAGUAUAUACAGAAAAGGGUACUCAAGAGAUUUAAUAUGGACCAGUCUCAACAUUUAUCUAGUACAUGGGCGUGAGAUCACUUGUUUUGGACACUGAUCCAUUCAGUCCAAAGGUGGAUGAUAAAGAAGUCCAUUUAGUCCUGAGAUGGACGAUGCAGAAGUCUUGUUUUAGACACUGAUCUGAUUGGUCUAUAAGAAGGACGAUGAAGAAACCUUUGAUUUUGAUUUAUUUUAUACUAACCAGCCCAAAGAGGGGUUAUUUGGUUUUGUUGAUUUGUUUUCAGACAUGUUAUGUUUUACACAUGGUGGUACACGCAUAUCACGGCAACAUCAUCCAAGAUUUCGUGUGUGUGUAUUUGAGGUUGAUGACUCAAUAUGUUCGAUCAGAUUGUGGCAUGGCCGAUGGUAAAGAAGAACCAACUAUCAUGUUCGAGGACGAAGCAUAUUCUGCCCAAGAUCUUCAUCACCCACGGAUUGCAAAAAAUUGGAGAAGUCCAAGGGACCUUCAGUAAUGUCCAAAUCAGGGGGAGUAAUGUGUGUUGUACUAUUUUUCCUUCACCAUGGUUUUGUCCCAAUUGGGUUUUCCUGGUGAGAUUUUAAUGAUGCAACAUUAAAGCACAUUACAAGCUCUAAAUGGUUAUGGCAUCCAAGGGAGAGUGUUAUGAACCAGAUUGUGGAUGGCUCAUAACCAAGAGAUUAUGAUUUGUAAUCUUUCCAUUUAUCUAUGACGGUGUAAUCUCUUAUAUAAGGAACCUCUAUGUUAUGAAUAAAGAUAGACUUUUCCAUUAUUACUUUUAUAACAGUAUACUUAUAAAAAUUGAAAUAAUUACCCACACGGUUGUGCGGGUAGAGAUCUAGUUUCUUAUUAAAUGUUUUGUUUUCUCCAUGUCCACACUCCCUUGUUUCUGAUUCAACCUUUGAUUGUUUGAUUAAAUAUGUAUAAUCUAAAUCAACAAUAACCAAAUAUAUAUAUAUACUCAACUAAAAUUUGGGUUUAACGAUCAUCGUCCAUUUUAUAAGAAAAUUCCUCUUGGAUCGAUCUUUUUAUAUUUUUCUUGAUUGACUUUUUAAUCGAAUCCAAGUCUUGCUUCUCUUUGUUUUGGUGUCCACGAUCUCGAAAAAGAAACAGCCAACUGAUUGGUCACUUUCACAGUCCCUCUGGUACGUUAUCCUUUGAUUUUUCAACAUUAUACUUAAAGCUCAAUACCAAAAUCUCAAAGAUAAGCCACUACAUGAUCAUGAUGUGUGUGACCUACGAGCUUGGACUCGAACCCACGAGCCAAUCAUGUAAGUAGCAAUGAAAAGAUCAAGCCAACACAAAUGAUGAAUAGGCCCAUGCCUUGCCCCCAUUCUGUUCCCUUCUUUAUUAAUCUACAGAAACAAAAUCUUCUUCAGAAGAAGAUGCGUGAGCUUUCAACACGAUAAAGAUUGAUGCAAAGUCAUAUAAGGAAACAGCCAAAUCAAUAGCUUGGUGGGUUUGGUCUUCCAAAAGUAAAUUAUGGAAGAACAUGAAUGUCUCUUAUGUACAUUGUCCUGGAAAGAGAGCUCUGAGACCUGAUUACGCAAAAGACUAAUUGCAGAUCACAAAAAAGGAGAAGAGAACGCUAUUUGGAACUGCAGGCAUUGAUACACAAACCAUAAUACAUUAAACACUUGACAAAAGUACAUGUUGAUAUGUCUGUCAGAUUACUACAAGAGUUUCUUUCACCAAUCUGCUUUGCUACCAAUGUACCCUAUGUAAGAGAGAUACUAUAAAGAUCUCCUCUCAACUAUAGUAUAUACACAUUCCUCUGUUUUAGGAAAUGUUAGUUAUUAUCUAACUUAGUCUCCAAGACUAAACUCUGUAUAUAAACCUCUAUUGUACAUUACGUUCAAGAUAUCAUAAUACAUUUCCUAUACCCUAAAUAAGAUAAGUAAACACACAAAAAAGAGCAUUGCUCUAACUUAAAACCUAGUGAGUAAGAAUAAUAACAGUUUUCUCCAAUUUCGAUGAUCUCUCAGAUCCAACCAUUGCUCCCUUGCUCAACCACAGUAUAGCUUCUCCACAAUCUAAUCCCUACAAAUUCUUAUCUGUACAGCAACAACAACAACGCACAAUUCACGUUUUCAGUAACUCAUUUGAGCAGAUGCUCAAAGUUAUGGUUCCAAAUCAACAAUCUGAGACCUCACAAGGUAACAUAGAGUUUCAAUCUUCAAAAUCACAUAAGAAUGAAAAUUCUAACCAUAUAUUCACAAUUGCUUGGCAGAAACAGAGACCAAGAAAGUUCCCAUCCUCUGCUUCUAUAACUCAAUCAUCAUCCUCUACUUCACUAAAACAAUCCACUACCAAUUAAAUUGGUAAAAACAGGGUGAAGCUAUCAAGAAAAUAUCAGACUACGUUGCACAGCUAAGAAGAAUCGGAAAGGGUCACUAAGAUCAUAUUUUAAAAGUAAGACUGCACUUUCUUGUGGAUGUGUUUAUACGUUAAUAACACCGUUUCUGGUGUGAAAAACUGCAGGAGUGUGGCAUUUUGAUCAAAUGCUUCUGAAUGAGGUUUAAGGAAGAAAGUUGGAGCUUUUGAUGACAUAUCUUUUCCUUGUGCUACGGCACUCUUCUAUGUUUAGUUUACAUAGACGUCUCUAAAGUUUGAUAUGGAUAAUGGAUUUUCACUUUUUCUGUUCUUGUGUUGUUUUAACUUUUAACUGAAUGCUUUGUGAGUAUGUUAAUAGUAUAAGUCGUAGUAGUCUGAGAAUAAAUGCAUAUCCAAUGCUUGUCCAUAAAAAGUUGGUUUAAUUUUGGGUGUCCAUAAAAGUCAGUGACGUGUUGUUUUUGACAUAGGAAUCGUAUUUGAACAAAGAUUGUCUCCUUGAGUAGCCUCACGAAUUCUAAAACAGAGCAAAAACUGGGUUCUGCAAUAAACAUAUUGAUUCACCGAGUUUGGUUACAUCUACAGACAAAACAAAAUUAUUAUUGGAGACGAUUUUCAGAAUUAAAUUAGUUAUUAGAAUUAGUUAGAACACAAGAUAUAUAUAGAAUAUCUCUAAUCUUGAAAGAUCUUAGUGUGCAUCAGACUCAUGGGUUUAGGUCUCACAAUCGACACAACUUCCAAUGAUGUAAUGCAUUUGAUGCAUAUCAGCAAAACCAUCGAUCCAUCUUUUGUUUUAUUUUUGUUAUAAGAGAGAAUAGCUACUGGCCAUAUAUUGAAGAAACAAGAACACGAUCGAGCAAAGUCUGGGGUUUUCCUUACCAUCUCGCCCUGAGGAAUACUAGUUGAAUAAUGUACUCACGAUGAUAUGGCUCGAUCAUAAGUAGAUUCACGAGAAAGAGUUGGUUCUUCUGUCAUGAAGCAUGUACUCACUAUUUAUUUGAUUUCAAGCAGGUUAAUAUUUUGUUCAUUUUGAUUGAUUCUUAGAAAAUAUUUGAUUUUUUUUUUGUCAUGUUUGCAUAUAUUUCUCAUUAUGAAAGUUAUGAGGAAUAAACCAAAAAUAAGACUUUUCUCCGUUGAUUUUUCUUGAAAACGUUGAUGUUUGUUUUUAUUCUUAUUUUUUAAAAAGAGAUUCUUUCUUAUUUUGAAAUCCCAUCAAAAUUAAACUAGUUUAGCAGUUAUCUCAAUUAGUUCUUUUUUUAAUUAAAGCAAGAGGAAUGUCAUAAAAUCCUGAAUUUUUAAAAAGAUAAAACAUUUACUAUCAAAUCGAAAGAUUACAAUAUAUGCAAAUGCAGGGGUCUCGUAAACGUUAGUUUUUAGGUCAAUAUGCAUGCGCGUCUUGUAAACGUUAAUUUAACUCCAAACAUACACCUAAGCAAAAUAAGACUUCGUAAAUUACGUCUUCUAUGGUGUGGACAGUUUUUUUUUUUUAAAAAUACUUGUAAUUAGUAAAGGGGACCAAUAUGCGCGGAAAUUUGACCUAAUAGUUUUCUCUCUGGCCCGAUAAUCGAGGUGCCGUCUCAACCGUUUCACUCCGACGCCGGUAGAGCCAUGGCUCGCCGGCGUCGGGUGCUUCAACCUCCGCGUCGUCCUCUUUCUUUUCGUAUCUGUUCAAGCUCAAGAUCCCGUGCUCUGUUCACCGUUCGUAUGACCCUUUCUUGGUCGAAGUUGUCUUCCAUUUCGUAUUUUUCCGGGGGUUCCCGACUACAGUUUUCACUCCCCUCCUCUACUCAACGCCAUCAACGCCAUAGCUCUGCUGGUCCGGCUAUUAUCUAACUUAGUCUCCAAGACUAAACUCUGUAUAUAAACCUCUAUUGUACAUUACGUUCAAGAUAUCAUAAUACAUUUCCUAUACCCUAAAUAAGAUAAGUAAACACACAAAAAAAAAGCAUUGCUCUAACUUGAAACCUAGUGAGUAAGAAUAAUAACAGUUGUCUCCAAUUUCGAUGAUCUCUCAGAUCCAACCAUUGCUCCCUUGCUCAACCACAGUAUAGCUUCUCCACAAUCUAAUCCCUACAAAUUCUUAUCUGUACAGCAACAACAACAAGGCACAAUUCACGUUUUCAGUAACUCAUUUGAGCAGAUGCUCAAAGUUAUGGUUCCAAAUCAACAAUCUGAGACCUCACAAGCUAACAUAGAGUUUCAAUCUUCAAAAUCACAUAAGAAUGAAAAUUCUAACCAUAUAUUCACAAUUGCUUAGCAGAAACAGAGACCAAGAAAGUUCCCAUCCUCUGCUUCUAUAACUCAAUCAUCAUCCUCUACUUCACUAAAACAAUCCACUACCAAUUAAAUUGGUAAAAACAGGGUGAAGCUAUCAAGAAAAUAUCAGACUACGUUGCACAGCUAAGAAGAAUCGGAAAGGGUCACUAAGAUCAUAUUUUAAAAGUAAGACUGCACUUUCUUGUGGAUGUGUUUAUACGUUAAUAACACCGUUUCUGGUGUGAAAAACUGCAGGAGUGUGGCAUUUUGAUCAAAUGCUUCUGAAUGAGGUUUAAGGAAGAAAGUUGGAGCUUUUGAUGACAUAUCUUUUCCUUGUGCUACGGCACUCUUCUAUGUUUAGUUUACAUAGACGUCUCUAAAGUUUGAUAUGGAUAAUGGAUUUUCACUUUUUCUGUUCUUGUGUUGUUUUAACUUUUAACUGAAUGCUUUGUGAGUAUGUUAAUAGUAUAAGUCGUAGUAGUCUGAGAAUAAAUGCAUAUCCAAUGCUUGUCCAUAAAAAGUUGGUUUAAUUUUGGGUGUCCAUAAAAGUCAGUGACGUGUUGUUUUUGACAUAGGAAUCGUAUUUGAACAAAGAUUGUCUCCUUGAGUAGCCUCACGAAUUCUAAAACAGAGCAAAAACUGGGUUCUGCAAUAAACAUAUUGAUUCACCGAGUUUGGUUACAUCUACAGACAAAACAAAAUUAUUAUUGGAGACGAUUUUCAGAAUUAAAUUAGUUAUUAGAAUUAGUUAGAACACAAGAUAUAUAUAGAAUAUCUCUAAUCUUGAAAGAUCUUAGUGUGCAUCAGACUCAUGGGUUUAGGUCUCACAAUCGACACAACUUCCAAUGAUGUAAUGCAUUUGAUGCAUAUCAGCAAAACCAUCGAUCCAUCUUUUGUUUUAUUUUUGUUAUAAGAGAGAAUAGCUACUGGCCAUAUAUUGAAGAAACAAGAACAGGAUCGAGCAAAGUCUGGGGUUUUCCUUACCAUCUCGCCCUGAGGAAUACUAGUUGAAUAAUGUACUCACGAUGAUAUGGCUCGAUCAUAAGUAGAUUCACGAGAAAGAGUUGGUUCUUCUGUCAUGAAGCAUGUACUCACUAUUUAUUUGAUUUCAAGCAGGUUAAUAUUUUGUUCAUUUUGAUUGAUUCUUAGAAAAUAUUUGAUUUUUUCUUUGUCAUGUUUGCAUAUAUUUCUCAUUAUGAAAGUUAUGAGGAAUAAACCAAAAAUAAGACUUUUCUCUGUUGAUUUUUUUUGAAAACGUUGAUGUUUGUUUUUAUUCUUAUUUUUUAAAAAGAGAUUCUUUCUUAUUUUGAAAUCCCAUCAAAAUUAAACUAGUUUAGCAGUUAUCUCAAUUAGUUCUUUUUUUAAUUAAAGCAAGAGGAAUGUCAUAAAAUCCUGAAUUUUUAAAAAGAUAAAACAUUUACUAUCAAAUCGAAAGAUUACAAUAUAUGCAAAUGCAGGGGUCUCGUAAACGUUAGUUUUUAGGUCAAUAUGCAUGCGUCUUGUAAACGUUAAUUUAACUCCAAACAUACACCUAAGCAAAAUAAGACUUCGUAAAUUACGUCUUCUAUGGUGUGGACAAUUUUUUUUAAAAAAAAUUCUUGUAAUUAGUAAAGGGGACCAAUAUGCGUGGAAAUUUGACCUAAUACUUUUCUGUUUCACUCCGACGCCGGUAGAGCCAUGGCUCGCCGGCGUCGGGCGUUUCAACCUCCGCGUCGUCCUCUUUCUUUUCGUAUCUGUUCAAGCUCAAGAUCCCGUGCUCUGUUCACUGUUCAUAUGACCCUUUCUUGGUCGAAGUUGUCUUCCAUUUCGUAUUUUUCCGGGGGCUCCCGACUACAGUUUUCACUCCCCUCCUCUACUCAACGCCAUCAACGCCAUAGCUCUGCUGGUCCGGCUUCCGUCAAGAAUCAGAUCUGUGAGGCUCAAUCUUCCUCUCCUCCCUACGUGUCUCCUCGGCUAGAAAGCCCCCUCCGACAUUCGUCUUCCAUACCACCACAAGUCCAACUUCAAGCUUCGGCUUCCGACGUCUACAAACCCGGUGUCCGUGGGGCUCCACAAUUAACUCGGAUUUUAGAUCUGGAAUUUUGUCAGUUGUCUCGGUUGUGCUCACCUUAUGUCUCCUCUCUAUCACCACUGUCGCUGGCCUUCCUACUCCUCUCACCGCUCCAUUGUCAUCAUCUCAGCCAUAUCAGCUAAACAUCGCCGCUUCUUUGCUCCGCCGUGAUUCCUCGCAGUUCAUCGGGUUCUUUGACCGAGGAAGGCUGAGUCAUUUUGUUCAUGAGAUGGGCUACUUUCAUUUUGCAGUGAGCUUGACAAGCCCAAUAAAGCUCCAAGGCUCCCAUCUCUUCCUAGCAGUUUCACAGCCCACUUUGAUGUGGGGUGGAUUCGUCUCCUUGACUAAUCUUCUAAAAAUGUUUGGCGGGUUCACUAGCGUUUUUACAGAGACAUAUAUACACACAAAGUUUCAUCUCUCUUGUUUGAAGAGUAGCCUUUCUUUCCAUUUACCGGUGGGUUCACCGGGACCAUCAUGUUCAUCCUUUGCUUCCUUUUUAAGGAGUACUUUCCCUCCAAUCUUGUGGAGGUGUUUGUCCAUAUCUAUAACCGUCUUGCUAUCUUGUGCAGCGGUCCGUUCGGGGCCUGAAAAUGCAGCGGGAUUCGUUUCGACGAGUUUCCGAGGUGCGGAUUGGAUGUCAACGCCACAAUUUAAUGUGACUAUUUCUCUGCUGUCCGACCAUGUCGUGAAAGCUACACUGACGCAUUCAAGCAUUGUCUUGAGUUCGUUGUCAUCUUCUUCUUUUGAAGACCUAUCCUUUUUAUCUUAUGUUGGUGUAGUUUAUGUUUUCAAUUAAAGCGGAUGGAUAAUUCCCUCUAUUAUUUGUAAUCAAGCAAGUUGAACUUAAUGAAAAAGUUGUGUUUCAAAAAAAAAAAGAUUUUGCUUUCGACGUGAUGAAUAUUGGAUUUAUCUCUGUGGGUAUUUUUUGUGUGGAAUAAAAACGAAGUCUAUUAUUGUGCUAUAAAGAGGUGGCCAUGGAAGCAUGUUACUCAUCACCAAUUUCCCUGUUCUUUUUUGCUCUUUCAUUUUAAAGUUAAAUAAGCUUAAAAGAAGAAUGAAAGGCUUUUGGAACAUAACGAGUACCAUUUCUCUUACUCUUUCCAUACUUUUCUUAUUCAGCUACAGUUAUGAGGACGUGUCUGCGGUUCCAACUAGGCACUUGUGUCGUCCGGAACAAAGGGAUGCACUUCCCCAAUUCAAGACCGAGUUCGAGGUUCUAAACUCUUCCUUUUCUUCUUAUAAUUGUUAUAUCAAUGAUGAUAUACUAGUGUCUUAUCGGAAGACGGACUCAUGGGCGAAUAACAGCGACUGCUGUAAUUGGGAGGGUGUCACGUGCGAUGCCAAAUCCGGUGAAGUGAUCGAGCUAGACCUUAGUUGCAGCAACCUACGUGGCGAGUUUCAUUCCAAUAGCAGUCUUCAAAGCCUUCAUUCUCUAAACACUCUAAACCUUUCACGUAAUGAUUUCAAUGGUCAAAUCAUGUCUUCAAUUGGAAACCUUUCUCAUAUCACCUCUCUCGACCUUUCACAAAAUUAUUUCAGCGAGUUCAUUCCUUCUUCGAUAGUAGACCUUUCUCAUCUCACCUUUCUCGAUCUUUCAUUUAAUAGCUUUUCUGGUCAGAUUCCAUCUUCGAUUGGAAAUCAUUCUCAUCUCACCAAUCUUGGCCUUUCUUAUAACCAGAUUUCUGGUCAGAUUCCAUCUUCUAUUGGAAAUCUUUAUAAGCUCACUCGUCUUGAUCUUUCUGAUAACAAUAUUGUUGGAGAAACCCCAUCUUCUUUUGGCAAUCUAAACCAGUUGACCAGCUUAAAUGUUGGUCUCAAUAGGCUCAAUGGAAGCUUUCCCAUUGCACUACUGAAUUUGACAAAGUUGUCAUCUUUGCUACUCUUAUGACAAUCAGUUCACAGGAACAAUUCCUCAUAACAUCACUUCACUAUCCAAAUUGACGACCUUUUAUGCAAGCGACAACGCUUUCACUGGGACCCUGCCUUCUUCUCUCUUCACCAUUCCUUCUAUGGAACGUGUUGAUUUGUCUGAUAACCAACUCAACGGUAAUCUUGAGCUUGGGAAUAUAUCUUCACCACCUAAGCUACGAGAGUUAACAAUAACAACUUGAGAGGGCCAAUCCCAGUCACGAUAUCAAAAUUUACCAACCUUGUCCGACUUGACCUUUCCCACUACAAGACACAAGGUCCAAUUGAUUUUAGUAUCUUCUCGCAUCUCAAGUGGCUGGAAGUUCUUGACCUAUCCUAUUUGAACACGACCACUACCAUUGACUUGAAUGAUAUCUUGUCGUAUUUUAAGAGGCUCAGUUACUUGCUUCUCUCAGGCAACCUUGUUUCAUUCAACCUUUGCUGCGUUAUUUGGAAUUGUCAGGCUGUGGUAUCACCGAGUUUCCAGAGUUUGCAAGAUCGCAAAAUAUGAGGAGUCUAGACAUUUCCAACAAUAAAAUCAAAGGACAAGUGCCUGGCUGGUUAUGGACACUACCAAAUCUGUAUCACCUGGAUCUUUCCAACAACACUUUCAUUGGCUUCGAAAAACCAACAACAGUUUUAGUUUCAAGGCUAUCCUUGCUUGCCUCCAACAACAAUUUUACGGGAAAGAUUCCCUCUUUCAUAUGUGAUUUGCGCAAUGUAGACACUCUUGAUUUAUCAAACAACAACUUCAGUGGUUUAAUCCCUAGUUGUCUGGGAAAUCUCAAGCCUACUCUUGAAUAUCUAAACCUUCGUCAGAAUCGUCUUCAUGGAGGUCUUCCAGAGAAUAUAUUUGGAAACUUAAGAACGCUUGACAUCGGUCAUAACCAACUGACGGGAAAGCUUCCAAGAUCUUUGAUCCGGUUCUCUAGUCUUGAAGUUCUGAACGUGGAAAGCAACAUUAUCAAUGGUACGUUUCCGUUUUGGUUGAGUUCUCUACCGGAACUCAAAGUUCUUGUGUUACGCUUUAAUGCCUUCCAUGGACCGAUACAUCAAACUUCGUUCCCUGAGUUGCAAAUCAUCGACAUAUCACACAAUCACUUCAAUGGAGCUUUGCCAUCAGACUUCUUUGUGAAGUGGAGUGCUAUGUCAUCACUUGGGACUGUUUAUUAUGAUCAGCAUGAUCAGCUGGAUGACAAGUACAUGGGAGGUUCCUAUUACCAUGAUUCAAUGGUGUUGAUGAAUAAAGGUAUAGAGAUGGAGUUUGUACGUAUCCUAAAGAUCUACACAGCACUCGACUUUUCAGGAAACAAAUUUGAAGGAGAGAUCCCAAGGUCCAUUGGCCUAUUAAAAGAGCUUCUUGUGCUCAACUUGUCUAACAAUGCUUUCUCUGGCCACAUCCCUUCAUCUAUGGGAAACCUGACGGCUCUUGAGUCACUGGACGUUUCCCAAAACCAGCUUUCAGGAGAAAUACCGCAAGAGCUAGGGGAACUCUCAUUCCUUUCCUACAUGAACUUCUCUCAUAACAAGCUUACAGGUCUAGUACCAGGAGGCACUCAGUUUCUAAGGCUCAACUGCACUUCUUUUGAGGAUAAUCCGGGACUUUCUGGCCCUUCUCUUGAAGAAAUUUGCAGAGAUAUGCACACGCCAACACCGCAUGAAACGCUGGAAUCUGUUGAAGAAGAAGAGGAAGAGGUGUUGAGUUGGAUAGCAGCUGUCAUAGGAGUCAUACCUGGUAUUGCCUUUGGAUGGGUGAUUGGAUACAUACUUUUUUCCUACAAACCACAGUGGUUCAUGAACCCUUUUGCCCGAAACAAGCGCAGAAUCAGCAGCACCACAACUCAUUAAAAAGGUAAUUUUCCAGAGUUUUAAAUCAACUUGUUAGAAAACACUGGAAGAAACAAAAAUAUUAUAGUGAAAUCACCUGAGUUAACCUUUUCUUUUUUUUUGGUACAUGUCUUUUAUAAGCUACCUGAGGAAUCUGGAAGAAGAAAUCCAAAGGAACCACUAUGUCUAUCGUAUCAAAUAAGAUUUGGGGUAUCGUUUCUGGUUUAGCUUGGUGUUUUUCUCAUUACUCUGUUUUUACUCUCUCUUUUUUUUCUAGCAAACUUCUUUGUUCCUCUGGUAUUGUUUCUGUUUUAGCUUGGUGUGUUUUUUCUCUAUCUCUAUUUUUUUUUUACGUUUUAUUAAACUUCUUUGUUUCUCUGUAAUUGAACAACCAUGUUGCUUACGCUGAAAAUUACAAGCACCAGUCAAAGAUGUGUCGUCUUUUCCCCUCUUGUGAAUCUAAACAUCAACUGUUUAGACGUGAGAUGAGCAAUGAACAGAUGAUCCAGAUCAACGCUAUAAACCUUGCAGGGUUUUAGAAAAGGAUAUACAUAUUAUAUAUGGAUAUUUCGAUUUCUUAUAUCACUGAGACACAUAAAUUCAUAGAAACUAUAGAUUAAUAAUGACCAGAAAAAAGAUAUAUGCUCAACUUAAUUUGUUUUAACGAUCAUAUGAAAAUUCUUCUUUGAUCAGUGUGAAAUCUAUUUUAUAUUUUCUUUAACUGACUUUUACAUCUACUCUCAAGUCUUGCUUCUCUUUAAUUUGAUGUCCACAAUCUCAAAUAGAGACAUCAAUAGCUUGGUGGGUUUGAUCAGUUCCAAAAAGUGAAUUAUGGAAAGAACAUCUAUGAUGUCAAUAUGAAUGUCUCCAAAGAACCCCUUUAUGCAUUGUGUUAAAUCUGUUAAGGCAAUUCUGAGACCUGAUUACGCAAAAAGACUAACUGCAGAUCAUAAAAAAAAAAAAAAAAAGAGAAAUGAGACCACAGGCGUUGAUACAGAAACCAUAAUACAUUAAACACUUGACAAAAGUACAUGUUGAUAUGUCAGUCAGAUUACUACAAGAGUUUCUUUCCCCAAUCUCGAUCAGCUUCUCAGAACCAACGAGUGUUCCUUUGCUCUACCACAGUAUAGCUUCUCCACAAAUCUAAUCCCUACAACUUCUUCCCUGUACAACAGCACCACAAAAUUCAAGUUUCAGUAACUCAUCAUCAUAUAUGAUGAACAAAUAUAACAUUAACAAACAGAACCUGAAACCUCAGAAGCUUACCUAAAGUUUCAACAUGUUCAUCCGUUGCAACUCAAGCUCCUUUGCAGCUUCCAUCCUCUGCUUCUCCAACUCAACCAUCAUCCUCUGCUUCACACCUUCAAUCCUCUCGUACACCUCUCCCAACUUCAAAAUCGCUCUCGCCAGCUCCCUACAAGANNNNNNNNNNNNNNNNNNNNNNNNNNNNNNNNNNNNNNNNNNNNNNNNNNNNNNNNNNNNNCGACGACCCUUCGCCUCCACUCGGAUCCACAUCCUCCACUCUCCGAUGCUUCCUCACCACAAACCCCCAAUCUCCCACCUCAUCAUCAUCAUCCUCCUCCUCCAAAGAGCUCCCACUCGAUUUAGAUCCCGUCGGAUUCUUCAACGCCGGUCUCACAACUCCGGUGGAUUUCUUCGCCGCGACGGGACCGAUCAAGAAAUCGAGCCUCUCGAAGAAGCACCAAGACGACGGAGAAGGCUUACUUCUUCUCUCAUAACCAGCUUGUCGGUCUAGUACUGCACUUCCUUUGACGGUAAUCCGGGACUUUCUGGCCCUUCUCUUGAAGAAAUUUGCAGAGAUAUUCACAAGCCAGUCAGAGGAAGAAGAAGAGGAAGAGGUGUUGAGUUGGAUAGCAGUUGUAAUAGGAGUCAUACCUGGUUUUGCCUUUGGUUGGGUGAUUGGAUACAUAUUUGUUUCCCACAAGCCACAGAGGGAUUCAUGAAUCCUUUUGUCCGAAACAAACGCAGACGCAGCAGUACAACAACUCAUUAAAGAGGUAAUAUUCCAGAGUUUUAAAUCAACUUGUUAUUACCAAACAUUGGAAGAAACAAAAUUAUUAUAGUGAAAUCACCUGAAUAAACCUGACAAAUAUGGAAGACUGGGAUUGGGAAAAGAGUGGGACAGAGUUCUGUGAAGUUAAAUGGAGUGAAGACUGAAUGAAGAUGGAAAAACAUGGACAGUGCCCCUGAACUAACACAAAACAAGGGGUCGUGUCUACAUCAAUAGUGGUUGGAGAUGUUUUUGCCGCUCAAUUUGAAAAAGAGCCAACGUUUUAUUGGCUUUUAAUCUUGUGCAAACGCUCAUCAGAGCAAUCCAAAACAAACUCCAGAUUAAAGAAAUCUUCGGUAUCGUCUCAGAUAUCAUGCAGAUCUCCUCGGCGUUUGAAUCUAUCUCUUUCUCCUUUGUUCCACAAUCAGAAAACCAAAAGGCUGACUGUUUAGCCAAACGGGCUCUGAUCUCUUCUGUUUCUGCACUUGUUUGAACAUCUGGGUAUUGGGCUUUGUUUUCGGCCCUUUAUCUUUCCUUUGCUUUUAAUAUAAUCUCGUUGCACAAAAAAAAAAAAAAAAAAAUCUUGUGCAAACAGGUACAAACCCUGUUCUCCAGUUGUGUUCGUCCUACAACCGAAACUGUCUCCGAGCUUCUUCUUCAUCUUCAUCUUCAACAAGCCAAGAAAGAUUCUUGACACUGACUCCAACACCAUACACUCUCAAGAAGUCUAAUUUGGUAAGUUUUCAUCAAUACACCCAGCAUUGUAUCUGAGUUGUUUUAAUGUUUUGAAGUCUUUAUUAAGUCUACCGGGCAAGCUUGUGUGGUUGAAUGGUAGUGAGAAGGCAAGGACGAUAACUCUCGUGGACAGAUACGGUUUCAAAAGGUCAACGAGUCUUGAAGCUGAUAACAAAUCUGGAAGAAUGUGACUGGGAAAAGAGUGUAGAGCGUUCUGUGAAGCUAAUGGAGUGAAGGCUGGUGAGUCCUUUAAGCUAGAAUUCAUCAAAGAUGAAAAAUUCACAGCGACUCAACUACUUAAGCUAUGUUCUAAAGUCUUAAACUCUCUCUGAGUUCGUUUUGAUUAUGUAAUAUCUACGUACAGUGUGUAUUUUGAUUUUUGGCAGGCUUGUCAGGCAAGGCUGUAGUAACUUGGUAUGAGACGAACCUAGGCUAUGUUAAAUUGACUCUCCUUUGGAGAAUAGACCCUCAAAAAUACAUUGUCAUUCAGUAUAAUAUUUUUUUUUUUGAUCUAUAAUAACGUUUACAAAAACACCAAUGAAUACUAACUAACUUUUUACUCUGCCCCCUGAACGCUCAUCUUCUCAUAGUAGAGAGGCAAAUUUGAUUACAUCAUCCAGUGUAUCAAACAACUUACCAUCCAAAUCCAAACCAUUCUUUUGAUUGCUUUCUUUAUACGAAUUUGUGCUUUAGCUCAUGUUUUGUUCUUGGUUUUUCACUAAAUUAGCAGCUUAUAUGUAUUCUUCCUAUAAAGAACGUUCUCUCGGACUUUCUCUCAAGCAAGUACACGAGCAGGUCUACACGGUUGCGUGGCGUAACCUGAUAGACCCGUCUGUCAGUCUCAGUCUGCUUCGAAAUCAAUGAGGAGGGCAACUGGUGCAUAUAGUCUGCUUUCUGACUAUUAAAUAUGACCAGAGAAAUUUCCACACAUGAACUUAAUAUUGAUUAGGAAAGUUGUUUUGCUUUCGCUGUAAUGUAUAGUGAAUUUUUCUUUGUGUAAUAAAUAUACAGUUAAAUUAGCUUAAAGAAAAAUGAGAGGCUUUUGGAACUUAACGUGUACCAUUUCUCUUAUUCUUUCUAUAAUUUUCUUAUUCUGCUACAAUUAUGAGGACGUGUCUGCGGAUACUACUAGGCACUUGUGUCGUCCUGAUCAAAGGGAUGCACUUCUCCAUCUUCGAUUGGAAAUCUUUCUCAUCUCAUCUCACCUACCUUGACUUUUCUUCUACUCAAAUUUUGGGUCAGAUUCCAUCUUCUACUGGAAAUCUUUAUAAGCUCACUUAUCUUGACCUUUCUAACAACAAUAGCUAUGUUCUUUUGAUUAACGCAGCUUCUCGCGUCAGCGACUCCAAAUCUUAUGGUGGCUGCUUCGUGUGAAACGACGCGGACAAUGGUGAUGACAUAAAAAGUGUUGCCGUAAUAGUAAAAAAUAGUCGCCGCGUGAGUCGUAACUGACGCUACAAUUUUUAGCGAUCAAUUAUCAUCCCAAAACUAACGCUGCGUCUCUUAUAAUUAACUUCGGCAAAGUGGGUUUUCAGCAAUCUUGCUUUUAAAGUAACGGAAAUACAGAGCGAAAAAGAGACGCAGACGCUAACGCAGCGUUUAUCAAAAGAACAUGACUAUUGUUGGUGAUAUCCAAUCUUCUAUUGGCUAUCUAAACCAGCUGACCACCUUAAGUGUUUAUAAAAAUAAGCUCAAUGGAAGCUUGCCCAUUACACUACUGAAUCUGACAGAGUUGUCAUAUUUAGUACUCAGCGUCAAUCAGUUUACAGGAAUAGUUCCUCAUAACAUGUUACGUAUGAGGCUAGAAGGCCACCAAUACUGUACCAGUGCGAGAGGAGAAAGAAAGGCCCAGUUCAGAAAAAGUGACUAAGCACAAGAAGCAUCUAGAAGAAAUCAAUAAAAGAGGAGAAAGGAUGAAUCACAGCAACGGCCUUGGGCACGAGCACAUGGGUUGUCUGUGACGUGUCCCCUGCUUUUUCACUUUAUAAGUAGUAGUAAGGAAUAAUAGUUUGUGAUCGAGAGAGAGGAUCGAUCUGGUAGUGAUUGGAGAGAGAGUACUCCUGUCUAAAAACUCUAAAUCAUUGUAUUUGCUUGUUCUUUAAGGAGUCUUCAUAAAGUUCUUUACACGAUCGAGCUUUUACAAUACUAGUCGUAACAAACUUGGUAUCAGAGCAAGACGAACCUGAGGGCUUGUGAUGGGACCGAAGAAGAAUGACGACAAGGUAGCGGAGCAGAUCCAUCGCGAUGAUGACCGUAUCGUGGUGGUGGAGAGCAAGAUAUCUGCGGUGGAGGACCGAUUGAACGAGAUGAUGAAGUUCAUCGCCAGUGGGUUUGAGAGGAUCGAGCCGCGGAAGGAGGAUCAGACGGAGGGAAAGGAUCGGCGAGGAGAAGGGCUGAUACCCUCUGGUCUGACCUCCAACCCAGCCGGUGCUUCUAAACCUAUGGUGCUGCAAGGUGAAGGCUCGGGGAAGCAGAUCCUCGAAGAACCGAGAAGCAUCUCCGGAGUGAGGUCGACGGCGGCGUCAGGACCAGGAGCGGAUUCUGUCAACACCCAAACCUCAUACCGGAGUAUCUUGGGAGGCAAGGAAGAGUGGUUACCAAAGAGAUUGGAGAUCCCAACGUUUGACGGAGAAGAGCCGGAGAACUGGGUGUUACGUGUGGAACAUUAUUUUGAGUUGGGAGAUUUUACGGAGGAAGAAAAGUUGCGCGCCGUCAGGAUGUGUUUUAUCGGCGACGCGUUACCUUGGUACCGAUGGGAAAGGAGUCGGAAUCCGUUCCUGAGCUGGGAACAGAUGAAGACAAGGGUAUUGGAGCAGUUUUUGGCGGUGCGCGAUACGAGCGCCGGUGAGCAUAUCCUGUGUCCCCGACAGACCGGGACGGUGCGAAGCUUUCGCAGCGAGUUUAUCGCGUUAGCUUCCAACGCUCUGGGGAUUCCCGAUCCGAUCUUAGAGAUGGCUUUUAUGAACGGGUUGAAGCCUAAAAUAAAAGCGGGAGUGAGGAUGAUGAGUGUAAGAGGGUUAGAGAAGGUGAUGGACGCCGCGAAAUUGUUGGAGGACUGGUCCGAAGGAGGGGAGACGACGGAGGAGACGACAGAGACGUCGUCUAAGACUGGCCGUGUUACGAGUGGUUGUCAUCUAGCCCAAACAAAUAAACCGGCCCAAUCAACCGGUCAAAUCCCAAACCUUAACAAGGGAAGGCCCACUUUCAAUGGAACGACGGCGUCGAGCAAUACCCAGACGAAACCUAAUCACAAUCGAUUGAAACCAUCCUUUCGGCGGUUGACUCCGGCAGAGGUGGCGAAAUGGAAGGCGGAGGGGUUGUGUUACCGGUGCGACGAGAAGUACAUAUAUCCUCACCGUUGCGCCCAGCCCGAGGUGGUGGUCUUGAUGGUGCUGGAGGACGGAACAGAGAUAGAUGUGCUAAACUGUUCCGUCGAGUUAGAGGAAGAGGAGAUCGCAGAGGAAGUGGAAGUAGCAGCGAUUUCGAUCAGCUCCAUUGUGGGAAUCUCCUCAACUCAUACAAUCAAGCUCAAAGGAAAGUUGAUGGGAAGAGAAGUGGUGGUUUUGAUCGACAGCGGGGCCACCCACAAUUUCGUAUCGAAGGAGCUAGUGACACAGUUGAAGUUACAGACGGAUAGAACUCGCGGCUAUAGUGUGAUGACAGCCGGUGGAGUGACCUUCAAGGGAGCAGGGUUGUGUAGCGAGUUAGAGCUGGAGCUACAAGGUUGUACGAUCACCUCAAGUUUCCUACCAUUGGAAUUAGGAAGCGCUGAUGUCAUAUUAGGCAUUCAGUGGUUGGAAACACUCGGGAAUAUGAAGGUCAAUUGGAAGCUACAAAUUCUACGUUUCAAGGUGGGAUCGCAUAAGUAUGUCCUACAAGGAGAUCCCAGCCUCUGUUGUUCAGCGGCGUCUCUCAAAUCUAUUCUGAAGACGUUACAGCAGGACGGAGAGGUGAUGUUGAUUGAAUACAACGGGAUGCAGUUGGAGGGAGAAGAAUCCGGGAAAGCCUCUCAGAUUCCUCAGUCCUUACAAGACAUCUUGAAAGAGUUUACAGAGGUCUUUGAUGAACCUAGGGGGCUCCUUCCGUCAAGAGGAAAGGCGCACGCUAUUGAGUUGAAGAAGGAAGCAAGCCCCGUGAGCGUCAGGCCCUUUCGAUACCCUCAAGCUCAACGUGAGGAGAUUGAGAAACAAAUCGCAGCUAUACUCACUGCAGGGAUCAUCAGAGACAGUAACAGCCCAUUCUCGAGCCCUGUGCUGUUGGUGAAGAAGAAGGACGGAAGCUGGCGGUUCUGCGUUGAUUACCGCGCCCUUAACAAGGUCACCAUCGCAGACUGCUACCAUAUACCGAUGAUAGAUCAACUGCUGGAUGAGUUGCAAGGAGCAGUCGUCUUUUCGAAGUUGGAUUUGAAGUCAGGUUACCAUCAAAUUCUGGUGAAAGCGGAGGACGUGCAGAAGACAGCGUUCCGUACUCACGACGGCCACUAUGAGUUCCUAGUGUGCCGUUCGGACUGUCAAACGUACCAGCUACAUUCCAGUCGUUGAUGAAUGAGAUAUUCCGAAGCUAUUUAAGGAAAUUCGUCCUCGUCUUCUUUGACGACAUAUUAGUUUAUAGUAAGACAGAGAAGGAACACGCGGUGCAUCUCAGACUGGUGCUAGAGAAACUAAAGGCACAGAAGUUAUAUGCCAACCAAAAAAAGUGCGAAUUUGGGAGCUCUCGAAUAGAGUACUUGGGGCAUGUAAUCAGUAAGGAAGGAGUAGUAGCUGAUGAGGGGAAGAUUCAAGCCAUGACAAAUUGGACGACGCCAAGAACCGUGAAGGAGUUGCGCAGGUUCUUGGGUUUAACCGGGUACUAUCGGAAGUUUGUACAAAGCUAUGGAGAGAUUGCAAGACCUUUAACAUCAUUUCUCCGCAAGGACCAGUUCAGAUGGUCUGAAGGAGCGACGGGUGCUUUCCAACAGCUGAAGAGAGCCAUGACAACGGUACCGGUGCUUGCCUUGCCUGAUUUCAAGGAGCAGUUUGUAGUGGAAUCAGAUGCAUCGGGAGUGGGAUUGGGAGCGGUCUUGAUGCAGAAGCAGCGACCCAUCACGUACUUCAGUCAAGCACUGACAGAGAAGCAACAGCUGAAGUCAGUAUAUGAGAGGGAGUUAAUGGCUAUAGUCUUUGCCAUACAGAAGUGGGCGACAUUACUUACUCGGAAGAAAGUUUCUAGUAAGAACGGACCAGAAGAGUCUCAAGUUUUUAUUGGAGCAACGUGAAAUCAACAUGGAGUAUCAGAAAUGGCUGACGAAGAUUCUUGGUUUCGACUUCGACAUUCAUUACAAGCCCGGACUCGAGAAUAAAGCCGCAGACGGCCUUUCUCGAAAAAGUGCAAUACUAGAGUUAUUUGCAGUAUCGGUUCCAGUAUCUAUUCAGUUGGAGGAACUAGGUUCUGAGGUGGGGAGGGAUGAAGAGUUGUCUAAGAUAAUGGAAGACCUGUCUCGAGAUCUGAAUUCACAUCCUAACUACUCUAUGGUACAAGGGAGACUGCUGAGACAGGGGAAGCUUGUACUACCUAAGACGUCUCAGUUGAUUGGAGUUAUCUUGAAAGAAUACCACGACAGCAAGUAUGGGGGGCAUGGCGGAGUAUUAAAGACACAAAAACGCAUUGGAGCUUUGUUCUAUUGGCAGGGCAUGAUGACUGACAUCAGGAAGUAUGUGGCGUCAUGUCAGACUUGCCAACGACAGAAGUACUCCACGUUGGCACCGGGGGGGGGGGGGGGNNNNNNNNNNNNNNNNNNNNNNNNNNNNNNNNNNNNNNNNNNNNNNNNNNGGGGGGGGGGGGGGGGGGGGUCUCCUCCAGCCUCUACUGAUACCGUCCAACGUGUGGGAAGACAUUUCGCUUGAUUUCAUUGAGGGGCUGCCUAAGUCGGGAGGAGUCAACACUGUUCUCGUGGUGAUAGACCGUCUUACAAAGUAUGCUCACUUUGUGGGUCUCAGGCAUCCGUUCACUGCUGUUGAUGUGGCUAUGGUCUUCAUGCAGGAGAUAGUCAGACUACACGGGUUCCCUAAGACCAUAGUGUCAGAUCGUGACAGGAUAUUCACAGGGCAGUUUUGGAAGGAGCUGUUCCGUUUAGCAGGGACCAGUCUAUGCUUUUCAACGGCUUACCACCCACAGUCUGACGGACAGACCGAGGUUACCAAUAGGGGAUUAGAAACAUAUCUACGUUGCUUUGCGGGAGAGAAACCACGAACGUGGGCAAGCUACUUGCAGUGGGCGGAGUUUAGCUACAACACGUCGUUCCACUCUGCUAUUAAUAUGUCACCGUUCCAAGGCUUGUAUGGUAGAGAGCCACCUUCGCUGUUACAGUACGAGAAUGGCUCUACCAACAAUGCUGAGUUGGAAGCACGGCUGCAGGAGCGUGACGACAAUUUGGCAUUGCUUCGCCAACAGUUGUUGAAAGCUCAACAAACUAUGAAGGCAAGAGCAGAUGAGCACAGGAGGGAGGUGGAAUUUCAAGUAGGGGAUAAGGUCUUUGUGAAACUCAGGCCUUACAGAGAGAAGACGUUGGCUAAGAGAAUUAAUGAGAAGCUAUCGGCUCGCUUCUAUGGGCCGUACGAGAUAGAGAGACGCAUGGGGAAGGUGGCGUAUAAACUACGGUUACCAGCAGAGGCCCGCAUUUAUCCCACUGUUCAUGUUUCACAGCUAAAGAAAGCGGUGGGUGAGUCCUUCGAGUCAGUGACCCUGCCAUCACAGCUCACCGCUGACGGGGUAUUGGAGGUAGUUCCAGAGGCCGUGCGAGCUCACAGGUUCAACACCACGACAGGCCACGAAGAGUUGUUGAUCAAAUGGGUCGGGUUGACAGAAGCUGACUGCACGUGGGAAUGGAAGAGUAUGAUUGAGAAGCAGUUUCCAGAGCUUGACCUUGAGGACAAGAUCAGUUUCAAUGGAGGGAGUAAUGUUACGUAUGAGGCUAGAAGGCCACCAAUACUGUACCAGUACGAGAGGAGAAAGAAAGGCCCAGUUCAGAAAGAGUGACUAAGCACAAGAAGCAUCAAGAAGAAAUCAAUAAAAGAGGAGGAAGGAUGAAUCACAGCAACCGCCUUGGGCACGAGCACAUGGGUUGUCUGUGACGUGUCCCCUGCUUUUUCACUUUAUAAGUAGUAGUAAGGAAUAAUAGUUUGUGAUUGAGAGAGAGGAUCGAUCUGGUAGUGAUUGGAGAGAGAGUACUCCUGUGUAAAAACUCUAAAUCAUUGUAUUUGCUUGUUCUUUAAGGAAUCUUCAUAAAGUUCUUUACACGAUCGAGCUUUUACAAUACUAGUCGUAACAUAUCAUCACUUCACUAUCCAAAUUGAGAAUUUUCGAUGCAAGUAACAAUGCUUUCACUGGAACCCUGCCUUCUUCUCUCUUCACAAUUCCUUCUAUUGAUUACGUUAAUUUGUCUAAUAACCAACUCAACGGUAUUCUUGAGCUUGGGAAUAUAUCUUCACCAUCUAAGCUACAAGUGUUAAACGUUGGCAGAAACAACUUCACAGGGCCAAUUCCAAGCACGAUAUCCAAAUUUACCAACCUCGUACGGCUUGACCUUUUCCAUUACAAGCCACAAGGUCCAGUUGAUUUCAGUAUCUUCUCACAGCUCAAGCGGUCGAAUAUCUUGAUCUAUCCUAUUUGAACACGACCACCACUAUAGACCUGAGUGAUAUAUUGUCAUAUUUUAAGAGGCUCCGUCUGUUGUUUUUCUCAGGCAACCAUGUCUCAGCCACAAACAAGAGUCCAGUUUCAGUUCCCCCUUUGCUGUAUGAGUUGCACUUGUCAGGCUGCGGUAUCAACGAGUUUCCGGAGUGGAGUUCGCAAGAAACAAACAUAUGUCGGUUCUAAACAUUUCCAACAAUAAAAUCAAAGGUCAAGUGCCUGGCUGGUUAUGGAGGCUACCAGAUCUGACUUACCUGAAUCUUUCCAACAACAGUUUCAAGAGUGUCUACAUUGCGCAUAUCUUCUUCCUGAUCCACCACUUUUUUAUCUGAUUUUAUUUGCAAUCAGAUUCCAGUUUUUGAAACUGUUUUUUUUUUGUCAAAUAAGUGAGUUCACAUUAAAGGAGAAAGAUUUGUAAGUUACAAAAUGUUGUAGCUAUUAAGGAUUUCCUUGGCAAAAAAAAAGAUAAUAAAAGGAAAGCCCAUAGUUGAAUGAAAAAUAGUUAGAGAAGCCAUUCAUGUCGUAACCAAAUUUGAUGAGAUACAUGAAUGGUAUCCUCUUUCUUUUGCCUAGGAUGAUGUCACCUACAGUCAUGUCAAUAAUUUUGAAGACCAUCGUUGUUAGCGCUUGUUUCUUUUGGUCCAAAUAUUACAAAUUGUAGCAUGUGUAGCAAUGCGCUUAAGGGUUCGGGAGCAUGAGUCCUUCAAUGAAAGCCAAUCAGGGAAAGCAUUCCAGAUUUCUCAGAGACCUAUGAUGAGAAUCCCAACGUUUGUAACCUAUCCUUUGAAGAACCAAAUCCCAUAUUUCUCAGAGACGUAAAUUGGAGACGAUAAUUAGCGAUUUAAGUGAAUCAUUGCAAGUGUUUGGUGAACAGUUACAACUUCUUAAAUGAAAAAUUGCAAUUGUUGGUGAAUGUAAUUAUAGUGAUGAACCAUUGCAUUUCUUGGUAGUUGUAGUUUUUUGGUGAUAAAUCAUUGCAAUUUUGGUGUAAACCAACCAUUGCAAUCCUUAAUCCUCUAUAUAAAGAGUUAUGGACAUUGACAAAGCAUAUCAAUCACAAAUAGACUAGAAAAAUGAGAGAUUCAUAGUCAAAAGAUCAUCAAAAGUAAUGAUAUGCUUUUAUGUGUCUUUUUCAUUUAAAAUAUUUUUUUACUGAUAUGUUUUUGGUUAUUUUCUCACUUUCACUUAUAUUAUACUUUUUUAAAAUCUAUGGAAAGUUUAUGGAUAUGUUUUUCUCUCUUUUGUGACACAUAAACUUCUUUGAAAACAAAAAUAAGAUACUUUAUAUAAAAUAUCAUAAAUUAUACAAGUGGCAAAUAUUUUUUAAAAUAAAAGUAGUUAACAAUAAUAACCUAAAACAUGCAUACAAAUUUCAAUAUGUGUGCAUUUACCAAUUGAUUAUAUUCUUUUAGUUGCGGUCUAUUUUUUAUGUAACAAUUGAAUAGUUUAUGAGUAUUUAUUUUCAUAAUUCUCAAUUUUAUCUCUAUUUGAUCAAAUUUUAUUUUAUUUUACAUGCAAAAGAUGAAUUUAUUCAAGGAUUUUUCUGUUGAAUAGAUGCAUCCUUUAAAAUACUUAAAAUGUUGUAAAAAUGUAUCCUUUCAGAAAAUUAAUAUUUUUAUAUUUAAAUUAUAUUUCAGAUAAAAGUUGAUCUGUUUAUAUGGGUGUAUCUUUGCCUUUUGAUUAAAUGAAUUGAAAUAUGUUUUAGACUCAUUGAUAAAGACAUAUUUAAAAUAAAUAGAUUUGCAUAUAUUAACAUAUUAUAAAAACAUAAAAUUUGAAAGAUGAUGAAAUUAUGUUUUAAAAAUCAUAUUUUUUUGUUCAUACCUUUUGAAAACGAUACAAAUGGAAAUAAAUAAAUAUAUAUUAAUUAUGAAAUAUUGAUACAAAAAAACUUGGAAAUAAAUAAUGUAAAUACUUUAAAGACUCAACAUAAUUGAAUAUAUUUUUAGGACCAAAAUAAGUUGAAUAAUUUUUAUACAUUUAUAAUAUUUUCUAGUACAGUAGUAAAUAUUUAUUUUUAUAAAAUGAGUUUCCGUGGGACAUCGCAUGGAUUCCUUACCUAGUAUACACAGUAACAGACUGUGUAUUUAUUCCACAAAGAAAAAUCCACGGAGAAAAAUCCAUGGUGAAAAAUCAAAUAUUCAUCACAUAACCAGGACGAGUUAGUUUGGUGGUAAACGGUUUGCGGCUGCAAGUACGGUCCCGGGUUCAACUCGCACUGGCCACCAGGAAAUUUACAUGCGGACUUGCUCUGGCGCCCGAGACCGAAGACCGUUGCCUGGCCAUGACCCACCCUCGGGUGUGCGUCCGCGCCGCUAAAGGUUCGGUCUCUAGUCGGACCACCACGGUGGGGCUAGGACACUCGGUUAUAAAAAAAAAAAAAAAAAAAAUUCAUCACAUCGGCAGCAAUAUCUUUGUGUCGAAUAGGGGCCCCCGGUUAAAAAAAAAAAAAAAAAAAAAAAUUCAUCACAUCGGCAGCAAUAUCUUUGUGUCGAAUAGUCAAGUUUCCACACAUAUUGGUCCCCUACACUAAUAAUUAAAUGAAUUUUCAAAAAAUAAUUGUCCACACGACCAAACCAAAUAAAAGUAUUUACGAAGUCUUUUGGAUUAAACUAAUUAACGUUUACGAGACCCAUGCAUAUAAUGUAGUCUUUCGUUGUGAUUUUUUUUGUGUGGACGAGUCUUUUUGCUGGACAGUUUUGGUAACACCUAAAUAGGACCAUGUCCAAAUUAGACCAUACCCAAAAAAGAUUAUGAUCAGUUGGGUUGUCCAUGAGGUCCAGACGCUCAUUUAGUAUAAAUAAGUUAAUUUUUAUUGUAAAAGAUGGAAAUAUACUAAAUUUCGUAUAUAUUAUAGACUUAAACUUUAUUAUUUUGCAAUUUAAAUUUUUACGAGAAAAUUUGAUUUUGAGAUUUUUGUGAUUUUGAUGAAAAAUAUGACUUUCAGUUUCCAUAAAACGUGAUUUUGCGGUUUUGACCGAGAAAAAUGUAAUUUUAAGGAAAAUUGCGUUUGCAGUUUUGGCGAAAAACACGAUUUUAUGGUUUUGAUGGAGAAAAUACAAUUUUACGGGAAAAAUAUGAUUUUUCGGUUUUGGCGAAAACUCGAUUUUAUGAUUUUGGUAAGACAAAUUAAAAUUGUACUUUUUUCCUAAUUUUCUAAACCUAGAUAUUUUAGCUAUUUGGGCUGUCCAGUGUCCAGAUGGUCAAAACCGCAAAAUCACGUUUUCCGGAAACCGAAAGUCAUAUUUUUCACCAAAAUCACAAAAAUCUCAAAAUCAAAUUUUCUUGUAAAAAUUCAAAUUGCAAAAUAAUAAAGUUUAAGUCUAUAAUAUAUAUGAAAUUUAGUAUAUUUCCAUCUUUUACAAUAAAAAUUAACUUAUUUAUAUUAAAUGGGCAUCUGGACGGCAUGGACAACCCAACUGAUCAUGGUUUUUUUUUGGUAUGGUCUUAUUUGGACAUGGUCCUAUUUAGGUGUCGACCAAAACUGUCCAGCAAAAAGACACGUCCAUAUGGACACGCCCAAAUAGGCCCAACCCGCCCAUUUGACAUCUCUACCUACGAAGCUACCUUUUGUCUCAAGAAUCCUGUUUACGGUUGCAUGAGCCAUAGCUUCUCCGCAGAAGAAGAUGCUUGAGCUUCAACAUGAUAUAGCCCUUGCUCGCUCUAGACUACUUGUCCAUUAUUUGCCAAGUGAUUUCACACAUGUUUUCUUUACAAUCAUUUUCACUAAAAAAAUAUGACAUGACAUACUAAAAUUGAUGAUAUGAUGUAUGGUUAAAAGUGACAUAGACAACUACAUUUAAUGUUAAUUUUAAUUUUUGUUAACUUUUGAUAAUAUGGUAAUAAUUCAUAAAUCAUCAUUAAAAUAAAUAUAUUCAAAUAUUUCAUUAAAAAUACGAUAAGAAAGAUAUAAAAUAUUUUUAAAAUUUCGAAAUAUUAUUUAAAUAUAUUUUUAUAAUCAUAAGAGUUUUAUUAUUAAAUAAUAUUUUCAAAAUUUUAUACAACCUUUUUAAAAAAAAUUAAAUUUUUAAUUGUAAUAUUCAUUUGUUUAUUUUUGAUAUCUACAAAUUUUAGAAAUUCUUUUAGUUUAAUAUUUUGAUAAUUAUAAAAAAUUUAUAUCAAUUUUACUUUACACAAGUUAAUUUAAUAUAUCUUAACCAAAAUAAAUAAAUGAAAUAUAUCUAAAUUAUAAUUUUAAAUAUAACUUAAAUCUAAUUUUAAAUAAAUCAGAAUAUUUAUUUUAUCUUAAUUCUAUAAAGGGUCUCGUAAACGUUAGUUUAAUCCAAAAGACUUCGUAAAUACUUUUAUGGGAAAUUUGCCAAAUAUGACUCAUAACUUGAUUUCAAACACAAAGGUAAACCCAAACUUGAAUCAAAUGCAAAAGUAACCUAAAAGACUAUUGAAAUUACAACCAGCCCCUUGUGAACAAACAAAAAAACCGAUUUGUUUUUACUUUUCUAACCCCCGUAAGUCGCCUGGAAUAUUUUUUAAGUGAAAAAUUGAAAUCAUGUAAUUAACAUAUGUUUUAAGAGAUAUAAAUUAAGUUAUAACAAAAUUUAAUUGUUUUCAACAUAGUUGAGUGAAAGUAGUGAGUCAUGAUAUUCUUUGGUUUAGGUUUUGCCAAAAUAUGUUGUAGUAUUGUAUGUGUUCUUAUGGUUAGAUUUUGGAAUGCAUAAAUGUUUUUUUGAAAACUUUAAAAUUUACCUAAGUGUGUUUAUUUCUGUGUAUAGUAAACACUAUUUAAGUAUAACUACGGCUUAAUAACGUGGUUAGUUAGUUAAUUUAGUCAAUUUAGUUUAGGGGUUAAAUUUAGGGUCUGAGAAGUAAGUCGUCUGAUGUACAAUAUUCAACAGACGACUUACUAGUAAGUCGUCCAAACCGGACCGAACCUUUAAUUUUACAAUGUACUUUUAAACCUAACCGAAUUAUUUACCGGCCAUAUAUAAGGUGUUUUUUUUUAUUCACUGUUUCGCGAAAAUCAGAAAACCCUAACGCCGUUUCUCUCAAAGGCGAUUUCGAAGGCGAUUUUUGUCGAUUCUCUCUAAUCCAUCGUUCUCACCGCCGGUUAUCUCUCCGCCGUUAUCACCGUCGUUCUCACCACCGUUCUCACAGCCGCUUCCUCUAUUUAAGAUCCGAGAGGAAACCCUAGCGCGCAUUCUCUCAGAGGCGUCUCGUUGAACUCCGCCGCGGGUAAAUUAUAUCUCUUACUGUCGAGUGAUUGAUUGAGGAAAAGAUGAACAUAAAACUGGAAGUCUUGGAAGACUUAUAAUUAAGUCGUCUGCAGGAAGACUUUCCAGGCGACUUAAUUAUAAGUCUUUCAGCUGGAAAACUUGCGAGACGACUUAAUUAUAAGUCUUUGAUUGUUUGAGAUGGUUGUCUUUGAUUGUUUUGCAGACAAAAAAAAUGGAAAUGCCAGAACUCCCCCGUAGGAUAUAUAUAUUAGGGGAAGAGCCCCCAGCAGUGCAUAACAUUUCGUAUCAUACUUGUUGGACGUUGCAUGCUGCUUUAAAGAAAGCUCUUCAUGAUGACGAAUAUGAAGAGCUAAAGGAGUCGAAGUUGGGAGUUUUCAUCAAGUUCCAAGAGCUGGGAUUUGAUCGGGCUUCAAGGCUGGUUCACUACAUGCUCAGUUUCCAGCUGGACAUAAAGAAGAAGUAUGAGCUGUGGAGUCUCGUUGGUCCACAACCUGUGAGGUUUUCACUGUUAGAGUUUGAAAACCUCACUGGUCUAAACUGCGAGUACAUCGAGGUCCUUGAGAGACCUCACUGUGUUGUUACAAAGGAGUUGACUUCUUUUUGGGAGAUGUUGGGAGUUCAUGUCGAAGCUGAGCCAUCUACUCAGGAGAUAAUAGCAACAUUUGAGAGAUGCGAAGGGUGGUCUCGGGAUGAUCGCAAGCGGCUCGCGUACCUUGCCAUCUUCACUGGAUACAUUGAAGGGAGAAAGUAUUCAACCCCUACACGGGUUAGUCCGGCAAGGCUAGUGAUGGAGCUAGAACAGUUUGAGAAUUAUCCAUUGGGGAGAGUCGCGUUUAAAGUGCUGAUGGACUUUGUGAAGGGCAGAGAUAUUUCGGGUUGUUACACUAUUAAUGGGUUUUCACAAGCUCUCCAGGUCUGGGUGUACACAACUCUUCCGGAAUUGGGUGAUACUUAUGGUAAUCCUCUCCCAAACAAUCCGUCUCCCCGAUACUGGCUUACAAGGGUCGCAAAGGACGCAUACAGUUUAAAGAGGCUAUCCUCAGUCAGGUAUUUACUUCAAUCUGGACGACUUCACAGAAGACUUAUAAUUAAGUCGUCUGAUAAGUCUUUCAACUGGACGACUUAGUAGAAGAUUUGUAAUUAAGUCGUCUGGAAAGUCUUCCAGCUGGAAGACUUUCCAGACAACUUAAUUAUAAGUUGUCUACUAAGUCGUCCAACUGGAAGACUUUCCAGAUGACUUAAUUAUAAGUCGUCUGCGAAGUCUUUUCUUUCCAUCUUUCUUACAACUGGAAGACUUUCCAGACGACUUAAUUAUAAGCCGUCUGCGAAGUCUUUUCUUUCCUUCUUUCUUUAUCCGUCAAAUAUCUAAGUUCAUAUCUUCUAUUUACUGCAGACUAGGGUGAUCAACUUUGUUCAGAAGGACAUUGGUCAAAUGUUUCCAAAAUGGGAGCUUGAUGUUGAGGACACGCCCGCGGAAAACAUAAUUGAACUCAUGUUUGUGAAGAAACCGUGGAAGUGGACCAUAGAUUACUGGGAAGUCACCGGUACUUGGGUCAAUACAAAGUCGGCGGUCGUGAGUCCAGCGAAGAAAAAGGUAGUGAAGGAAGACAAUCCAAGACCUCGGAAGAAAGCUCGUAAAGAGGCACCUGCAGAAGCUAGUGAAGAGGCAGCUGCAGAGGCUGGUGAAGAGGCAGCUGCAGAGGCUAGUGAAGAGGUGACUACGACUGUUGGUGGGUUGACCAAAGAGGAUAUUAAAACCAUGUUCAAGGACAUAGCUGAUGCCAUGAGGGAAGGGUUUGAGACGUGUCUUAAGGAGAUCAAGUAUCUGUCGGAAAGGGUGGAAGCUGUGGAGAAGAAGGUUGGUAUCACCACAAAACGGAAAAGGACAUCAUCUCAAAACACUACCUCUCCACCUAAACCGACGCUCAAACCCGGGGUUAGUAACAAAUCCUCUCCCAACAAGAGAUUGACUAGACAAAGUCUUAAGAAUAAGAACUGAAAAGUUGCAUUUGCUUUGUUUCUUGUAUGUCAGAACAUGUGUGCUUUGUUUAUAGUGUAUGGAUUUUAUAUAUGUAUUUUGUUUCAUGUUUGAAGACACUCAUUGGUUAUUAUUGUUUGAAAUGAAUCUUUGGUUAUUAUUGUAUAAACUCAUCUUGUAUAUUGCAGAGUGAAAGUGUUAAUGGGACGAACGCGGGAAGGAAGAGCUUGGCGGAGGAUAAAGGUCCAAACGUGCCCGCAGCUGUGCCCGCAGAUGCUAGUUCCUCGAAAGAUAAAACUCCAGAACCGAGCCUUGUUCUAUUGGACAAAAAUCAACCCACAAUUUCGGAUUUACAGAAGGAGGAUGCUAGAUAUCAGGAAAAGGGGGAUGCUGCUUUCGCACUUUGCCGUGCAAGCUGGACAUAAAGAAGAAGUAUGAGCUGUGGAGUCUCGUUGGUCCACAACCUGUGAGGUUUUCACUAUUAGAGUUUGAAAACCUCACUGGUCUAAACUGCGAGUACAUCAAGGACCUUGAGAGACCUCACUGUGUUGUUACAAAGGAGUUGACUUCUUUUUGGGAGAUGUUGGGAGUUCAUGUCGAAGCUGGGCCUUCUACUCAGGAGAUAAUAGCAGCAUUUGAGAGAUGCGAAGGGUGGUCUCGGGAUGAUCGCAAGCGGCUCGCGUACCUUGCCAUCUUCACUGGAUACAUUGAAGGGAGAAAGUAUUCAACCCCUACACGGGUUAGCUUGGCAAGGCUAGUGAUGGAGCUAGAACGGUUUGAGAAUUAUCCAUUGGGGAGAGUCGCGUUUAAGGUGCUGAUGGACUCUGUGAAGGGCAGAGAUAUUUCGGGUUGUUACACUAUUAAUGGGUUUGUGCAAGCUCUCCAGGUCUGUGUACACAGCUCUUCCGGAAUUGGGUGCUACUUAUGGUAAUCCUCUCCCAAACAAUCCGUCUCCACCGAUACUGGCUUACAAGGGUCGCAAAGGAGGCAUACAGUUUAAAGAGGCUAUCAUCAGUCAGGUAUUUACUUCAAUCUGGACGACUUUGCAGAAGACUUAUAAUUAAGUCGUCUGAUAAGUCUUCCAACUGGACGACUUAGUAGAAGACUUAUAAUUAAGUCGUCUGGAAAGUCUUCCAGCUGGAUGACUUAGUAGAAGACUUAUAAUUAAGUCGUCUGGGAAGACUAUCCAGACUACUUAAUUAUAAGUCUUCUACUAAGUCUUCCAGCAGGAAAACUUUCCAGACGACUUAAUUAUAAGUCGUCUACUAAGUCGUCCAACUGGAAGACUUUCCAGACGACUUAAUUAUAAGUCGUCUACUAAGUCGUCCAACUGGAAGACUUUCCAGACGACUUAAUUAUAAGCCGUCUGCGAAGUCUUUUCUUUCCUUCUUUCUUUAUCCGUCAAAUAUCUAAGUUCAUAUCUUCUAUUUACUGCAGACUAGGGUGAUCAACUUUGUUCAGAAGGACAUUGGUCAAAUGUUUCCAAAAAGGGAGUUUGAUGUUGAGGACAUGCCCGCGGAGAACAUAAUUAAACUCAUGUUUGUGAAGAAACCGUGGAAGUGGACCAUGGAUUGCUGGAAAGUCACCGGUACUUGGGUCAGUACAAAAUCGGCGGUUGUGAGUCCAGCGAAGAAAAAAGUAGUGAAGGAAGACAAUCCAAGACCUCAAAAGAAAGCUCGUAAAGAGGCACCUGCAGAGGCUAGUGAAGAGGCAGCUGCAAAGGCUAGUGAAGAGGUGACUAUGACUGUCGGUGGGUUGACCAAAGAGGAUAUUAAAACCAUGUUCAAGGACAUAGCUGAUGCCAUGAGGGAAGGGUUUGAGACGUGUCUUAAGGAGAUCAAGUAUCUGUCGGAAAUGGUGGAAGCUGUGGAGAAGAAGGUUGGUAUCACCACAAAACGGAAAGGGACAUCAUCUCAAAACACUACCUCUCCACCUAAACCGACGCUCAAACCCGGGGUUAGUAACGAAUCCUCUCCCAACAAGAGAUUGACUAGACAAAGUCUUAAGAAUAAGAACUGAAAAGUUGCAUUUGCUUUGUUUCUUGUAUGUCAGAACAUGUGUGCUUUGUUUAUAGUGUAUGGAUUUUAUAUAUGUAUUUUGUUUCAUGUUUCAAGACACUCAUUGGUUAUUAUUGUUUGAAAUGGAUCUUUGGUUUUUAUUGUAUAAACCCAUCUUGUAUAUUGCAGAGUGAAAGUGUUAAUGGGACGAACGCGAGAAGGAAGAGCUUGGCGGAGGAUAAAGGUCCAGAUGUGCCCUCAGCUGUGCCCGCAGAUGCUAGUUCCUCGAAAGAUAAAACUCCAGAACCGAGCCUUGUUCUAUUGGACAAAAAACAACCCACUGUUUCGGAUUUACAGAAGGAGGAUGCUAGAUAUCAGGAAAAGAGGGAUGCUGCUUUCACACAUUGCCGUGCAAAGAGUGAUCGAACAAGGAAACUUGAUGCCUCACAGCAAUCUCCUUAUACGGCAAACUGCACGGCCAGAGUGAUCAUUCCAAACAAAAAGCUUUAUCCAGGCUAUAAUCCUUUUGCACCAAUUGACAAGAAGAAGUUGAAGGAGCUCGCUGAUUGGUUGAAAACUUUUCCGUAAGUGUUUGCUUUUCCCAUGAUAGCUUGCUUUUCCCAUAAUAGCUUGCUUUAGUCUACAAAAACUGAUUGCUUUUCAACAUUUUGUGUUUGCAGUCAUUAUAGAACACAUCUCGAUAAAAAACCACGAAAAAGUAGAACUUGGUGGUAUCAAAUCCCCCGAACCUCCUUAGAUUGGCUGGAGGACUGUGUAAGUCUUCUGCUAUGACUUAGAUGACUUACUGAUUAGUCUUCUUUGUAGACGACUUUCCAAUAAGUCAUCUGGUAAGUCGUCUACGUACACGACUUACCAGACGACUUAAUUCGUCCAUGAAUUACUUGUAAGUCGUCUACGUAGAAGACUUACCAGUAAGUCGUCUGAUAUCUUCUGAUUUGUACCCUAUUUUAUAUGCAGCAUAUUGAUGCUUGGAUUAAUGUGUUGAGGAAGAGGUACAACGCUAACCAACAUCAUUUCAGGAGCGAGAGAAUGUGCUUCCUUGAUCAUCUCUUUGCUCAGCAAUGGAGAUUCAACUUCAAGGAUUUUAAGGACUCGAAGCCCGAUCAGAACGGUUUAGGAAGAAGACUCCCUGGUGGGGUGGAAUUAUUAUGCAGGCACUAUACCAUCAUUUUGCCAAUCAAACAAGGUUUGGGGGACGAAUAUUGAUGAUAUCUAUGUGCCAGUGAACUAUGCCGACACUCAUUGGAUUGCUAUGUGGAUAUUGAUCCCUAAGAGGCACAUAGUCGUCUUUGACAACAUUUGUUCCAGUAUCUCCCCAGAAGAACUUGAUGUGGUAAUGGAGCAUUUUCUCUACAUGGUCCCUUAUCUGCUUGUUGAGUGCGUUUCCUCAGACGAACUACGUGCCCAAUACAGCCUGGAGCCAUUCACAUAUGAGAGACCGACCAAUAUACCUCCGGCCCGAGCUGGUGAUUGUGGUGUGUACACUCUAAAGUACAUUGAAUGUCAUGCUCUUGGGAUAGAGUUUAGUAAAAAAGACUUUGCUAAGGCCAACGGGAAGACUAUGAGGGAUAAGAUGGCGGUUGAUAUAUUUCAAGAGCUUCCUGAUGCGCAUGAGUUCGAAAACAAGGACAAUGAUGCCAACCUGGGUGUGUAUGAGGGGUGAUAAAUAGGCUACGUUAGAUUAUUUUGUAUGAUAGAUUAGGCUGAUGUGUGUAUUUGAACUUGAUUGCUAUUUUGUAUUUGAACUUGAUCCCUAUUUUGUAACUAUAUUCUGCGCAGAAGACUUACAGUUAAGUCGUCUAGAAUGUUGGACGACUUAACUAUAAGUAGUCUGGAAAAUCUUCUGAGCAGUGACCUUUUGUAACUAUAUUUCGGAUAAUAUAAAGGGCAAGACCAUCUCAAAUUUGUUUGGUAGUGCAAUUUGACAAAGAAGUUGACACAGAUAAGUUCAUAACACAAAAUUUUAAUAUAUAGACUAAACACUGGACGACUAACUGGAUGACCUUCUGGACGACUUAAUUGAAGGUCUUCGGGAAGACUAAACACUAGACGACUAACUUGAAGGUCUUCUGGAAGAAAAAACCCUGGACGACUAACUGGACGACCUUCUGGACGACUUAAUUGAAGGUCUUCUGGAAGACUAAACACUGGACGAAUAACUUGAAGGUCUUCUGGAAGAAAAAACCCUGGACGACUAACUAGACGACCUUCUGGACGACUUAAUUGAAGGUCUUCUGGAAGACUAAACACUGGACGACUUACUUGAAGGUCUUCUGGAAGAAAAAACCCUGAACGACUAACUGGAUGACCUUCUGGACGACUUAAUUGAAGGUCUUCUGGAAGACUAAACACUGGACGACUUACAUUGUGGUUUCGUAUGGCCAGUUCCUUGCAUUUUGAGCAUCUAUAAACCCUGUGUUGCUUCCGGGGUUUGCGUCCUCUCAUCCUGGAUAGCUCCAACCAAGAUUGCCAUCUUGAUUUCUUCUGUCUUCCCAGACCACGCUUUACAUCCGGAGGAAAGCAUGUGCGUUCCUCAACUUGUUGUCCAACACAAGCAUAUAUAUUCUCUGAGUAUCCUGCAAACAGAAAAUCCUUUGAGUACACUGGACAUACAAGUGUGGAGAUAUGCAAACCAGCAGAUGUUCCAGCAGCUAUAGCAUGAGAGCAAGGUAUUUUUUCCACUGCAUAGACACCACAAUCACACUUUCCAUGUUCCAAAUCAACCACACAGUCCAUUUUGCCACUUUUCACAAAGAAUCACCAUCCAUCAAUUGGUUGUACCGUCAUCAUAUCCGCUAUCUCCGAUCGAACAACAAGCAAGUAUUCAACACCUCGACUAUGUUGAGUUGGGAGACUCAAAGCAUCUUCUCUCCUUUUCCAAAACCACUUUCCUAGCUUCUCCCUUAUGAACUCCAACAGGAACUGAACCGGAAAUCCUUUAGCUCGCUUCAGAGCAGAAUUAAUAGAUUCAACGAUGUUGCUUGUCUUUAUGUUGUACCUGUCCCCCUGACAAUAAACCCUUGACCAUAGGCUGACGUCGGCACUCUCCAAAUACGUUGCAAGGUCCGGGUUUGCACUCCGUAUCUCAGCCAUGUACCGGUCAAAAUCUGAAACCGUAUGAGCAUAAGCAACACCUUUCACCAAGUACAAGAGAUGUUUCCCUUUAUACUUUUUGACAAUGUUCUCUUGAAGGUGAUAAUAACAUAUUCCUCGGGUUGCCCAAGGAAACACCUUAUCACACGCACUUUUAAUGGCCGCGUGCCGGUUGGAGACUAUCACCAGAGGCUGCUCAUCAGAUACACAACAAGCCAAUUUUGUGAAAAAUCAUUCCCAAGAAGGUUCAUCUUCAGCAUCUAUGAUCCCAAAAGCCAAUGGAAAUAUCUGAAAAUUCUCAUCUUGUACGGCUGCAACCAACAUAACACCUCCAUACUUCCCACUUAGGUGAGUCCCAUCCACCACAAUGACCAUUCUUUGAUACUUAAAACCUUUGAUAGAAGCUCUAAAAGAGAAAUAUAUACUUAAAUCUAUUGAUAGGAUCAAGUUCUAUAGCCGUGAUAGAAUCGGGAUUUGCUAAGGAGAUUAGCUCGAGAUAUGAUGGCAGACGCGAAUACCCAUCUUCUGCUGAUCCUCUCACCAAUGUUUGUGCAUAUAAAAGUGCUCUGUAUGAAGUGGUGUAAUCACGCGUCAUGCCAAACAUGUUCUUCAUUGCAUCAGUGAUAUGCUGCGGAUUCAACCCAUCAAUGAUUCCAACACGAUCAAUGAAAAGCCUACCAACAUACUUCAGAGUACAGUGUCUCCGCUGAGCGAAUCGGUCUCCCACUGAGCAUGUAUGUUUUUCCACAUACUUUGUUACCCAAAACGUGUUUGUCCCAUGUUUCACACUCGCUCUGACUUUCCACUGACAACCACUAACCGGACAUGUUGUCACAAGGAGAGUUUUCGUUGACUUGUAUAUUCUGAAGGAGAACCCAAACCUCACUGCUGUCAACCGCAGCUCUGAAAUCAGUGCAUCCUUGCUAACAAAACUCUAAUUGACAUAGAUAGUGUUACCAUUCGAUCUUCCUCCUUCAAUCUUUUUGAUAUCUUCAAAACACAUAUCAUCAUCUUCCUCAUCCUCAUCUUCAACCUUUCCAUAAACACUGUAAUCCUAACCAUUCUCGUCCGUUUCAGCAACAAUAGAGAUACCAACAUCCUCCUCCCCAUCGUCCUCCUCCCCAUCAUCCUCCUCCCCAUCAUGAUUUUCAUCUUCAACCAAAUCAUCAUCAUCAUCAUCAUCAUCUUCAAAACAUUCAUCAGCUUCAUCAUCUUCUUCCCUGAACUAUGAAACCGUUUCCACCUUGCUACGGCUUGAUACACAAAGCUGUACUCCAUGUGUUUUGGUUAUCUCGAGCAAGUUUCGAACUUUUCUAUCACUUGUAACAUGAAUAGGAGGGGUGUCUGGAGCCUGCAUCAUUUCUGCUGAUAAUGAGUAGUAGGUUAUCUCCACAGAUUCUGUGCUCAUGUCCAGGUUAUAAUCUUCUUGAGCCAUUGCAAGAAGUUCAACAUGUGUCGACAUGCUCCUUCCCCAAAAAAAAUGAUUCUCGCUCCUUUGACAUUAUCAACCACAAAAUUCCAACGGCAGUCUUUCAACAACCAUUCUCCAUACACUGCAUGUAACUGACGCAUCAUCUACAAAAAUUAAAAAUAAAACACAUUAGUAAACAUAGAGAAAAUGAAAGUUUACUAAACAUUGACGCAGACGACAUACCAGUAAGUCGUCUGGAAGACUUACCAGUAAGUCGUCCAAACAGGUCAUUUUUGAAAUUGAAUUUUAAAUAGGACGAUUUACAAGUAAGUCGUCCAGUUUUGUUUGUUAAAAAAAACCCCUAUUUUAUUAAACGGGUUAGUUUUGCAUUUGACUGAAUUGUGUCAGAUAUUUGACUUUUUCUGGACGACUUACCAGUAAGUCGUCUCCGGGAAAACAAAAAUUUCAAUAUUUUAUUAAAGCUAGACAACUUAUUUGUAAGUCUUCUCAGGUUAGUUUGCAAUUCGAAAAAGAAACUUAAAUAUUUUAGUUUACCCAGACGACUUACUUGAAAGUCGUCCAGGCAGACAACGUACGAGAAAGUCGUCCGAGAUAAGCAAGGUUUGACCAUAAUCUAGGAAAUAAAUCUGGACGACUUUGCUUAUCCUGGACGACUUUCAAGUAAGUCGUCUUACUUGACGACUUCCGCAUAAGUCGUCUGGGAAAAGUUAAAUAUUUAAGUUUUAUUUUCCAAUUGCAAAAGUAACUUGAGACGACUUACAGAUAACUCGUCCAUCUUUUAUAAAAUAUUGAAAAUUUUGUUUUCUCGGAGACGACUUACUGGUAAGUCGUCCAGGAAAAAUCAAAUAUCUGACACAAUUCGGUCAAAUGCAAAACUAACUCGUUUAUCCUAGACGACUUAUCAGUAAGUCGUCUAGGGUAUUGUCUAGGAUUUUUUUUAACAAACAAAGAUCACGACUAAAAAUUAAGUCGUCCGUUUGACCAGAAGACUUACCCGUAAGUCUUCUACAGCCAGACUACUUACGGGUAAGUCCUCUACACAAACAGAUCUAGAAAGAAUUUCAAUUUCAUACCUUAAACUAGUGAGAUGACUUCCUUAUCACACAGAGUCUUCUCCAACCACCCAGAAUCUCAAACGAAAGUAACCCACCAAGAAUAGUAUGCUUGAAUGACUUUAUCAACCAUAAAAAAAAUUUGAAUCAAAAGCUUGAGUUUUUUGGAUGAAUAUGGAAGCAAAGUGAAAGAGAUGUUAUUUUUAGUUCAUAACAAGUGAGAAAGAGAGAGUGUAAAUCGAUUUUAGGUGCAUUAAGAACUUGAAAUUGGUUGUUCAUGGUGGUUGGGGUAUUGAUGACAAUGACAAUCUUGUAAUUACUUGAAAAUGAUGAGGGUGAGAGAGUAAAAAUGUCAUUUUCGGAAAAAAUAAAUAAAAAAAUUUGAUGGGGUGAAUAGGACAAAAAAAAUCUAAGAAAAGCAUGAGUUAGUUUUAGGUUUGACUUUAAGUUUUGAGUCAAUUUGAAAAAAAAACCCUACUUUUAUUUGGUUCGGUCGUGUGGACAAUUAUUUUUUGAAAAUUCAUUUAAUUAUUAGUGUAGGGGACCAAUAUGUGUGGAAACUUGACUAUUCGACACAAAGAUAUUGCUUUUGAUGUGAUGAAUAUUUGAUUUUUCACCAUGGAUUUUUCUCCGUGGAUUUUUCUUUGUGGAAUAAAUACACAGUCUGUUAUUAUGUAUAUAAACAGAUGGACAUGGAAGCAAUGUUACUCAUCACCAAUUUUCUUUUUGUUAUUGCUCUUUCAAUUUUGAUAUUCAGGAAUGAAAGGUUUUCGGAGCUUAACGAGUACCAGUUUUCUUACUCUUUUUAUACUUUUCUUAUUCGGUUACAAUUCUGAGGUAGCGUCUACGGUUCCUACUAGACACUUGUGUCGUCCGGAACAAAGGAAUGCACUUCUCCAGUUGAAGAACGAGUUUGAGGUUUUGAACUCUUCCUUGACUUAUAAUUGUAUUAUCAAUGAUGAAAUAGUAGACCCUCAUCCAAAGACGGAGUCAUGGGGGAAUUACAGCGAUUGCUGUACUUGGGAGGGUAUCACCUGCAAUGCCAAGUCUGGUGAAGUGAUCGAGCUGAACCUUGGUUGCAGCAACCUACGUGGCCAGUUUCAUUCCAAUAGCAGUCUUCAAAACCUUCAUUCUCUAACCACUCUAGUCCUUUCAGGAAAUCUUUUUAAUGGUCAAAUCAUGUCUUCAAUUGGAAACAUUUCUCAUCUCACCUCUCUGGACCUUUCUCAAAAUAAUUUCAGCGAGUUCAAUCCUUCUUCAAUAGUAGACCUUUCUUAUCUCACUUUUCUAGAUCUUUCUCGUAAUCGUUUUUCGGGUCAGAUUCCAUCUUCCAUUAGGAAUCUCUCUCCUCUCACCUAUCUUGACAUUUCUGGUAAUCAAAUUUCGGGUCAGAUUCCAUCUUGGAUUGGAAACCUUUAUAAGCUCACUCAUCUUGACCUUUCUUUGAACAAUCUUGUUGGUGAAAUCCCACCUUCUAUUGGUAAUCUAAACCAGCUGACCACCUUAAGUGUUUAUCGGAAUAAGCUAAAUGGAAGCUUGCCCAAUGCACUACUGAAUUUGACAGAGUUGUCAAAUUUAGAACUCAACUUCAAUCACUUCACAGGCACAUUUCUUCCUAACGUCACUUCACUAUCCAAAUUGACGCAUUUGGAAGCAGCUACCAACAUGUUCACUGGAACCCUGCCUUCAUCUCUCUUCACCCUUCCUUCUAUUGAUACUGUUAUUCUGUCUGAUAACCAAUUCAAUGGUAUUCUUGAGCUUGGGAAUAUAUCUUUACCCUCUAAGCUACGAGUGUUAGAUGUUGGCAACAACAACUUGAGAGGGCCAAUCCCGGCCACGUUAUCCAAAUUUACCAACCUUGACCGACUUGUCCUUUCUUAUUACAAGACACAAGGUCCAGUUGAUUUUAGUAUCUUUUCGCAUCUCAAAAAGAUGGAAGAUCUUGACAUAUCCUAUUUGAACACGACCACCACGAUUGAAUUGAAUGAUUUCUUGUCACAUUUCAAGAGGCUCCGUUGGGUGGUUCUCUCAGGCAACCAUGUUUCUGUCACAGAUAAGAGUCCAGUUUCAGAUCCCCCUUUGCGAUUGAUGUAUAAGUUGUACUUGUCAGGCUGCGGUAUCACCGAGUUUCCUAAGUUUGCAACAGCGGAAAAUAUGUCGAGUCUAGACAUUUCCAAAAAUAAAAUCAAAGGAAAAGUGCCGGGCUGGUUAUGGACGACGCUACCGAAUCUGGAUUAUCUAAAUCUUUCCAACAACUCUUUCACCGGCUUCGAAAACUCAACGAAACAUGGGCUAUCUAUGACAAACUUCUUAGCAUCCAACAACAAUUUCAGUGGAAAUAUUCCAUCUUUCAUAUGCGAUUGGCGCGGUCUUGCCACUCUUGAUUUAUCGAACAACAACUUUAAUGGUUCAAUCCCUCGUUGUAUGGGAAAUCUCAAGAGUUCUCUUUUAGAUCUAAACCUUCGUCAAAAUCGUCUUAACGGAGGUCUUCCUGAGAAUAUAUAUGAAAGCUUAAGAACGCUUGACAUCGGUCAUAACCAACUGACGGGAAAGCUUCCAAGAUCAUUGAUCCGUUUCUCUAGUCUUGAAGUUCUGAACGUGGAAAGCAACAUUAUCAAUGACGUGUUCCCGUCUUGGUUGAGUUCUCUACCGGAGCUUAGAGUUCUUUUAUUAAGCUCAAAUGCCUUCCAUGGACCAAUACCUCAAACUUCGUUCCCUAAGUUACAAAUCAUAGACAUAUCGCACAAUCACUUCAAUGGAGCUUUGCCAUCAGACUACUUUGUUAAGUGGAGUGCUAUGUCAUCACUUGUGACAGAUUAUGAUCUGGACCAAAAGUACAUGAGAGAUUUCUAUUACUAUAAUUCAAUAGUUUUGAUGAAUAAAGGCUUCGAGUUGGAGCUACAACGUAUCUCACAAGUCUUCGCAGCACUCGACUUUUCAGGAAACAAAUUUGAAGGAGAGAUCCCAAGGUCCAUCGGUCUAUUGAAAGAGCUUCAUGUUCUCAACUUGUCCAACAAUGCUUUCACCGGCCAUAUCCCAUCGUCUCUGGGAAACCUGACGGCUCUUGAGUCACUGGACGUUUCCCAAAACCAGCUGUCAGGAGAAAUUCCGCAAGAGCUAGGGGAACUCUCGUUUCUUUCCUACAUGAACUUCUCUCAUAACCAGCUUGCAGGUCUAGUACCUGGAGGCACUCAGUUUCGAAGGCUGAAUUGCAGUUCGUUCGAGGAUAACAUGGGACUUUUUGGCCCUUCUCUAGACGAAAUUUGCAGAGAUAUUCACACGUCAACAGUGACGCAACAGUAUGAAAUGCCGGAAUCAGAGGAUGUAGAAGAGAUGUUGAGUUGGACAGCAGCUUUAAUAGGAGUCUUACCUGGUAUUGCCUUUGGAUGGGUUAUUGGAUACAUACUUGUUCCUUACAAACCAGAGUGGUUCAUGAAACUCUUUUUUCUACGUAGACGCAGACACCACAACUCAUUAAAGAGGUAAUGUUCCGAGUUUUGAACCAAUUUGUUAACAAACAUUUGAAAAAAACAAAAAUAUAUUAGUUAAAAACCUUUUUGUUGUACAGGUUUUUCGUAACAUACGUGAAGAAUCUGAAAGAAGAAAUUUAAAGCAACCACUAUGUAUGAAUCCAGAUUAGCUAGCAUUAGGGGUAUCGUUUCCGGUUUAGUUUGGUGUGUUUUCCCAUUACUCCUUUAUAUAACUUUGUUUGAAAGAUUGUUUGUUUCUCUGUUAUUGUUUCCGGUAUAGUUUGGUGUGUUUUCUCUCUCUGCCUCUCUAUUUUAUUUUUUACUUUUAGCCAACUUCUUUGUGUCUCUGUAAUUGAACAACUAUGUUCCUUACGUCAUCUAAAUAUCAACGGUAUAGACGUGAUCAGAGCAACAAACAUAUGACCAAGAUCAACGCUAUAAGCAGCACGUGACUUUGGAAAAAGGAUAUACAAACUUUUUUUUGGUUAGAGGAUAUACAUACUAUAUAUGGAUAUUUCGAUUGUUCAUGUCAAUGAAACAUAUGAAUACAUAGAAACUCUAGACCUUUCAAAUAUUUGUAUCAAAAGAAUCCAUUUGCUAUCAAAAGGUUCAAGAUAUCGAGAAUCUUUGGAUUAGUUAAGUUGUUAUUAGAGCAUCUCCAAUAUAAAACGCCAUUUUUUCCUCCAAAAUGGGUACCCAUUUUAAGAUUGUUAGGCUUUUUGAAAGUUUUUUUGACAAAACAAAACAAAAGGAAAACAAGUUUUGCAUUGAAGUCAUGCCAAAGAAGUUGCAUGAAUUUUUUUUUUUUUUGAUAACCGAGUGUCCUGGUCCCACCGUGGUGGUCCAGACUAGAGACCGAGUCCGUAGCAGGUUCAACACCCAGACAAUGGUCUUCGGUCUCGGGCGCCAGAGCAAGUCCGCAUGUGAAUUCCCUGGUGGCCAGUGGAAAUCGAACCCGGGUCCGUAUUGGGACCGAAGCUCCCUCAAGACCACUAGGCUAACCCCGCUGGUCAAGUUGCAUGAAUUAAAUCUAGCAAAAACUAGCAGUGAUAAUCAUUGAUCUAGGUUCUUACCUUUAGAUAAAAUUACUGGUUAUAACAAAAAGAAAAGCUCAAAUCUGAUGCCUAUCACACCCUUCACCAAGAACAAACGAGGAAUCUGGGUGGAAAAAUAAACUUACAAGAAUAACAAAGAGAUCACAAUCUUUAUGCUUAUUGUGACCACUGUUAAUAAAAGGAAAAUGACAAAGCUUCUCCUAGAAUUUAACACAACAAAGGAUUCCAUGCGAUUGCUGGAAAAAUCUUGUCGGAUAAAAACAUGACGAUUAUUUACAUGGUUUCUCUGUCCAAAAAAAUAUAAACAGAACUAAAUCUAUAAAAUAUCUUUCAAAUCAUUUAGCAUCACUCUGAAACACUAUGCAGCCUAAAAUUGUACUGUUUUUUCUAUACACCUAAUUUUCAUGUCUUUCAUUGGUUUUGAGCUAAUUCACCCAAAGAGAGAACUUACUUUGAUCUGACAUUACAAAAAGAUAUGAGUACAUGAAGUAAGAUCUAACCAAAUCUUUUUACAUGAUUUUGCCUAUCAAAAACGUAGAGUUAAUUUUGGAGGAAUAGGAGCAGGAGAGUCGCAAUUAAUUAUGCACAGUCUAUUGGUACGUAGUUAAUUAUGAGAAAGUUCUUUGGUAGGAACACUAAUUUCUCAUUAAAAUUUGGGUUUAACGAUCAUCUUCCAAUUUAUAACAAAAUUCCUCUUGGAUCAACCUAUAUUUUAAUUUCCUUGAUUGUCUUUUUAAAGUCUUGCUUCCCUUUUGUUUAAUGUCCACAAUCAACAAAAAGAGACAUCCAACUGAUUGGUUAUUUAAGUCUCUCUCUGGUACGUUAUCCUUUGAAUUUUCAACAUUAUACUUUGCAUUUUCUCUCCUUAUUUCCCCUCAAGGACCCCAUAACUUUCUCCAAACUCCAUAAAGUAUUUGGAGCCCGCAACGUCAGUAAGCUUCUCAGUGAGGUCCUUGAAGAACAGAGACAAGAAACCGAUAACUCGUUUGUCUUAUGAGACUGACGUUCGUCUCAAGGAUCCAGUUUACGGUUGCAUUGUAGCCAAUAGCUUCUCUGCAGAAGAAGAUGCUUGAGCUUGAACAUGAUAUAGCCCUUGCUCGCUCUCGACUACUUGGCCAUUCUGGAGUUAACAACAACAAAGCUGCAGUCUACUCUGAUGCCGUUCUCUGAGUUUUGAUCACGAGGAGAAGGGAGAUGCAUUGUAUGGUGAAUUUAAUUCAAGCUCAGGCAGCUAUGCUCGUAGCAAGCUUUUCGUGCAAGCUAUGAAUUGAAGCAUGUAAUUUCCAUGUCCUGGAGUCUUCACUUGAAAACAAUGAUAUUUUUUCUCAUAUAUGCUAUGGUUUUUUAUCUAUGCGUACGUGCUACGGAAGCGAAUAAUGACGUCAUCUUAUUUUCAUAUGCUAUAUUUAUUUUUAUUUUAAUUUCCAUGUGCUGGAGGGAGAGCUUCUUCGCGCCUAUUUCUCACGAAGAACGCUCCUCACCUCAUUCCCUCUCUCCCUCAUCAUGCCCAAAUCCAACGACGGCGGCGCAGAUUCCGAGUCCGAGUCCGAGUCCGUCCCGCUGCUCGAUCUAUCGAAACCGUCAUCACCGAUCUCCUUCCCGAUCAAAUCUCUCCAAUAUUUAAAAUCACGUUCGUACUUCGACUCUUUCCACUUUCAGUUCAAUCGCUCCACAGUCCCUCUCCGGCGAGACUUACCUGAUCGGCCAAGGGUUUUAGUCUGCCACGAUAUGAAAGGAGGGUACGUAGACGACAAGUGGAUCCAAGGGUGUGAAAACGACGCCGGGUUUGCUAUUUGGCAUUGGUUUUUGAUGGAUGUGUUUGUUUACUUCUCUCACUCUCUGGUGACGAUUCCUCCUCCUUGCUGGACCAAUACAGCUCACAGGCAUGGCGUUAAGGUGAAGAUUAGGCAUUCUUGUGGAUACAUUAGUUUAUUAGGAUGUGUAGAUAUGAAUUGGGGUUAAGUAUUUACUUUCUUGUGUAUCUAUGGAAAUGUUAAAAAGGUGUUGGGGACUUUCAUCACGGAAUGGGAUGAAGGAAAAGCUACCUGCAAUGAGAUGCUUGCCACUAAGGAGUCUGCUCAGAUGUAUGCUGAGCGUUUGGCUGAGCUUGCUACUUCUCUAGGUUUCGAUGGAUGGCUGGUGAGUUUUGUCUUUUGGUAGAUACUUCUUGAUUCUUCUGUUCAUCUGCGUUUGAAGUGUAAGCUCUUACCUGCAGAUAAAUAUAGAGAACGAAAUAGAUAAAGAACAGGUUCCUAAUUUGAUGGAGUUCGUCAGCCAUCUAACAAAAGUCUUGCAUUUAUCCACUCCUGGGUCUUUGGUUAUAUGGUAAGUUGUGCACAAGUUCUUUCUUUUGGUAAAACCACUUUGAAUCUGAUCACUUCUUUUUGCAGGUACGAUAGUGUCACUGCUCAUGGCCAUCUUAAAUGGCAAGAUCAUUUGAAUGAAAAGAACAAACCUUUCUUUGACUUGUGUGAUGGUAUCUUCAUGAACUAUACAUGGAAGGUACCGUUCAAUUUCUUCAGUUUGUGUUUCUUCUAUAUGCAUUUGCCUGGUAUUUGAGUGGGUGAUGGUAUUUCAGGAGAGCUACCCAAAAUUAUCAGCUGAAGUUGCCGGGGACAGAAAAUAUGAUGUUUACAUGGGAAUUGAUGUCUUCGGUCGCGGCUCCUUUGGUGGUGGUCAAUGGACUGUAUGUUUUCAGAAACUCUUGUGAAAACCAACCAAUAAUUUUUCAUAUUAUUCUUCUUCAUUGUCUCAUUAAUAUCUAUAUAUAUGCUAGGUUGAUACUGCUCUUGAUUUGCUGAAGAGAAACAAUGUAUCAGCGGCCAUCUUCGCUCCUGGAUGGGUAUAUGAGACUGCACAACCACCUAAUUUCCACACAGCUCAGAAUAAGUAAUACUCUUCUUUUGCCUGUUUGAUUGUCAAAGAAAUUUUGCCAUUUUCUUUGUCAUCUUAUUAUCGUUCAUGCUUUUUUUCUUCAGGUGGUGGUCACUUGUUGAGAAGUCAUGGGGAAUAGUCCAAACAUAUCCACAAGUGUUGCCAUUUUACUCGGAUUUCAAUCAGGUCAAGUGAGAUUGAUUUCAACUUUCUUCCCAUCUUGUUAGAAUAACACCAGGGUAAAGUAUGCAUCGACUGUCUUGCCUAUGAUUUAUGUUCUGAAAAACUCUGUUCUUGCUUAUCCAGGGCUUUGGUAACCAUGUAUCACUCGAGGGUCGCCAGUUAUCUGAUGCUCCAUGGUACAACAUUUCUUGCCAGAGUCUUCAGGUUCAACCAUCUUUAUUGUCCACUCUUUAACUCCACAUAUAAUAUUUACACGAACCAAAAACUUAUUUUCUUGAUCUGGGUUUGUCUCUCCUCUCAUCUGAUUGUUGUGUUAUUCACGUCAGCCACUCCUCGAGUUCAAGGAAGACAACACUGAUAUCAUUCAGGUCACUAUUGAGUGAGUUCUGGCCCCUGAUACUAAAAAAAAUGUUUUUAACUUCUUGUUGAUUUAGAUACAUUUGUUUGCAAACGGAUAACGGUGAGCACAUGACUUUGUUUAGUACUAGAGAUGCAUCUUAUAACGGAGGAGGGAACAUCGUUUUUAAAGGAAGACUCGAGGGAGAUGUGUAUUUCACAGCAAGGCUCUUUAAACCUCUCCUUCAUCUUUCUUCUUCCCCCAUCACAGUCUCCUACUCUGUAAGUCCCUUGCUUUUAGAUACAUCACAUUAUGAGAUGAUCUUGUUUCUCUUCCUAAUGGAUGAUUUUGGAUUUGGUGCAGGUGAAAUCAGAUGAGACUUUUAAACUUGGACUCCUGCUUUCUUUCUCGUCCGCAUCACACGGGACUAAAUCCAUACUUGUGGCGCCACAAGAACCCAUCCCUAGAUUAGAUCACAUGUUCUUGAAGUGCCUCGUUACAUCAGAGCAGACUGUAUCAGAGUGGACGGUACACGAGACAAGCCUUGUCAUGGAUGAACACACACUAACUGAAAUCUCUUUCUUUUGCUACAGAACAGAGAACUCGACGAAGGCAUCAGAGUACGUUGCAUUGCUCGGUCACAUUUCAAUCAAAGAUCAUGUUCAGCUCCUCCAGCAAAACUUCGUUUCCUUACCUCCAGCAUCAUCAUGGGUCAUCGAGGCUCAUAACAUAGAGCUCAUGGUAGAUUCGGACGUGAAAGGGGUCAGCUUCGUGGUGCAACCGUGUGGUGAAGAUGGGUUAUGGAGAAAGCUUGAUGAUUCCCCUAACCUUCUUGUGGACUUGGAGGGUCUCUCGUAGGUUGCUGGAAACAAUGAAACGAUUCAUAAUGUAUAUUACAAAAUUACAUUAAUCUAGAAAGUGGGGAAAACAUGAUAAAAAAAACCUGAACUGAUAACAGAUCAUCAUCGUACAACUUCUUAAAAAUAUAAUUAAUGUACAUUAAUUUCCUUGUAUUUUAUAAUUAUAAAGAGAUCUUUUCCUUGUGCUAUACCGCAUACAAAUUUUUGUGCUAUACGGUAUUAUCUUCGUUUUGUUGUUAUGCCGUAUAUCACAAGCAUUUGAAAAGAUUUUAGGUGUCCAUCAAAGAUUGUCCCCUUGAGGAACUUAACUAUUCUAAACACAGAGCCAAAUCUGGGUUCUGCAAUGCUGGCACAAGUUCAGUGUUCAACGAACUAAGCCAUUAAUACAGUGUUCAAUCAACCUGCCUUUUAACUGAAAAUUCGAGUAGGCUUGAGCAGCAAUUCAUCGCCUGUAUGCUAAAGAGAUGUGAUGAUGAUAGAGAUAUUGAUACUGCGGUGAUUGCUUGCGGAUCUCUCAUUUGAUUUGCCACUGAGAUGGUUAAGAGAGAGGGAGACCACGUGCAUGCAUGUGUUUGCAUGCACGGGGAAUAUGGCAAAGCUAUCAGAGAAUUGAGUUCAUAAACUUGACUGCUCCAAAGUUAUUGGAGACGUUUAGAACAUCAGUUGGUGCUGGGAUCGUCUUACCAACUAGUCUCUUCCUAGUCGUCUCUUUUCUGUAUAUUUUAUUGGAUGAAAAGUGAGAUGAUUAUCAACAAAACUUGUUAUUAAGGUGGUGAGAAGUAACAGAUGUGUGAUUCACCAAUUUGAUUACAUCCACAGACAAAAAAAGACUUUAUUAUUGGAGACGACUUUCAGAAUUAAAUUAGAGUUAUAAGAACACAAGAUAUUUAUAGAACAUCUCUAAUCUUCAAAAAAAAAUCUUAGUGUACAUCAGACUCAUGGGUUUAGGUCUCAUAAUCGAUACAAUUUCCAAUGAUGUAAUGCAUUUAAUGCAUAUCAACAAAACCAUUGUUUAAUGGAGAUUCGCAAGAAGAAGUCUCCUGACAUCACCUUCCUGAUGGAAUCAAAAAACACAGAGGAAACAAUUAGAAAAGAACUCCACUGGCUGAAAGAAGAAAACAACUUCAUAGUUCCCCCACAUCUGGAGGUGGAGGCUUGAUUCUCAGUUGGAAGAAAGAUGUAGAUUUAACAGUCCUAUCAUCCUCCCAAAACUACAUAGACACGAGGAUCAUCUCAAAGGGAAAAUCAUUCCUAGCUACCUUUGUUUAUGGUGAACCAGACCACACAAAGAGAAAUGCAUUUUGGUCUACUCUAUCCUCUCUACACCCAAAACCGAAAGGCCCAUGGUUCCUAACUGGAGACUUCAACGAACUAAUCGACAAUACUGAGAAGAAAGGAGGCCCAAUAAGAGCGGAAGGUACCUUUUUGGAGCUUUUCGAACCUUCCUCUCAGAGAAUGAUCUGUUUGAUCUUAAACACUCUUGUAAUCUCUUCUCAUGGAGAGGUAAAAGAGGAGAUCACCUAGUGCGAUGCCGCCUUGACAGAUCCCUCAGCAACCCUGAAUGGACAGAGCUCUUCCCUUCUUGCCGUUGCCAAUACCUCAAGUUUGAAGCUUCUGAUCAUCGUCCAAUCCUCUCCUACCUAGACACCACCAAGAAGAAAGGUCGCAAUCUAUUUCGCUAUGACAGACGACUCAAAGAUUGUAAAGAGAUAAAAGCACUAGUAACAGAGAUUUGGACAACCUGUGCAUAUCUUGGGGUAGAAGCAAGACUGGCUCUAUGUAGAAGAGCAAUCUACAAGUGGUGUAAGCUGUUCCAUGAGAACAGCAGAAAAACAAUUGAGAAUCUCAGAGAGGAUCUAGAAUUUCAGAUGACAAGUGAGACUCCUAAUGGUGACAGGAUUAUAGAGAUAAAUAAGGGCUUCUUAAAAGCAUAUCAAUCCGAAGAAGCCUAUUGGAAACAAAGGAGUCGCCAACUCUGACUAACCUUAGGAGAUUCAAAUUCAGGGUAUUUUCAUGCCGUCACAAAAGCUAGAAAAGCAAAAAACAGAGUAACUGUCCUAGAGAAAGAUGAUGGAAUACCUCUUUUCGAAGAAGAUCAAAUUUCGGCUCGGUCUGCUCUUAUUACAACAAGAUGUUCACAGCAAAUCCCAGAGACGAUAAUGAGGACACAAUCUUCCGUGCUCUCAAACCUUGCGUGGCGCCAUAGUGGAAUGAAUCUCUCACCAGACACCCGUCCCCAGCAGAAAUUAAAGAUGCUCUCUUUGCAAUCCACGCAGACAAAGCACCUGGCCCAGACGACUUCUUCGCGAGCUUCUUCCACUUUAACUGGGACGUAAUUGGCCCCUCCAUUAUAGAAGAGAUCCAACGCUUCUUCUCCACAGGAAUUAUGCCCCCUAGUUUAAAUGAGACUCAUGUCAGACUUAUUCCUAAGAUCCAAACUGCAAAGAGAGUAGAAGAGUACAUACCUAUCGCCUUGUGUAACGUAUACUAUAAAGUGAUCUCCAAACUUCUCUUCCUGCACCUGAAACCAGUCCUUAAAGAGAUCAUCUCAGAGAACCAAUCUGCUUUUAUCCCUGGAAGAGCAAUAACAGACAACGUGUUAAUUACUCAUGAAGUGCUGCAGUAUCUGAAAACCUCACAAGCACAAAAACAAUGCUCAAUGGCGGUUAAAAUGGACAUGUCUAAAGCCUAUGACCGUGUUGAAUGGGAUUUCGUUGCACAAGUAAUGUCAAGACUAGGUUUUAGCAACAAGUGGACCAAUUGGGUAAUGCAAUGUAUCACAACAGUUUCCUACUCGUUCCUAAUAAAUGAUUCAGUCUACGGGAAAGUGCAACCUCACCGUGGCAUUAGGCAAGGAGACCCGAUCUCGCCCUAUCUGUUCAUCCUGUGUGGUGAAAUUCUUUCAGGCCUUUACAGAACAGCAGAGCUUCACGGAUCUAUGAGAGGAAUUCGCGUGGCCAGAGGUAGUCCCCACGUCAAUCAUCUUCUCUUCGCAGAUGAUACUAUGAUGUUCUGCAAUUUAUCAUCUGAAAGCUGCCUCUCUCUGCUCCAAAUCCUACAAGAAUACGAGAAAGUUUCAGGUCAAAAGGUCAAUAUAUCCAAAUCCUCUAUUACUUUCUCUGUCAAAACCCCACAAGAGGUUAAGAACUCAGCAAAACUCAUCUUGGGCAUUGAGAAAGAAGGAGGAGUGGGAAAAUAUUUAGGGCUUCCAGAACAUUUUGGAAGGAGGAAGAGGAACUUGUUUACCUCUAUAGUAGAUAGGAUCAGGCAGAGAGCCUCCAACUGGUCGACUCGAUUCCUAUCUCGAGCUGGCAAGCUCACUAUGCUCAAGCCUGUCCUGACUGCAAUACCCACCUACACCAUGUCAUGCUUCCAACUCCAGUAAGCCUCUGCAAUAGAAUCAAAUCUACACUUACUCGGUUCUGGUGGGAUCAUUCAGCAGAAAAGAAAAGCAUGUGUUGGGUGGCCCUGGACAAAUUAACCAAGCCAAAAGCCUCAGGGGGUUUAGGACCGAGAGAUAUUCAAUUAUUCAACCAAGCACUUUUGGGAAAAGUUGCCUGGAGAAUAUUAACCUCCCCCAACUGUUUACUUGCACGUGUUCUUACCGGGAAAUACUGCCAUAAGAAGAGCUUCCUAGACGCCCAACUCCCAGCAGUGUGUUCACAUGGUUGGAGGAGCAUCCUACAUGGCAGGGACCUACUCAAGGAGAACCUGAGAAAAGCAAUCGGCAACGGUCAGAAUACAAAAGUCUGGAAAGACACAUGGAUAUCAUUGGACAACAGUUCUAAGCCUAUGGGUCCAAUUCAUGAAUCUGCUCUCGAUAUGAGAGUCUCAGAUCUUCCCACUGAUGACUUACAAUGGAAAAAGGCGAGAAUUGAGCAAUACUUACCAGAUUUCAGCUCGCAGAUCCAAUGUAUAAAGCCAAGCAAGGUAGGGGCAGAGGACAUUUAUGUCUGACUCCCUCUUCAAACAUGAAUUUACUCAACCAAGUCUGGCUAUAACUCGCAUGCUCAACAAACUGUACCGUCGAAUCUCCACCUUCUAGCUAACCCCUCCUCACAGAAUGACCUGGAGUUUAAUUGGUUAAAAGAUGUUUGGUCAGCAAAAACGAACCCAAAGCUUAAGAUAUUCCUCUGGUCAAUCAUACAAGGGGCCUUACCAAUAGGCGCAAAGCUCAAAAGAAGGGGAAUGAUCUCCGCAGCUCACUGCCCCCGCUGCAACGAGGUAGAAACAUCAAUGCACACAUUCUUCCUCUGCCCCUUUGCUAAAGAAGUCUGGAACUACAUACCUCUCAAGUCACCAGUUCACAUAGCUGAGGACACUGAUUUCAGAUUGGAACUACUUCACUUCCGACAAGCAAUCUGUCUUCCCCCAACAGGAAUUCGAUCUCCCAUCCUCCCCUGGGUCUGCUGGUUCCUCUGGACGGCCAGAAACAAACUUAUUUUUGAAGACAAGAGCAGCCGUCCUGUGGAGAUAGCAACUAGAGGACUGUCAGCGGCUUUAGAAUGGGACGAAGCUCAAGAUGUGGAGAAAGAACAAAAGAGUAAUCACCUACCGCUCAAGGCCGCUCCAACACAGACGGAUCGAUCAAGCUACGAAAAUCCCUGCUUCGUAGACGCCGCGUGGGAUGUUUCCUCAAAGCAAGCAGGAGUCAUUUGAUGCAUACUCCUAUCAAGUAUCAACAAAACCAUCCAUACAUCUUUUGUUUUGCUUUUGUUAAAAAGACAGAAUAGCUACUGGCCAUAUAUUGAAGAAACAAGAAAACGAUCGAGCAAAGUCUGGGUUUUUCCUUACGAUCUCGCCCUGACUCCUGAGGAAUAUUAGUUGAAUAUUUAAUGUACUCACUAUCUAUGAUAGGCUCGAUCGUGAGUAUAUUCACGAGGAAGAGUUGAUUCUUCUGUCAUGAGGAAUGCUCUCACUAUUAUUUGAUUUCAAGAAGAUUGAUAUUUUGUUUAUUUUGAUUGAUUCUUAGAAAAGAGUUGAUUCUUUUUGUCAUGUUUGCAUAUAUUUCUCAUUUUGGAAGUCAUAAGGAAUAAACCAAAAAUAAGACUGUUCGCCGUUGAUUUUUCUUAAAAACGUUGAUGUUUUUUUUUAUUCUUACUAAAAAGAUUCAUUCAAUUAAGUCAUUUUGGUCUAGUGGUAAAGAAGUGCCGCUAAAGCUUUCGCCAUGGAUUUUUUUUUUAUUAAGUCAUUUCGGACUUUUCUCUUGGUCUUGUCUCAAGCAAGUACCCGAGCUGUCUACGGGGUUAGGUGGCUUAACGUUAUAGAACCGUCUCUCAGCGAAGCCAUCCAGGAACAAAAUGGUGUGGCGAGAUCAUCUACAGAAGCGGAGUAUCGUGCAGUUGCAAACGCAACAUCAGAAAUUAUAUGGAUUUGCAGUCUUCUCUCUGAGCUUGGGGUCUCGCUUCCAUCAGCUCCAGUCGUCUUCUGCGACAAUGUAGGAGCAACAUUCCUCUGUGCUAAUCCGAUAUUCCAUUCUCGCAUGAAACACAUCGCCAUUGACUAUCACUUUGUUCGGGGACAAGUACAACGCGGAGCUCUAACUGUUUCACAUGUCAACACUCGUGAUCAGUUAGCGGAUGCAUUAACGAAACCACUCACUCGAGCUCGCUUCUUGGAACUGCGGAACAAGCUUGGCGUGGCACCCACGCUGCAGCUUGAGAGGGUGUGUAAGAGAGAUACUAUAAAGAUCUCCUCUCAACUAUAGUAUAUACACAUUCCUCUGUUUUAGGAAAUGUUAGUUAUUAUCUAACUUAGUCUCCAAGACUAAACUCUGUAUAUAAACCUCUAUUGUACAUUACGUUCAAGAUAUCAAAAUACAUUUCCUAUACCCUAAAUAAGAUAAGUAAACACACAAAAAAGAGCAUUGCUCUAACUUAAAACCUAGUGAGUAAGAAUAAUAACAGUUUUCUCCAAUUUCGAUGAUCUCUCAGAUCCAACCAUUGCUCCCUUGCUCAACCACAGUAUAGCUUCUCCACAAUCUAAUCCCUACAAAUUCUUAUCUGUACAGCAACAACAACAACGCACAAUUCACGUUUUCAGUAACUCAUUUGAGCAGAUGCUCAAAGUUAUGGUUCCAAAUCAACAAUCUGAGACCUCACAAGGUAACAUAGAGUUUCAAUCUUCAAAAUCACAUAAGAAUGAAAAUUCUAACCAUAUAUUCACAAUUGCUUGGCAGAAACAGAGACCAAGAAAGUUCCCAUCCUCUACUUCGCGCCUUCGAUCCUCUCGUACACCUCUCCCAACUUCAAAAUUGCUCUCACCAGCUCCGUACACGAAGAUCCUUCACCUUCACUCGGAUCCACCUCCUCCACUCUCCGAUGCUUCCUCACCACAAACCCGCAGUCACCAGCGUCAUCAUCAUUGUCUAAUGUAGGAAACCAAAUAUGCAAAAUCAAAUACUUACUUCUGUCCUUUGUAAAAGAAACUUAGAUUAACUCUAAAAGUAAGGCAAGUCUCAGUCUGCCUCAAAAUCAAUGUGACAUAGUCUGCUCCAAAUUUUGAAACUCUCUUCAAAUUUUUUUGCUUCCUGUAAUGUCUACCCGCUGUGUUGCUUUUUUGGCUGUAUAUGUAACAUGCAAGGCUUUUAGGAGCUUGUGAUGAACAGAGGAAAACAGUUAACAACCUUGUUGUUCAUUGGCAUUGUAAACAAUUUGUUGAACUCAUCAAAAGAUUCUUAAGCUCCACAAUUUGUUUAAUUUAGCUGGUUUCGUUGAUGUUCCUUCUCGUACGUACUUAUCGUACCUUCCAACAAGAUUUGUCUACACUUCUCUGUUUUUGAUCUUCAUCUGCUUUUAGACCUCUAGAGGUCCUGACAAAAUCUAUUGGCUGACUAAUAAUAAUCUUAUUGUAGCAGCAGUUAGUAUACUUAAGUUAGACAACGAUUCGAGUCUUGAAGAGCGAGGUCAUGCUGAGAAGUUUAUGGAGUACCAGGUAUAGUUUCAAGAAUCUUUGACGAAUAUUAUGCUCUUGAUGAUCUCUUACUCUUUGACGAAUCAGCUAUGGAGCUUGCCCUAUCUUUGGAGAAACUCACUAAUUAUGAAAAGCUUCUCAUGUUGCAAAGUGUAAGUACCUUUUAUUGCAUCAUCAUUGAGUGGUAAUGCUGAGCCUUACGCAAAACAAUCCACUACCAAUUAAAUUGGUAAAAACAGGGUCGAAGCUAUCAAAGAUUGUCUCCUUGAGUAGCCUCACGAAUUCUAAAACAGAGCAAAAACUGGGUUCUGCAAUAAACAUAUUGAUUCACCGAGUUUGGUUACAUCUACAGACAAAACAAAAUUAUUAUUGGAGACGAUUUUCAGAAUUAAAUUAGUUAUUAGAAUUAGUUAGAACACAAGAUAUAUAUAGAAUAUCUCUAAUCUUGAAAGAUCUUAGUGUGCAUCAGACUCAUGGGUUUAGGUCUCACAAUCGACACAACUUCCAAUGAUGUAAUGCAUUUGAUGCAUAUCAGCAAAACCAUCGAUCCAUCUUUUGUUUUAUUUUUGUUAUAAGAGAGAAUAGCUACUGGCCAUAUAUUGAAGAAACAAGAACACGAUCGAGCAAAGUCUGGGGUUUUCCUUACCAUCUCGCCCUGAGGAAUACUAGUUGAAUAAUGUACUCACGAUGAUAUGGCUCGAUCAUAAGUAGAUUCACGAGAAAGAGUUGGUUCUUCUGUCAUGAAGCAUGUACUCACUAUUUAUUUGAUUUCAAGCAGGUUAAUAUUUUGUUCAUUUUGAUUGAUUCUUAGAAAAUAUUUGAUUUUUUUUUUGUCAUGUUUGCAUAUAUUUCUCAUUAUGAAAGUUAUGAGGAAUAAACCAAAAAUAAGACUUUUCUCCGUUGAUUUUUCUUGAAAACGUUGAUGUUUGUUUUUAUUCUUAUUUUUUAAAAAGAGAUUCUUUCUUAUUUUGAAAUCCCAUCAAAAUUAAACUAGUUUAGCAGUUAUCUCAAUUAGUUCUUUUUUUAAUUAAAGCAAGAGGAAUGUCAUAAAAUCCUGAUUUUUUAAAAAGAUAAAACAUUUACUAUCAAAUCGAAAGAUUACAAUAUAUGCAAAUGCAGGGGUCUCGUAAACGUUAGUUUUUAGGUCAAUAUGCAUGCGCGUCUUGUAAACGUUAAUUUAACUCCAAACAUACACCUAAGCAAAAUAAGACUUCGUAAAUUACGUCUUCUAUGGUGUGGACAGUUUUUUUUUUUUAAAAAUACUUGUAAUUAGUAAAGGGGACCAAUAUGCGCGGAAAUUUGACCUAAUAGUUUUCUCUCUGGCCCGAUAAUCGAGGUGCCGUCUCAACCGUUUCACUCCGACGCCGGUAGAGCCAUGGCUCGCCGGCGUCGGGCGUUUCAACCUCCGCGUCGUCCUCUUUCUUUUCGUAUCUGUUCAAGCUCAAGAUCCCGUGCUCUGUUCACUGUUCAUAUGACCCUUUCUUGGUCGAAGUUGUCUUCCAUUUCGUAUUUUUCCGGGGGCUCCCGACUACAGUUUUCACUCCCCUCCUCUACUCAACGCCAUCAACGCCAUAGCUCUGCUGGUCCGGCUUCCGUCAAGAAUCAGAUCUGUGAGGCUCAAUCUUCCUCUCCUCCCUACGUGUCUCCUCGGCUAGAAAGCCCCCUCCGACAUUCGUCUUCCAUACCACCACAAGUCCAACUUCAAGCUUCGGCUUCCGACGUCUACAAACCCGGUGUCCGUGGGGCUCAACAAUUAACUCGGAUUUUAGAUCUGGAAUUUUGUCAGUUGUCUCGGUUGUGUUCACCUUAUGUCUCCUCUAUCACCACUGUCGCUGGACUUCCUACUCCGCUAUCCAUUGUCAUCAUCUCAACCAUAUCAGUUAAACAUCGCCGCUUCUUUGCUCCGCCGUGAUUCCUCGCAGUUCAUCGGGUUCUUUGACCGAGGAAGGCUGAGUCAUUGUGUUCAUGAGAUGGGCUACUUUCAUUUUGCAGUGAGCUUGACAAGCCCAAUAAAGCUCCAAGGCUCCCAUCUCUUCCUAGCAGUUUCACAGCCCACUUUGAUGUGGGGUGGAUUGGUCUCCUUGACUAAUCUUCUAAAAAUGUUUGGUGGAUUCACUAGCGUUUUUACAGAGACAUAUAUACACACAAAGUUUCAUCUCUCUUGUUCGAAGAGUAGCCUUUCUUUCCAUUUACCGGUGGGUUCACCGGGACCAUCAUGUUCAUCCUUUGCUUCCUUUUUAAGGAGUACUUUCCCUCCAAUCUUGUGGAGGUGUUUGUCCAUAUCUAUAACCGUCUUGCUAUCUUGUGGAGCGGUCCGUUCGGGGCCUGAAGAUGCAGCGGGAUUCGUUUCGACGAGUUUCCGAGGUGUGGAUUGGAUGUCAACUUCACAAUUUAAGCUGACUAUUUCUCUGCUGUCCGACCAUGUCGUGAAAGCUACACUGACGCAUUCAAGCACCGUCUUGAGUUCGCUGUCAUCUUCUUCUUUUGAAGACCUAUCCUUUUUAUCUUAUGUUGGUGUAGUUUAUCUUUUCAAUUAAAGCGGAUGGAUAAUUCCCUCUAUUAUUUGUAAUCAAGCAACUUGAACUUAAUGAAAAAGUUGUGUUUCGAAAAAAAAAGAACGAUUUUGCUUUCGACGUGAUGAAUAUUGGAUUUAUCUCUCUGGAUAUUUUUUGUGUGGAAUAAAAACGAAGUCUAUUAUUGCGCUAUAAAGAGAUGGGCAUAGAAGCAUGUUACUCAUCACCAAUUUCCCUUUUCAUUUCAAAGUUAAAUAAGCUUAAAGAAGAAUGAAAGGCUUUUGGAACAUAACGAGUACCAUUUCUCUUACUCUUUCUAUACUUUUCUUAUUCGGCUACAGUUAUGAGGACGUGUCUACGGUUCUUAAUACGCACUUGUGUCGUCCGGAACAAAGGGAUGCACUUCUCCAAUUCAAGACCGAGUUCGAGGUUCUAAACUCUUCCUUUGCUUAUGGUUGUUAUGAUAUCAAUGAUGAUAUACUAGUGUCUCAUGGGAAGACGGACUCAUGGGCGAAUAACAGCGACUGCUGUAAUUGGGAGGGUAUCACGUGCGAUGCCAAAUCCGGUGAAGUGAUCGAGCUAGACCUUAGUUGCAGCUACCUACGUGGCACGUUUCAUUCCAAUAGCAGUCUUCAAAGCCUUCAUUCUCUAACCACUCUAAACCUUUCACGUAAUGAUUUCAAUGGUCAAAUAAUGUCUUCAAUUGGAAACCUUUCUCAUAUCACCUCUCUCGACCUUUCACGUAAUCGUUUUUCGGGUCCACUUCCAUCUUCGAUUGGAAAUCUUUCUCAUCUCACCAAUCUUAACCUUCGUUUGAAUCAAAUUUCGGGCAAGAUUCCAUCUUCUAUUGGAAAUCUUUAUAACCUCACUUAUUGUUGGAAAUCUUUAUAACCUCAAAUUGAGCCUAUUGGACCUUUCUAGGAAUGAUAUUGUUGGAGAAAUCCCAUCUUCUUUUGGCAAUCUAAACCAGUUGACCAGCUUAGAUGUUUUUCUCAAUAGGCUCAAUGGAAGCUUUCCCAUUGCACUACUGAAUUUGACAAAUUUGUCAUCUUUAGAACUCAGCUACAAUCAGUUCACAGGAACAAUUCCUCAUAACAUCACUUCACUAUCCAAAUUGACGACCUUUGAUGCAAGUAACAACGCUUUCACUGGGACCCUGCCUUCUUCUCUCUUCACCAUUCCUUCUAUUGAAUAUGUUAUAUUGUCUGAUAACCAACUCAACGGUAUUCUUGAGCUUGGGAAUAUAUCUUCACCACCUAAGCUGCAAAGGUUAGACGUUAACAGAAACAACUUGAGAGGGCCAAUCCCGGCCACAAUAUCCAAAUUUACCAACCUUGUCGACCUUCGCCUUUCCCACUACAAUGCACAAGGUCCAGUUGACUUUAGUAUCUUCUCGCAUCUCAAGUGGCUCGAACUUCUUGACCUAUUCUAUUUGAACACGACCACUACGAUUGACUUGAAUGAUAUCUUGUCAUAGUUUAAGAGGCUCACUGGGCUGGUUCUCUCAGGCAACCAUGUUUCAGCCACAAACAAGAGUCCAGUUUCAGAUACCCCUUUGCGAUUCUUGAAUACGUUGCAUUUGUCAGGCUGUGGUAUCACCGAGAUUCCGGAAUUUGCAAGAACGCAAAAUAUGCCUGGCUGGUUAUGGACGCUACCAAAUCUGUUUUACCUGGAUCUUUCCAACAACACUUUCACUGGCUUCCAAAACUCAACUACAGUUUCACCUUCAAGGCUAUAUAGCAUAAACGUGCUUGCCUCAGACAACAAUUUCACGGGAAAUAUCCCCUCUUUCAUAUGCGAUUUGCCCACUUUAUACAUUCUUGAUUUAUCAAACAAUAACUUCAGUGGUUUAAUCCCUCGCUGUUUGGGAAAUCUCAAGCUUACUCUUGAAGUUCUAAACCUUCGUCAAAAUCGUCUUCAUGGAGGUCUUCCGGAGAAUAUAUUUGAAAGCUUAAUAACGCUUGACGUCGGUCAUAAUCAACUGACGGGAAAGCUUCCAAGAUCUUUGAUCCAUUCCCCUUUUCUUGAAGUUCUGAACGUGGAAAGCAACAUAAUCAAUGAUACGUUUCCGUUUUGGUUGAGUUCUCUACCACGUUUAACAAUUCUUGUGUUAAGCUCCAAUGCCUUCCAUGGACCGAUAUAUCACAUAAUUACUUCAAUGGAACUUUGUCAUCUGACUACUUUGAGAGGUGGGGUGCUAUGUCAUCACUUGAGUCUACAGUUUAUUAUGAUAAGUACGGAAAGUACAUGAGCGAUAAUUCUUACUUUGACUCAAUGGUUUUGAUGAAUAAAGGGUUAGUGAUGGAGCUACCAUUUAUCCCAAAAGUCUACACAGCACUCGAAUUUUCAGGAAACAAACUUGAAGGAGAGAUCCUAAGGUCCAUUGGUUUAUUGAAAGAGCUUCUUGUGCUCAACUUGUCGAACAAUGCUUUCACUGGCCACAUCCCUUCAACUCUGGGAAACCUGACAGCUCUUGAGUCAUUGGACGUUUCCCAAAACCAGCUUUCAGGAGAAAUUCCGCAAGAGCUAGGGGAACUCUCAUUCCUUUCUUACAUGAACUUCUCUCAUAACCAGCUUGCGGGUCUAGUACCAGGAGGCACUCAGUUUCGAAGGCUGAAUUGCACUUCCUUUGAGGGGAACCAGGGACUUUUUGGCCCUUCUCUUGACGAAAUUUGCAUAGAUAUUCACAUGCUGAGACCACAUGAAACGCCAGAAUCAGAGGAAGAAGAGGAAGAGGAGGUGUUGAGUUGGAUAGCAGCUGCAAUAGGAGUCAUACCUGGUAUUGCGUUUGGAUGGGUGAUUGGAUACAUACUUUUUUCCUACAAACCAGAGUGGUUCAUGAACCCUUUUGCCCGAAACAAGCGCAGAAUCAGCAGCACCACAACUCAUUAAAAAGGUAAUUUUCCAGAGGUUUAAAUCAACUUGUUAGCAAACACUGGUACAAAUAAAAAUAUUAUAGUGAAGUCACCUGAAUAAACCUUCUUCUUUUUGGUCUUUCAGGUCUUUUAUAAGCUACCUAAGGAAUCUGGAAGAAGAAAUCCAAAGGAACCAUUAUGUCUAUCCGUAUCAAAUAAGAUUUGGGGUAUCGUUUCUGGUUUAGCUUGGUGUUUUCUCAUUACUCUGUUUUUUUUCUUUUUUGUUUUUUUACUUUGUUCCUCUGGUACUGUUUCCGUUUUAGCUUGGCGCGUAUUUUCUCUACAUCUCUGUUUUUUACUUUUCAGCAAACUUCUUUUUUCUCUGUAAUUGAACAACUAUGUUUCUUACGCUAAAAAUUAUAUGCACAAUAAAAAAUGUGUAUCUUUUCCCCUUUCCUGCAUCUAACAUCAUCUGUAAAGACGUGAGAUGAGAAAAUAAACAGAAGAUCCAGAUCAACCCUAUAAACUAUUGAAGUUAAACUUGAUUUUGGGCUAUCCUUAAUUAUGGGUUUCAAUAAUCUUAUUUGGCUAAACCCAAAGUUAAGUUAAGGUUCUAGAAUCUCUUUAGAAAAAUCAUAAAAGAUUAUCACCUGCUCAAGUGUUCGCCUCGGUGUGUUGGAUCUCUCAGGAAACCAUGUUUCAGCCACAAACAAGAGUCCAGUUCCCGUUUCCCCUUUGUUGUAUCAGUUGCACUUGUCGGGCUGCGGUAUCACCAAGCUUCCGGAGUUUGUAAGAUUGAAAAAUUUGGACAGUCUAGACAUUUCCAACAAUAAAAUCAAAGGGCAAAUGCCUGGCUGGUUAUGGACGCUACCAAAUCUUACUUACCUGGAUCUUUCCAACAACACUUUCACUGGCUUCGGAAACUCAAUGAAACAUGGGCUAUCUAUGGGAAAAUUGUUUGCCUCCAACAACAAUUUCACAGGAAAUAUUCCCUCAUUCAUAUGCGAUCUGCGUGGUUUAUCCAUUCUUGAUUUAUCAAACAACAACUUCAGUGGUGUAAUCCCUCCUUGUAUGGAAAAUCUCUAUCUGACAGUUCUAAGCCUUCGUCAAAAUCGUCUCCAUGGAGGUCUUCCAGAGAAUAUAUGUCAAUUCUCAACAACGCUUGAUGUCGGUCAUAACAAACUGACAGGGAAGCUUCCAAAAUCUUUGAUCAAUUCCUCUUUUCUUGAAGUUCUGAACGUGGAAAGCAACAUUAUCAAUGAUACGUUUCCAUUUUGGUUGAGUUCUCUACCACAACUAAAAAUUCUUGUGUUACGCUCUAAUGCCUUCCAUGGACCGAUACAUUAUACUUCGUUCCCUAAAUUGCAAAUCGUCGACAUAUCCCACAAUCACUUCAAUGGAUCUUUGUCAUCAGACUACUUUGUGAAGUGGAGUGCUAUGUCAUCAUUGGGGGACAAUUAUGAUCAGCGGUUUGACAAGUACAUGGGGGAUUCCUAUUACCAUGAUUCAAUGGUGUUGAUGAACAAAGGUUUAGAGAUGGAGCUAGUACGUAUCCUAAAGAUCUACACAGCACUCGACUUUUCAGGAAACAAAUUUGAAGGAGAGAUCCCAAGGUCCAUUGGUCUAUUGAAAGAGCUCCAUGUGCUCAACUUGUCCAACAAUGCUUUCACCGGCCACAUCCCUUCAUCUAUGGGAAACCUGACGGCUCUUGAGUCACUAGACGUUUCCCAAAACCAGCUUUCAGGAGAAAUUCCGCUAGAGCUAGGGGAACUCUCAUUCCUUUCCUACAUGAACUUCUCUCAUAACAAGCUCACUGGUCUAGUACCCGGAAGCACUCAGUUUCGAAGGGUGAAUUGCACUUCCUUUGAGGAUAAUCCGGGACUUUUUGGCCCUUCUCUUGACGAAGUUUGCAGAGAUAUCCACAUGCCAACACCGCAUGAAACACCAGAAUCAGAGGAAGAAGAAGAGGAAGAGGUGUUGAGUUGGAUAGCAGCUGUAAUAGGAGUAAUACCUGGUAUUGCCUUUGGAUGGGUGAUUGGAUACAUACUUUUUUCCUACAAACCAGAGUGGUUCAUCAACCCUUUUGUCCUAAACAAAAGCAGACGCAACCGCACCACAACUCAUUAAAAAGGUAAUUUUCAAGAGUUUUAAAUCAACUUGUUAGCAAACACUGGAAGAAACAAAAAUAUUAUAGUCAAAUCACCUGAAUAAGCCUUCUUCUUCUUUUUUUGUACAGAUCUUUUAUAGCCUGCCUGAGGAAUCUGAAAGAAGAAAUACAAAGGAACCACUAUGUCUAUCCGUAUCAAAUAAGAUUUGGGGUAUCGUUUCUGGUUUUGCUUGGUGUUUUUCUCAUUACUCUGCUUUUUUACUUUUUUUAGCAAACUUCUUUGUUCCUCUGGUACUGUUUCCGUUUUAGCUUGGUGUGUUUUUUCUCUAUCUCUCUUUUUUACGUUUUAGCAAACUUCUUUGUUUCUCUGUAAUUGAACAACAACUAUGUUUCUUACGCUGAAAAUUACAAGCACA
rnacentral:lncRNA from 1 species